rnacentral:lncRNA from 1 species
UGUCUUUUUACCUUAUUUUAAUUGAUAAAGAGAGUUUUAUUACUCACACAAAAACUUCCCAGUGGAUCACCCAUCAUGGAAGUGCUCUCGUGCGCUACUCGCUUAACUUCGGAGUUCCGACGGAACUCGAAGCUUGUGAGCUCCUAAAAGGCCUCGUGCUAGGUAGUGAUGAGAAUAUACAUUUAAGGAUCACUCACAUAGGCGAUGUGGGAUCUUACAAUCCACCCCCCUUAGGGCCCCGACGUCUACGUCGGCACACCACGACCAGGGUUAGGCUCUGAUACCAAAUUGUCAUAUCCCGGCCCGGGGUCCACCACAUCCCGAGCCCGCUUCACCACCGUAGCACGAUAUUGUCCGUUUUGGGCCCCGACUACGCCCUCACGGUUUUGUUUCUGGGAAUUCACACAAGAACUUCACAAUGGGUCACCCAUCAUAGGAGUGCUCUCAUGCACUACUCGCUUAACUUUGGAGUUCGGACGGAACCCGAAGCCAGUGAGCUCCCAAAAGGCCUCGUGCUAGGUAGAGAUGAGAAUAUACAUUUAAGGAUCACUCCCCUGGGCAAUGUGGGAUCUUACAAAAACAGUCAAACAACAUGCACUACCAUUAAUGAAUUCCAUUGAUCUCAAUAAUUCAAUUGUUACAAGAAGAUGGUCUUGAUAACUUUAUUUACCCAAACAUAUGCCGACCUUAUAUUACAGAAGCACUUUCCAUAUGUUUUCCUACCCAUAGCCAUCAAGUAGACAUCCUUGAGUAUGGCGUCUGAAAUUGUAAGUUUUGCAAACUGCUAAAGGCCUCACAGAAUGACAGGGAGGGAAAGAGGAUGGGAAGAUGAGGGAAUGGAAUGCUAGCAUGGAUCGACGAAGUGGCGGAGGGUGAGCAAGAUGUCAGUUAGGUGAAAUGUUAUUGUUGUUUUGAACAGGUGUGAUGGCUUCAGUAAAAGUAGGGUUAAAAUUGAAAUUUAAAAGAACAAUUUUAAGUGUGGGUGUAUUUAUAAGAUUGUGGGGUGCCAAUAAAACAACCCAAAUGGUUUUUAUUUUUAUUUUAAAAUGGGAAGGGGAAGGGGAGAAAAAAGGAAUGUAGAUUAGAAAGAGAAGUUUUUUUUUAAAUUUUUUUUAUAUAUAUUAUUUUUUUAAAUUAUAGGAUGUUAGGAUCACUCUUGAGUGAGACUUUGAAAAAAAACUGUAAAAUUUAGUUUGUAUGAAUUUACUUUAUUGUUCAUGAUUUUGUUUUGUGAUAGAAGAUAAAAUUAUCUUUUUACCUUAUUUUGAUUGAUAAAGAGAGUUUUAUUAAUAUAAUUUUAAAUGAGCACUUUAUCAACAAUUAAGUAAUAAUAUAAAUGUGAACUUUCAUAUCAUUUAAUUUUAUCUAAAAAUUUAACCCGCUUGCCGUCCCCCAAAAACAUAGUUAUGGUAUUGCUCCCUCCAAGAAACCGCGUGACCGUUGAAAAGCUCCUCAGGUGAAAGGAAAAGUGCGCGCAACCCAGUGAGUCACACUGUAAUGAUCAAGACUUCCAGUGGGUCCCGCCUGCAAAAUCCACACGCUUCUUCUUCCAUUGUAUUCGGAUUCAAUCGAAUUUCAUCGUCUCCUUCCCCAAUGCAAAUCUGUCUAGGGUUUCAGAAAAGAUCAUCGAACGGAAAUGCUUUUUUCCGAUCACUGUAAGUUCGUUGUCCUCCUCGUCUUUCUUCUCUCGAUCUUGGGCCUCGGGAGCUGCCACGGCCGCAUCUUCAGCUUCAAGAUGCACCACCGCUUCUCCGACCCCGUGAAGAAGUGGUCCGCCGCCGCCGGAAAACUCGCGCCGGCCGAAAAUCUCCCGGCGAAGGGAAGCUUCGAGUACUACGCUGAAUUGGCCCACCGCGAUCGCGUCCUCCGCGGCCGCAACCUCGCACAGAGGGGCGGCGGCACCACUCCGCUGGCUUUCUCUGGCGGCAACUCCACUUUCAAAAUCAGCUCCUUGGGAUUGUACGUUUCUUUCUCUCAAGUUUCGAUUUUUUAUUAAAUUCUUGAAUUGGAGUUUAAAUUAAAUUGCUGAUUUUCAUUUUAAAUUUAAUUAUUUAACUUGUGCAGUCUGCAUUACACGACAGUGCAAUUGGGAACGCCGGGAGUGAAGUUUUUGGUGGCGCUCGACACUGGGAGUGAUCUGCUUUGGGUGCCUUGCGAGGGCACAGCUUACGUUCCUGUAUGUAUCAAAUUAUAGGUUUAGCAGAUUAUGCGAAACUUUGUAAUUAAUCAAUGCAAAAAGGCGUAGGCGGUAAUAUCGAUUUCAAGUACUAAGAUGUUGUUAUGUAGGGUUUGAGGGACAAGAAUUGUGAUAUCAAUUUUCUGAUGAGUUCAUGUGUUAUUACUUCUACUUUUAGCACUUUACUAAUUAGGUUUCAUUUACCAUGGCAGGAUUUUGAGGUUAGCAAAUAUGACCCUGAAGGGUCGUCGACAAGCAAAACAGUCAGUUGUAACAGCACUUUGUGUGCACACCGUAAUAGCUGUCUAGGAAGAUUCAACGAUUGCCCUUACACGGUCUCUUAUAUCUCAGCUGAAACUUCUAGCUCUGGGGUACUGGUAGAGGAUGUUCUGCACUUAACAACGGAAGAUAAUCAUCGGAAACUGGUUGAUGCAUACAUUACCUUUGGGUUAGUUCUGUCAUCGAGAUCUUUGGACUUCUUUCUGUUCCUUUUCUUCUAAGUCUCAUGUAUGCAGCUGAAAAUGCAUUGUGAAUGUGCAGUUGUGGGCAGGUGCAAAGCGGCUCUUUCCUGGAUGUUGCUGCUCCUAAUGGGUUGCUUGGGCUCGGUAUGCAAACAUAUCUGUUCCUAGUAUUUUAUCCCGGGAAGGCUUUACAUCAGAUUCCUUUUCCAUGUGUUUCGGACAUGAUGGGGUUGGGAGAAUUAAUUUCGGUGACAGGGGGAGUCCAGGACAGGAAGAGACCCCUUUUAAUUACAACCCGUCACAGUAAGUGGUAACUUCUCAGAUUCUUUAAAUUGAUUUUUUAUGGGAUAUUUUCCUGAAAAGAGGUUUUAAUAUUUAUAUGCUCUGAUGCAUAUCACAGUCCAACAUAUAACAUCACUGUAACUCAAAUUCGAUUGGGGGACAGAUCUUGUAGACAUCGAAUUCACAGCUAUUUUUGAUUCUGGAACAUCUUUCACAUACUUGGGGGACCCAUCUUAUUCAAAUCUUUCAGAGAGUGUAAGCAUUAAGUCUUCUAGUUAAUAUCAGUAUGUUGAACAAUAGAACAUCAAUUUGUACUUAAACGCAACUAAGUAAUUGAUGCUCUAUGACUUUUGCAGUUCAAUUCACAGGCUCGAGAUAAGCGUCGCCCACCUGAUUCGAGGAUCCCAUUUGAAUAUUGUUAUGAUAUGAGGUUUACAUAAUUUUUUUUUCUUUUCUGUAUUUUCUUUUAGCCGUACUUCCAACUUCAAAUUCUUUUUCUAUUAUUCACAAGAAGUUCUUUCUUUCAUUGUGCAGUCCUGAUGCAAAUACUAGUUUGAUACCUAGUCUCAGUUUAACCAUGAAAGGUGGAAGCCAGUUUGCAGUCUAUGAUCCGAUCAUUGUCAUAUCCACUCAGGUAUUGCUUUGUUCUUAUUUUUUUUCCCUGGUGUUAUUUGUUGUUUCCUGAGAAUGGUUAUUAUCUUCCUUGCAAAUGAUUUGCAGAGUGAGCUGUUAUAUUGCCUGGCUGUUGUCAAGAGUGCGGAACUAAAUAUAAUUGGGCGUAAGUCUUUGAAUUUACAGGUCAUUUGAAUUCUUUUGGCUAUGAAAGCAAGUCUUUGAAUUUACAGGUCAUUUAAACUCUUUUGGCUAUGAAAGCUCAUUCCUAGUUGACCAUUUCUCAGUUAUUGGGCACAAAUCAGCUACUGCGAUUUUCUAUCUCUCGGAUCAACAGUCCACUCUAAUAUAAGUGUCCUAGUGGCUUUUGUUUUGCUGUUACAUGUUGGCUUAUGCUUAAGUUGUUGCUCUUUGUGCAGAAAACUUCAUGACUGGCUACCAUGUUGUGUUUGACCGAGAAAAAUUCGUUUUGGGCUGGAAGAAGUUUGACUGUAGGUGUUAAUCCCGUUUAUGCACUCAGCUUUUCGCAAUGCCUUAUUGCAUAACCGAAUUUUUGGACCUUAAUGCAGGUUACGACGUCGAGGACCAUACUAACUUACCUUCUGAACCGCACUCUAGCACUGUGCCUCCAGCUGUUGCUGCUGGGCUUGGUAACCAUUCUAAUCCAGAAUCAACGAAAAAGACCAGGAAUAGACAGGCUUCAGUUGCAUCUCUGCCUUACCGUAGCCAUUCUUCUCUGAUAUAUUUUGUCAUCCUCCUUUUCCUACUACUGUAGCUGGUAUGCGGCCGUCUUUUUUUCUGGUUAGUCACACUUCCAUAUGGUAAACCGAUUUAGAUAAUGUCCUCUUGCCACAAAUUAGAUUUAAAUCCUCUCUAAUCCGUCCCACUUUACGCUACGAUUGGAAUAAUCGUGAGCAUGCCAAGAUCGAUUCCCCCCAUAUUGUUUAGCCCUUCCUCAUGUAGCAUAGGCAUUUGCACAUUAUUGUUGUAGCUGAAUAUUUUACAGGGUUCAAGAGAUCCAGUUCGUUGAAUACACGGUUAUACUGCACGUGUUUCAGUCACCUUGUAAAGUUGCAAUAUUGUAGAUGGAAUGUGAAUUUAGAGUUCCCAAAAUCCCAGGGCGGGAUCUCCGGCUUAUUUUAUCAACAAUUGUCGUUUAUGAAAUUUGAACUCAGGAACUACUUCGAUGAAGUCCCACCGUACUCUAUCACGCGCUAGUGGAUUGGAAAAGCUCUAUUUUAGAUGCAGUUGUUGUGUAAUCCGAGACACCGAACAAAUUCCCUAGGACUGCUAUAACUCGCAUGAUAUUAGACCGCGAAAAAAUCUUGUUCGGGCAUGUUUGUGCCAUUAAAAAAUAGUAAUUAGUUCCGAUUGCCAGGGCAGAGAAUCAGAGGUUGUAAUUAAUAAAAUAAAUAAAAAAUAAGUGGACUGAGGCACAACUCAUAGACCUUCAUAACGCUAUGUAGGUUGACUUGGUCACAUAAAAACUUUAUCUUUGAAUAAGAAUUGGCCGAGGGCAAAUAAUAGGAGUGAUUGGUGGUGAAAAAUUUGAGUCAUAUAAAUUUGACCAAGAAAAAGAGGUCUCUUUUUCUUUUAUUGUGCGUGUGCACGUUACGGGCAACUUUUGAAUGAAAAUCUUAAUUUUAAUUGAUUUUGGCAACAAGCUUUCGUCAAAUGAGUAUGAUCCAUUGUUACUUUUAGCACAUGGAUGAUUGGUUUAAACUUUAUUUUUGAGUGGGGUGGAUGAAUAAAGAAAGAUUAGGAGAGUGAUUGAUGGUAAAAGACUUGAGUCAUAUGUCUCCAUUCAAGCUUUUGAGGAAAAGCAAGUCAUAACUUUUGAUCUUUCAAUCUUGUUCCCUUGAUAAUAUUUUUGCUCAAUACCCUCAAGUGAUUGGUGGUGCUCACUACCCUAUUUAUUACCGUUAGAUGAGUUCAAAUCCAAUUCGUGAGAAGAAGCAUCAAAUGAUUUGGACAGUUGUCGUGCAAAUUUCUAAAUAUGUGUAGUAGAUAGACACAAAUUUCAAAUUUAAACUCAUUCAAUGAUAAUAAAUAAAAUUGUAAGCAUUACAUCACUUGAAGCUGAUGAGCAAAAAUGCACCCGAUUCCUUUUUGUGUCAUCCAUAUGUUUUGGUUGAGGUGUCAAUUGAAGAUGUCAAUUGGACACAGAUGAAAUUGAAAUUUCGUUUGAGGAGAUGGUGAAGGGUCGGUCCAAAACCACUUGCUAGGUCAAGUUUGCAAUGCUAUGCUUUUCCUACUUUCUCGAAUCUCCUCUUGGCUUUGUUAGAUUGGUGUGAAAUUGUCAAUGUGGUCAUUUUUUAUUGGCGACUUGCAUGCUAGAAUUCUAGAGGAGGAAAGUUCCAAGCACCUUCUGCGGCUUAAUUGCCCCCGUUUUUCAUGGCAUUCAUGUGAAAGCUCCAUGCAAAGGAGUCUUUACAAAACUUACCUCCUAACGACGGAGAGUCGAACUUAAAAUCUCGUACUUACAAGUGGGGAGAAAUACAGUUAAACUAUGCUUUUCAAAAAUGUUCUUCUUGAAUUAGAUGCUAAAGAAACAAUUUAUCUUCAUGUUAGAUUAGUGAAAUGGGGAAAAUGAGAUCAUUGUGAAAGAUGAUCUUAUGUAGAAGUUUCGUGGUUUUUUUACAUGUCAACGGAGGCAUCGAGUUUCCAAUAUACCGACACAUUUGAUUGUGACAUUUGCACUUACAUCGAAUGAGUUUCCUGCUUGGAUUGAGGAGGAGCUAGUUUGGUUAAUCCCAUCGAUGAUGUGGGGAAUGGUUAAUUUUGCUUUAUGUUGGUUUUUGCUUGUAGUUUUGUCACAUAGUGUGCAAUUUUUUUUCUUCGUCAGAUUUUCUUCCUUUUGAGGGCUCUGUCGCAAGGUUUGACAAUAUUGUUGCGCAUUUGUCUUACAAGCUUUGAAUUUUGCACAAAAACAGGAAACACAUUAUUUUGUCCGACUUGACUAUAUACUAAAUUUUGCAAUAAUAAGAAAAAGAAAUUGUGUUAGUGAUAGUUAAAUAUCCAAAGUGGUUGAUAUAAAAUCAUUAAUUCCAAUAUUUUCUAUAAAACUAGCAAUAUAUUAGCUUGGACAAAUGUUUGGUUUGAGUCAUUGAUCCAAUAAGACAUUAUAAUUUAAAAUGAAGUAGGAAUUAAGGCAACCUAUAAAUGGUUUGUUCAAUGUUUCAAAGCUUGAUUUUCGCCACGUGGCUUCGAAAUGGCGUGGGAUUAAAUCAGCUUUCAAAUUAUGACUUCAAAGUCAAUAUCUUUGGAAAAUGAUGGAUUUGGAUCCUCUCCAAGGCAAUUGGUCGGGAUCCUCCUGACCGGUGUUAGUGGGCCGUUAAAUUUUUAUCCAACGGUUAUAAGCAUGGAGGCUCUCUAAAAGUUAUAAUAAUUGUAGUCAUUGGAUAAAAAUCCAACGACCCACAGACACCGAUCAGGAGGAUCUCGAUCAAUUGCCUCGGAGAGGAUCCAAUUCCAAAAAGGAUCGCACGAUGAUCAUUUUCUUGAGAAUUCGAAGGAUCCCAUAAUUAUGACCGUUCAUCUUAUAUCAUGUGGUCAGUUUUUGUUAUAUAUUAUUUAUAUUUAAUUUAAAAGUUAAAAUUUAAAAUAAUUUUUGAUCAUACGAUAUACGAUGAACGAUCAUGAUUACGGAAUUCCUUAGAUUCCCAAGAAAAUGAUCCGACGAGAAUCAUUUUCCAAUAUCUUUUUGCUUAUAAUUUUUUAUACUAUUAUUAUUAUUAUUAAUCUUUUUGGUAAUGUGAUGCCUGUCUUUACCCAACCGACCUCUUAAUCAGUUUACCUUCCCAUUCACACCCUCAAAUUUCUCUCUUCUUGUCUAAUCGCCCCUCAACUUUCAUGUUAUUCAAUAACUCCCCAACUCAUUUUUUUUUCACACCUGUUAAUUUAGGACUCGUUUGAAUGUACUUUCAAAAUAAUUAAAAGUGCUUUUAGAUAAAAUAUUUUUUUAUUUCAAAAGCACCAAUUAUGUUAUUCUUCCAUAAAGUACUUUAAAUGCUUUUUCAAAAUUUACUUAUAUUUUUAUUAAGAAUUGGUUCUAAAAAUAUUUUCACCAAAAGCGUUUUCAAUCAUUUUAAAAUCACGUCCAAACGAGCACUUAGAUUCCUUCAUUUUAUUUUCUUUAUGAUAAAUCAAUGCAAUUAGGACUCAAUGAAAGGCCAUCAAUUUAAAUCCUUGAACUUUUGAACUUAUUCAAUUCAAAAGUAAAAAUUAAAAAGAUGUAUAGAGCGAGAAAACGAAGUGCGAAAUGAUUCUAUGAUAUUCCAUCAUACUUUUGUUUAUUUGAUACGUUAUGUCAAUGUAUUUUAGUCAAACAAUUUGCAUUUCUCCUAAUAUUUUUAGACUAAAGACAUGCAAUUUCUCCUAAUAUUUUUAUGGUAGAAACAAUCAUAUUUUUUUAAAAUAUUGAUAACAACUUUCAAAGAGACACAUAAAUAAAUGAAAAUACACGCAGACGUAUUUUUAUGCAUAAACCCAAGGUCCAUUCAAUAAAUAUAUGCAAAAAAUCUAAACUUCUUUUUUAUCGGAUGGUAUGCUAAUUUAAUCUAAAUUACUGAAAAAUAACUUAAAUUUUAAUACACAAAAUAGAGAAAUAUUUUUAUAGCUAACUUGGUUAAACGUCCUAAAUACACAGUAGAAAAUACCAAACUUUGGAUAGGUAGAAUCGUUGGGAGGGAGGGCUCUACGCAAUUAGAGAAAAUGCUAAGGAGACUCUUUGAAAAAUAAGAUUCUUCGUGGACUAUCUGAUAACUCGUGUUUUUUGCCCAAUUUUCUUGCUAACAUUAUAAAAAUGUGCUAAAUAUAUCAAAUAAAACUACUUAGUAUUACAGUCUAAUGAUAUUAUUUUUUACUUGUAAAUUAGAUGUCUUAGAUUCAAUUUUCGCCAAAGAUAAAUUUGAAACACGUUGUUUCUAACUCAUUUUGAGACUUAGUUCACCAUCAACCAUUUUAUUGUAAAUAAUUUUGUUUGUUAAAAAAAUAUAUAUUAAAUUGAGAUUUACCGUGGAUCAUGAUCCAUAAUUAAGAAAAUCAAAUGGACAUUCAUGGCGUAUAUUCUCAUCCCAACCUCCCAAAGUUUCCAACGGACCCCACUAACCAGCGCUUUCGUUUAUCACUGAACAAACUUAUUUCUCUGUCUCUGUCUCUCUCCCUACCUCUCCCCUGUCAGCUGCCGGCUUGGGUCAUUGGGUGUGUGAACACGUCGCCGCCCACCCAUUAUAAACCCAUUUCAUCACAUUUCUCUGUUUCCCACUCAUGCCUCCCAACCCAAUUCACCAAAACCUCUGUUUCUCUCUCUAGAAUCGUCUCAGCCAUGGCGGCCUGGACUUGCACAGCUUCUUCCAGCUUCUCCGCAGCUCGUCUCUUAUUGAUUUUCUUCGUAUCGGGUUUUGCUUGUCGGACCUGUUUCGGACUCGGGUCGUACGGGUUCGAUAUCCACCACCGGUUCUCAGAUCCCGUCAAGGCAAUUCUGGGUUCCGAUGAGCUGCCGGAGAAGGGGAGCUCAGAGUACUACGCUGCUAUGGCCCACCGAGACCGAUUGGUUCGCGGCCGCCAUCUAUCCACCGCCGACAAUCAAACGACGCCGCUUGCUUUUGAAUACGGAAACAUCACUUAUCGGAUUGGUGCUUUUGGACAGUAAGCACCUUUCACCCUUUAUUCCCCUAAUACUAUGUUUGGACGGAGUCAGUAUUUAUAAAUUCAUAUACAUCAAUUUCUUUGUUUGGAUUUAUAAACAUAGAAAUUUAAAAUUUUCACAUGAAAAAAACUUGAAAUUUGUGACCUCCAAUUUCCAAGUUUAAAUUCUAUGUAAAUAGGUGUUAUUUCUCAAUUUAUGUGAUUGAGAGUUUAAAAAUAACAAAUUUCAUAUUCAAUUUCAUAUUCUUUUAAGUUAACCAAACAAAAAAAUUCAUAAAUUCUAUAAAAUAAAAUAUCGUCAUUUUAAUUAGUGUCAUUUUAAAAUUUCUUAGUAAUCUUAAUUUUUUUAUCCAACAUAGUGUUAAGGUUCAUAUUUUUUGGUGUUUAAAUUAAUAUGGUUUUUUUCUUUUUUUUUAAAUUGUUGAAUUUUUCCUGCGGUUCUGAAUAUUUUACCAAAAAAAAAAAAAAACCCCCACAAAUUUGUUUUCUUCUUUGCACAAAACCCCUAUACUUGAUUCAUCAGAAGAAAUUUGUACAUAAAGUGUUUGAAUUUUUGUUUUUUGGGUUGAAAUUUCAGUCUGCAUUAUGCAAAUGUAUCUGUUGGGACGCCGAGCACAUCAUACCUUGUGGCGUUGGACACGGGCAGCGAUUUGCUUUGGUUGCCAUGUGAUUGCAGCAGCUGCGUCCACGGCAUCAAGCUUUCGAAUGGAGAUGUAUGUGAGCUGAAUUACAAUUAUUUUUGUUUGCCUUUUCUUGAAUUUUACACGAUUUGUGAAUUUGAUGCAUUUUUACUUCAAAAUUUUGUUGGUUGGAGUACUUUGACUGGUCAUCGCUUCGAGUUGACUUCGCGGUUAUGUUGGUUUGUUAUAAUUUCCAUUAGUUUGUGAAUUUUGCUCUGGGAAUAUGUACUAAAACUCGAUUCAAGCAUGUAACUUCACCUGUUUACCAUCAUCAGUGUUGAGUUGAUUGAGUACUGGAGUGUCUUUAGGGUGAGUGUUUCUUGGGCAACAAAAUAGCAUUGUUUUCUCGAACGCUUCAGGUUGCAUCGUAACUUGGUAGUGUUAUUCAUCAAAAUACUGAUUUGCAUCUUGCGGUUCCUAAAACUAUCUACCAGGCAUAAUUUUAGAAGGAUGGACUAACAUUGCUAGUGCUUUUGGUCCCUAUGUGGAUGGAUGGGGAAGAUGGUCUUAUUGUAUUCAUUUUAUUGACAAUUAACUCUUGAGCUCUUCUAUCAACCAGGUAGUAGAAUUUGAAAUCUACAGCCCUAAUACGUCAUCUACAAGCAAAAUGAUUUCUUGCAACAACAAAACGUUUUGUUCACAAUCGCAACACUGUGCUUCACCAAGUAGUAAUUGUCGUUACAGGAUUGAGUAUCUGUCUAAUGGCACCUCAUCUACUGGGGUCUUGGUAGAGGAUGUUUUGCACCUAUCUACUGAUGAUGCUCAACAAAAAGAUGUACCUGCACGGAUUGCCUUUGGGUGGGUAAUUUUUUCACUGCUUUGCCACAAAAAAAAUAUGGGGUAGUUAUUCGAAGUCUAAACAUGCCAAUUUUAAUUGGUUAGCACACUUGUGAUGUUUGUGUGCUACUCUAUUGCAGUUGUGGUAAGGUGCAGACUGGUAUAUUUUUGGACGGUGCAGCUCCCAAUGGUCUGUUAGGUCUUGGUAUGGAUAACGUAUCCAUUCCUAGCAUUUUAGCUGGACAGGGGCUUGCCUUGAAUUCUUUUUCCAUGUGUUUUGGACUGGACGGAGUUGGGAGAAUCAGAUUUGGUGAUAAUGGAAGCCAAGGCCUAGCAGAAACACCAUUCAAUCGUCAUAGCCAUUCAUAGUAAGAGCUCCCUCAAAAUAUCCAUGUACUGAUGACAAAUUUACAAGUUUCGCAAGUUAACUACUUCGGUCUUUGAUAUCAUCCCAGUUGUACUAAUCUUUUCCCAUUCGAACUUGUUGCCAGUCCAACUUACAACAUUACUAUCACUCAAAUAGCCAUCGGAAAAAGUGUUACUGAUCUCGAAUUCUAUGCAAUUUUUGACUCUGGUACCUCAUUUACAUACCUAAAUGAUCCAGCUUACACGCAGAUUACUGAGAGCGUAAGUAGUUCAAAUUCAGUUUUUCAUAAUAUUAUCUUUUUGUAUCUUCUUUAUUGUAUGGUCUUUGUAACUGUGUCAUUUUUCAGUUUAACUCUCUGCUAAAAAAUAGUCGGCGUCCAAAUGAUUCAGAUAUUCCUUUUGAAUAUUGUUAUGACAUAAGGUAAUUUCUUUCAGAACAUAAAACUUUGUAGCAACUUCCUCUUUCUGAGUCUUCAGGCACUGACUUGACUUUGUGGGCAGUCCAAAUAUAACGGUGAACUUGACAAUGAAAGGUGGAAAGCAGUAUUCUCUCCUCGAUCCACUAGUAACUGUAUCCACUUCUUCGGUGAGUUGCCACUUUUCGUAUUUCUUAUAUGUCCAGCUCCUUCAUCAUGUCAUGCUAAACUUUACCAUUCCAAUCUCCAGGAUGAAUCGACAUUGUUCUAUUGCCUGGGUCUCGUCAAAAGUGGAGAUGUUAACAUCAUUGGACGUGAGUAUCUCUUUCUAAAUAUCUUUCAUUAUCUUGCAAACUGGCAUUCAAGAUCAUGUAAUAGUUGAUUUUCGAAUCAGAUUUCAUAAAACCUUCGUAACGAAUGGUUAAAGCCCUUACACCCCCCUUAACCAUCACUGGCAUUCAAAUGAACUUGUACAUGUUUGCUUCAACCGUUGCUUACAACGUUGAUUUAUUCCUGCAGAAAACUUCAUGACGGGUUAUCGCGUAAUUUUUGACCGUGAGAAGAUGGUAUUGGGUUGGAAGGAAUCCAAUUGUGAGUCUUAAUUCCACCAUUUCAAAUCAAAUAUGGACAGCGUUUUCCUCAUUAUCUUUUUCAGUGACAAUAACGAAACAUUUUUCUUUUCAGGUUACAAAGAUGAGGAAACCGUCACUCUUCCUAUCAGCCCAUCGAAAUCUCCGGCCACAUCCAUGUCUCCGACUGCAUCCCCAACAAACUUCAACCCGGAAGCCACAGCAGGGAGUGGCGAAACUUCUCGCAUACCGGCGUCAAAUUAUUCACCCAAAUUGAAGAAUUCCUUCGCUUCUGCAAUCACUGUCGUUCUUUUCGUCCCUUUCGCCCUCGUUUGAUCAUUCUUUGCCUUUCUGUAGCAUAUAUAUAAUUGAUAGGCAUUUGUUUUGGAGGUGGAAUAUACACAGCAAUUCGAAGUUGUUGACGUUCUAUUUGUGGGUUAAAUUGGGAGGCGGUGCAUGGGCAUCUUGAUUUCUGCCACUGCAAUAAAACGUCAUCAAUAUAUUAUUAGCAACAUGGGUUGUACGUAUGAUUUUAAAUAUGACCACAGAUACUAAAUAUAUUAUUUUUUGGUUGCAAUAAUACAUGGUUUUUGUUUUUGGUUUCUCUUUACACUAAUCAUUUCCAAGAGUUCUUUUGAGCGCUGAUUAGUAAUUUAAUAAGGCGUUAACCAUUCAGUUGGUCCAUCUCACAACCGUCACAUUAAAAAUUCAUCUAAAUUGAGUGUCAUAACUAAAAGCAUUCCGAAUUGAGAAAAUUUAAAAAAAAAAUGCUCUUUCAAGUUUCAAUAAUAAAUCAUAAAGUAAUGUAAAACAAGCUCAAAAAAGUAAGUCAUAUUGUAUUUAAGUUACUAACCGAUUAGCACCGAAUCAUUUAUCAUAUAUGAAAAUAUGGAUAAAUAUAAGAAAAGCAAAUUUCCCAUGCAAUUAUAAUCUUAUAACAACAGAAUACGAGCCAAAACUUACGUUAUCUUCAAUUCUUCAUAAUUCCUCUUUUUCUCUUCCGAAUGACAAAAUCUUCGAUAACACUUGAACCAAGUGCAGCUUAACUAUCACGGAGUUGAUGAUGAUGUCGAACAGACUUAUCUCAAGUUAACAAUGCUUUCAGUCUUUGUUAAACUUUGGUCUUUUUCUGUUUCUUCGCCGGUUGAGCCAACCUUGGGGCCUCCUGCUCAUCUCUCCUUUCCUUUUUCCCUUUGGACUGCAAAUUUUCUUCUUUCUUUGGCGUCUUACCUCGGAAGGUCUGGGACUUCAUCAUGAUCGAUUUAAUUAAUGAUGAUUUCUCUAUCUUUGAUGGUGAAACAUCGGAUUUCAUUUCCUUUUCUGGCACUUCUUCUCGGCCACCCUCUGACUGUCUCAGUGCUACCUGCCGAGCAUAAGCUGCACUCCUGCAAACACCAAACCACAACAAAUACAUAUAACUAAACAGUUGCAGCCUAUUAAUUAAGUAGCACAUGUUAAGGAAAAUACUUUUGAUAGCAAGUAAAAACUCGAGGGAGAUACCUCUUGAACUGUGGAUCUGUCGGAUCCAGAGCAAAGCGUGGUGAGGUGAAGAGUGCUGAAAACCGUGGAUCUUCAAAAUCAACGGUUGGUAAUUUAUCCUCUUCUAGAACCUCUUUACCCUUCUUUCCCUUGGUCUUUUUAUGUUUCAAAUUGUAGCCCUUUGGCCCUGCAUCUGCUCCAUUGUCAUCAGCAAGUAAUAGCUCGAGCUCAUUUCUGCUUGCUUCUGCUUCCCUAUCAUCUUGCUGUUGCUUUUCAUCUUUUUUACUUUUACCUUGAGAUGCGUUUUUAGUUUUUUUGACUGAAGGCUCUUCCAUAAAGAAAUCAUCUGGUCCCUCCGCUGCCUCUUGAUCAGUGUCACUACCCUCAUCCUCUGAUGAGUCCCCCGAUUUAUUUUUCCUAUUCUUCCUUUUCUCACGUCUUUUUCUGAGAUAGGACUCCCAAACUGUUUCUGAUCCCUUAUCUUUCUUUUCUAGGAUGCGCUUGCUUAUAUCUUCUAAGCCAGUAUUAAAAGUGAUCUCCAUAUCCUGAUCAUUGUCUUCACCGUCUCCUUCUGAUGCAUCUCCAUCUCCUUCCCCUUCUCCAGACAGGAGUAACGCACGGUACAUAUCUCGUUUUUUACUCUUUUUAUCGGUCUUUUCCUCUGCAGCAUCAUCAUUCUCCUCCUGAACACUUUCACUCUCAUUAGAAGCCAAAUACUCCUUCAGUUCCAAUUCAGAAAGCUACAGGUAAACCAACGUCAAAAUAGCUAGAAGCAAACAGUACAAGAAGUUAGGUUUUUUUAACAUAAGUUUAUAGUUGAUUUCCAUUGUUCAGUCAGAUCAGUGCGACAGAACGCCCAUUCAGUCCUCAAUAAUGAAAGAUAAGAAUGCAUGGAGCUAGAUAUGAACUCUAUUAACAAAUGACGUAAAUUGCAAGCAAUGUUCACUUAGAUAAAUUAUCCUAACCUGAUCAUCAGUGAAUUUCCGUUUCAAGGUCUUGCGUCCAGGCUCAUCCUCAUCCCAAGAAAUAUCAAUUUUACUAUGUUGCAGAGCUUAAGUCUGGAAAUCCAAACCUCCGUAGCUCGCAGGCACCUGACGAAAGCCAAAGACUUCACAAUCACUCCUACAUUUACGAGAAAAUUCAAUUCAUUUCCUUUUUGUUUAAAAGAAAUUUACAUUCCAAAAAAAAAAACAUGAAAUUACACGAUUUCCACAUAACCUCUACUUCUUUUAUUACAGACAGACUAGACUUAUUGCUCUCUAUACACUUAUAAAUGACUGGUUGAAACAUAUACCUCUGUCGCAACAUCACGGGGUGGGUGUUUAAAUUCCAUCGAGUCAGGGAUGAACCUUAAAUCAAGUUUAUUCGAUGAUCUUUCAAACUCAACUCCAUCACAACUCUUGUAGAGGUAAUCUGCUGUGGUAAUUGAAUCACAUUCCACAACAGCAAAAUAAUCCCUGGAAAUAAAGUUAUUCCCACAAUCGAUAAAUGAACAUAUACUUUAGAGACAAAACAUAAAUCAUUAUCACAAAAUAACAACAAUUAACCACCUUAGCCUGCUUUUCUCAUAAGCAUGCAUUUUCUGAGCAAUAAGCUCCUCAUCAUCAUCGUCAGUGUCGUCAUCUUCAUCACUUUUCUCAUUUUCAUCAUCAAAUAGGCCAACAGGACCACGAAGUUCUUCAUCUUUCAUACGCUGGAGUCCAAACUCAGACGGAUAGACAGUCACAGAUUUCAUUUGUCCACCUUUGGGAAGAAAUGACCUCAACACUGCAUACAAGUCAACAGCCUACAUGAAACACAAUAAAUUUUUCAGUUGCUGAAAGAACCUUAAAGACAAAGUAACAGUACUCAGCUCAAAAAGUUCUUACUCGAACAUCUCAUAUAAAGUGUGCAUUCCAAAAUUACAACUUAUCAUGAAAAUUCAUUUAGUACGCAAAUUUCGUCGAAAAAUUACACAAUCUCCAGACCCAAUGGCUCAAAAAUAACAAAUUAUGUUGCUUUUUCAAUGUCACUUAAUAAUUAUAUAACGAAUUCAACCUACAGCAUCCAACAACUAAAAACAAUCAAUCCAAAAUACAUACCUUCACAUGCCUCCAAUCCAGGUUAACAAUAGCAAGUCUGUGAGUCUCCUUCUCAAUUUCUGGUAUAUCUUCCGCCUGCUCGUAAAUUAAAUCAAUUAACCAAAAUGUAGCAACAUUUUCUUCCAAAUUACAAUUAAUUAAGGCCUAAUUAUACUCACAAAAACAAUUAACAAUAACUACCUCAAUUCCAGGCGCUCCGUCCUCAAAAACCACCUCCUCAUCUUCGUAUCCAUCAUCGGCGUCGGUAUCCGUCGUAGUAUUCGAGCCACCACUGGCCACGUCAUCCUCCGAUUCCUCUCCGCCGAGCCUCUCCACUUCCUCACUCUCUUCCUCCUCCUCUUCCUCUUCCUUUUCCUCUUUCAAUUUUGCCUUAUCUUCGUCUUCCUCUUCGGACUUGACCUUAUCUCCGUCGUCGUCGUCCUCCAUCCGGUAGUACUGCUGCAGCGAGUUUCCCUCAUCGAGCUUCUUCGGCUUGCCUCGCUUGUCCAGCGGCGCCGAUGAUGAGCUGAACCGCUUGUCCGUGAACAUCCGGUUGAACCGCGAGUCAAUCUCAACCUUCGCCUUGUGCUUGGGAACGUUCUGGAACCUCGGGUCCCAGUGCACGGAAGAAAACCGAGGAUCGGCGAUGAUGUUCUCAUCGUCGCCUUUGGAUUCUUUGAGCUUCUUCUUGUUCUUCCCCAUGGUGGCGGCGUAGACGGUUGUUGUUGGGCGGUUGAAGGUGGCGCGGGUAACGGCGGGUGUGGGAUUUCAGUGGCGGUCUUAUGAGAGGCUUAAGAUUUAACGGUCGUCCUCGUCCUAGGUUUAAAGUUUAAAAGAAAAAAAGUAAAAAACAAAAAGAAAUUUUCGGCUGAAUUGCGGUGGACUAUGAUGAGGGCCACUGGAAAUUGCAAGCCCAACUUGAGAUUCUACUUUAAAGAGUCCAACUUCAGGGAGUUAUUAUGGGCUGGUUUAAUAUUAAUGUGCUGUGAGAAUAAACAGCUGUGAAAUAAAGCAGCAGAGUAUUUGGUAAAUUUUUUUGUAUAAGUACUUUUGGAAAGAAAAAAAACGGUAUGAUAGUGUUUGGUAAAAUUUUAUGCAAAACAGCUGUGAUAAUGUGAAAUGACCAAAACCAAGCUUAUCUAUCUAUUACAUUUUUUUCCCUUUCUCUUUUCUUUUACUUUUCUAAAACGCUCUCUCUCUAGAAUCAUCUCCAUUUUUUUCUCCAUCUCGUCCAAAUGCUUCUCUGUCUCUCUUUCUUCACUUUUUCUCUCAUCACCAAAUUCCAUUCGUUUCGCACUUUCUCCCUCAUCAUCAAAGAUCUUUAGUAGAGAUGAAGUUGGGAGGAGCAAAAAGGGGAUGAUAGAGAUGAAGGGAGAAGCUUAAUCUGAGAAAUGGGAGAAGCUUUUGGAAUUUCGAAGCUGAUUUCGUACAGCGACAAUCUGGUGAAGGUGUUGAAGAACCAGAAUGACAUCAACAACUUGGCGCAGUGUCUCCAGCACCGCAAGGCCCUUCGCUCCUCCUACGAUUCUGAUUUCAAGGAAGUCCAGAACUCGCUUCGAGGUUUGUUUCCUCACUUGGGUUCUGUUUGUUUCCUGAGAAAAUUUCUGACCCAGAAAAUUUUCAGUUAGUUGCUUAUACUUUUUUCCACUUUCAAGCAAGCUAAAUUAUGCCUUAGGUAACAGAAAGAAGAUAUUUGGUUGGUGUUGUAUGUCGAUACGUGCAUUGAUUGAUGAGUUCUUAUACGAAGCAGGCUAUGAGAUAAAGGGUAGGAUUGCCAGAAACUUUCAUUAAAGGGUCACUGUUCACCCGUGUUUUAGAGGUUUGCAUAGAAGCUGAAAAGCCAGUUUUUCAAAGCUACAUUUUGCUGCUUCUGUUUUUUUGGCUUUUUUCACCUAAAACUGUGAAAAAAAACUGAAGUUGGAAGUUUACCAAACACCAAAAACUCUCCCAGUUUUUUUUCAUACCAGCUUUUUUUAAAAUCACAUCAAUCCCAAACCAUACCUAUGUCAUGCGACAGUGUUGAGUUUUAAAAAGGGAACUUUUUUAACGAAAAGUUCCUGAUACUGUUUACUGUAACGAAAAAUCACAUUUGUACACUAAAAAGUCAAUCAUGGUACUAUUCACUUUUCCCUUUAUUUUGUCUUUAUCGUUAAAACUCAAAGUUUUCAAGCUCUUUUCAUUAGUUUUCCUUUUUAAAAAUUGUCAAAUUGAGGCAAGUUCGAGGGUGUUAUGUACUCGUUGUGGCAAACCGUGUCAAAUUCCUUGUGCCACUUGCCUGCCACAUAUACAUAAUUACCAAAAAUCAGUUACCGCUAGGCAACCAUCUUUUUACGGUUGCAAAAAAUCGGUUCAGCCAAAAUUAUUGGCUGGUUUGGUUGGUAAAUAGCAUAACCGGUGGUUUCCACUUUUUCCUUGCUAUCUUCCAGUUCCAAUGGCUCAAUUUGAUUUUCAGAUUGGGGUGCUUGUUCGGUUGCAUUGUGUGGUUUGUUGAUGCACAAAACCGGAGGUCUUGGAACAACGUAAAUCCGACCGUGAAUCUGCAAGAAAGUAAAUAACACAAGAUGUAUCGUGGUUCACCCCAAGGUUUGGGCUACGUCCACAUUGAUAUUGUAUUUCUGAGGGAGAGAUAGAGCUCUGAAUAUGAGAGUGAGAGCUCUGAAAGGAUGAAGGGUUAGGCCUAAGAAUUGGCCUCUUCCAAUUGUGAGGGUGAUGAGUCCUUUUAUAGAAUAAGGGCUCCUCACUUAUUACAUAUUUGCCUCUUCCUUUAUUACAUAAUUACAUUUAAGUCCCCCGAGUAUUUUUACGAGAUCUAAAUACAGAGGCCCUAAGUAUGGUAUAAACAGUAGUCCCCCAAGUCUUCAGUCAAGAGAGUCUUUUGGCUGGAGACUUGAAAUUCAGUCAAUGUGUGGGCCGAAGUAACUAGAUGUCAUCUUGAACUGAUACUUGAUAUGAGGCGGUGCUCAAAGCGAAAUGAUGCUCAACUAUCACAUGUUGUGAAGCUGCUCGACUUGUGGCUUAUGUUGCCUUGGUUGGCUCGGCUUGUGGCGUUUGAAGGUGAGGGAGUCCCUUUUAUAGAAUAAGGGCUCGCUCCUCAAUACAUGAAUGAUGGGCUAGAGUUGAUACUCUCUAAUGAUGGUGAGGGAGUCCUUUUUACAGAAUAAGGGUUCACUCCUCAGUACAUAAAUAAUGGGUUAGGAGUGAUAUUUGUGGUGAUGCGGUUGCUCAGCUGGCAACGAUACUCUCUAACGAAGGUGAGGAAGUCCCUUUUAUAAAAUAAAGGCUCGCUCCUCAAUACAUAAGUGAUGGGCUAAGUCCCCCAAGUAUUUUUCAUGAGUGCUCUCUAAUGAAAGUGAGGGAGUCCCUUUUAUAGAAUAAGGGCUCGCUCCUCAGUACAUAGAUAAUGGGCUAAGUCCUCCAAGUAUUUUCAUGAGGUCUAGUUGAGGCCCAAUAUAUGGUACAUAAUGUAGUCCCCCAAGUCUUCGGUCAAUAAAGUCUGUUGGUUGGAGACUUCAAAUUGAAUCCAUGUAUGGGCCGAAAUGGCGGUUGUUCGGAGGUGGUAUUUGUAUACCCUGCACUAAAGCUUUGUAGGUGAAGCUUUGCAAGUGAAGCUUUGAAGCUAGAGCUCUGUAAAUGAAGCUUUCAAAGCUGGAGCUUUUGUAAAUAAAACUUUUGAAGCUGGAGCUUUUGUAAAUGAAGCUUUUGAAGCUAGAGCUCUGUAAAUAAAGCUUUUGAAGCUAAAGCUUUGUAAAUGAAACUUUUGAAGCUGAUUGACAUGAGUGAUGCUCAUGAAUGUUUAUGUUGAUUGACAUGAGUGAUGCUCAUGAAUGUUUAUGUUGAUUGACAUGAGUGAUGCUCAUGGAUGUUGUCAUGAGUGAUGCUCAUGAAUGUUAACAUGAGUGAUGCUCAUGAAUGUUAACAUGAGUGAUGCUCAUAAAUGUUGACAUGAAUGAUGGUCAUGAAUGUUUAUGUAUGAUUGAGUGAUGCUCAUGAAUGUUUAUGUAUGAAUGACAUGAGUAAUGCUUAUGUAUAAUUUGGAGUAACUUUUGAUCACUUGGUUGGUGGCAUGAAGGAGAGUACGGGUUGUACAUUUCAUCACCUGGUUGGUGGCAUGAAUGGCUAGUUGCCAAAUGAUAUUAGAGUACGGGUUGUACAUUUCAUCACUUGGUUGGUGGUAAUAGCGGCAGGUUGCCGAAUAAUUUUGGAGUACUGGGAGUACUUUUGAUCACUAGGUUGGUGCUAAUAGCGGCAGGUUGCCGAAUAAUUUUGGAGUACUGGGCGUACUUUUGAUCACCUGGUUGGUGCUAAUAGCGGCAGGUUGCCGAAUAAUUUUGGAGUACUGGGCGUACUUUUGGUCACCUGGUUGGCGAUUAAUAGAGGGCUUGGCUCUUUUGGGCAUAUGGGCAUUCGCCCUCCACAUGACAUUGCAGCCCAUUAUUUUGGGCUUGCCGUUUUUUUUUUAUUAUUACCCUCUGAUGGGGUUAUACAGAUAUCUCCGAAAUAUACGAAAAAUAAAUUACAUCGUUAAAAAAUAAAUAAAGUAAAUCACAUCAUUCUGGUGGGAUCUUUUGUUUUUCUGCUUUGCUUUUGCUUUUCCCACUCUAUUUCUUUCUCUUUUUCUCUUUUCAUUUUGCUUUCCACUACGUCUCUGUCUCUGUCUCUUGGCGGGCUAACUCCACUUGCUUUUCUUGGACAGCCUGGUCGUGCCCAUCACUCUUCCUUUUUCUUUUUUUUUUUCUUUUUUUUUUUCUUUUUACUUUCUGCUUUGGAUAUGUCGCUUGACGACAUGAUUAAGGGCAAUACUCUUUCUCUAAAAUGAAAGCUGCUUGGACAGCCUCGAUUGGGGACUUGCCUUUAUUUAUGGUGACUUGAUUAAAGGCAAUAUUCCUGAUUAAAGGCAAUAUUCCUUUCUCAAACUGUUCCCACAGACGUCCACCAUUUGCCUGAUUAGAGGAUCUACACCGUCCAAUUGGGCAUGCGAGAUGAUCAGGAGAGAGAAGGUGACGAGGAGAGAGGGGAUGCGUUCCAUUGUUGAACAGCAGAGGCCGUCUGAUACGGCAAGUACGAUCGCCAUUUGUCCCCCUCCUUCUUUUUCCUGUUUUCUGCUCUUGGCACCAGUAUUGUCUGCGACAGUGAUGGCGUCGAUUAUGUAGACGGCGCGUCCUCUGCGCUCAUUAUGGAGCGGGCCCCGUCGAGCUCCGUCGGAAUAAUUAGUAUUUUCUACUGAGUUACUGGUCUCCUGAUCUGAAAUUUCGGGCUGGUUUCGACGGAGAACUGCGGAGAUGCAGCUGCAGCGGCAUUUGACGAGGUCCUUCCUGGUGGAGACUCAUUCAACGAUGGCAGUCGGCGUGAAGUCGUCGUUAGGACUGGCGUAUAACAUCUUCUUUUCCAGCACGAUGGAGGACAAAGAGCUGUAGAGGAAGCUCGUAGACGCCAUGGAUGGCAUAGGAGAUAGAAUCGUGGCGAGGCCGCAGGCUGAGCAUGGCAGAUCUAUUGGGUCAACUUUGCUGCAUUUUUGAACAAGAUCUACUCUCUUCUCCAUUUGUACUCCAUAAUAUUCUAGUCCUUCUUUCGAGUUAUAUCUUUCAAUCUCUUAGAUGAGUGGCUGCAGAGAGUUCAGUGUGGAUUUGAUGUCUUCGAUGAGGUGUUUGAACAUAGUAGUCUCCUCCUGCAGGAAUCUCUUCUUGGCUGAUAGAGAACUCAAGCCUGCUCCUUUACCCACAUCAACCUCAGAUCCAUUAAUCAUGGUAAAAGCCCAUUUCUCAGAACACCCAUCACGGCGCCAUUAAUCACGAAUCGUGUUCAAGUCCCACCAGAGUUCCGCUAACAGGCUGCGGUCACGCCACGUGGUAAGGGAGGCGUCGAUGCUGCAGAGAAUGUGGGUUAUGUUAGUGGGUUCCGGUUCGGGUCCAGGUCCCGGAGCUACAAAGUCAACUCAGGUCCGGACUACAUCCGGCAUGGGGAACCAGUGUGACUUGGUGAAGAAGGCGAAGAAGAGCGCGAGUGAAAUCGACGUGACGAGGCAAAUGAGGAGGCCUAAGUGUAGGCAGAGGACCUUGUUGUACUCCGCCAUGGCUGCAGCUGCUUCUCAACGACGGAGGGAGAGAGAAACAGAGACGUAGGUUACGGGGAUUUUCUGAAAUGGGAAGAAGAUCCUCCUUGAUCUUCAGGACAUAAUCCGCGAUUCAAUGUUGAAUUAAUCCAAUUCUGUGAUUAACCUUGCGAUUCAGCAUUUGCGAACGCAAAUGCUGAAUCGCAAGGUUAAUCACAGAAUUGGAUUAAUUCAACAUUGAAUCGCGGAUUAUGUUCUUCUCUGCAGCCUCGUAAGUGGGGAAAAAGAAAGCAAAACUGCUGCAGAAAAAAGAAUGAAGACCUGUAAAAAGUAGAAAAAGGGGAAUCUUUGGGACUCUUUUAUGGGCAGAGACCGAGAGAAAGAUGAGAAAGCGAGAGGGGAUGACAUGAUGGCUUUGUGUUUGUGGGUGUUUUCUGGAAAAGCCCAGGGAGGUUCUGGGUUCUGCAGAUUCAUGGCGGAGGUGAAAAAUUGAGAGAGAAUCGACAUAGUUUUUCAUGUCGAUUCCCACAGACGGUAAAUCGGAGGUCUUGGAACAACGUAAAUCCGACCGUGAAUCUGCAAGAAGGUAAAUAACGCAAGAUGUAUCGUGGUUCACCCCAAUAUUUGGGCUACGUCCACAUUGAUAUUGUAUUUCUGAGGGAGAGAGAUAGCUCUAACUAUGAGAGUGAGAGCUCUGAGAGGAUGAGGGGUUAGGCCUAAGAAUUGGUCUCUUCCAAUUGUGAGGGUGAGGAGUCCUUUUAUAGAAUAAGGGUUCCUCACUUAUUAUAUAUUUGCCCAUUCCUUUAUUACAUAAUUACAUUUAAGUCCCCCAAGUAUUUGUACGAGAUCUAAAUACGGAGGCCCUAAAUAUGGUAUAAACAUGGUUCAUUUUGGGUUUAUCCAUGUUGUGCACUAACGGUUGAUUAUCCUAAACAUAAGCAACACAUAUACAUUCAAAAUCAUAUAUAUAUACGUGUAUAUAUAGUAUUAGUAAUCAUCAUGCUAUCAAUUUUGUUAACAAUAUUUUCUAUAUUUAUUAUGGCAUGAAUCAUAUUCAUAUACAUAUAUUUUUUAAACCCUAAAACUAAGUAGUCAUUUAUUUUCUAAACCCUAAAACUGAGGAGUCAAGUAUGUAAAAAAUACCAAAAAUAACUAUAUAUAUAUAUAUUGGUAGGUAUGGCAUACUGCCGGCAUACAAAAUCAGUUACCAAAAUCAUGCCAUUAAUUGUCGGUUCGGUAAAAUGCUAAUUGAUUAUGAAAAAAUGCCAAAACUAUAUCAUACCAUUAUGAACCGACAGGUAUGGUUCGGUCGAUAAAUCGGUUUAUGGCAAAAUUUCCCACCUCUAGUUGUGUCCAUUAACCAAUGUUGUUAUUAUCUGGAAGGAUGUCAAAACCUGUUAAGCAAUAAUACAUAUUUAGCAAAUUGAUCGGAAGCACAACGUAAUUGUAUAUAAAUUGAUCAUCUACGAAACCACAGUGAAAAGAUAUACUACAUACGUAUUUACUAUCAGUAUAUUUCAUUGUAGCAGAACGAAUUAAGGGUUUUUGAAGCUUUGUAAGUGCUUUGUUUUAAGAGUCAAAUGAGUUUGCUUUGUUUUACCGAUGAAUAGUGAUUCAAGUUGAAAUUUGGAUGAUGACAAUAUCAUAUAUAAGUUGAAGUUUGAUAGAACCAACAACUGUUUCUUAAAAAAUUUAUGAAAAAACAGUUUCCAGCUUUGCAAAGAAACAGUUGUCAUCCUCAGAUUUUUUUCUUCCUGUGAGAGACUUUCUCUUUACCUGAGAGCUCUUUUCACCUAUUGCGUGGGUGUUUUUAAUUCUACAGCCGCCAACCCUAGCUAUGGCCAAGGUCGGUGGUAGUGCCUUCCUUUUUCUCUUUGCUUUCUCCCUUCUUUCCUUUUGCUGUUUUUCCCCUGCUCUCCAUUUUGAUUUGGCUUGUUCUUUACACCCCAUCGGCGUCCCUUCUCCUAGACCAUAUCCACUUCGAUCUGCAGUCAGUCAUUACCGCAAUUUGUUAUUGCACAUCGAAGGGGUGUAUAGAGUUCCGGUGUUCCUACCGGCUUGUUGUUCAUAACACCACCAUUUUCUUUCUAUCUUUAUUGGCAGCGUUGCUCGUGGACUCCCACAUGCAUGUUUCACUUUGUGGCUACGAUCGGAGAGUUGCUCGCAGCAGGAUGAUACGAUAGGCGUGGCGCUGCUUGGCUGGUCGAGAUGCACUUUUGCGGAGCCGCUGGCAAUAGAAUUCUCGGGUUUCUUCUGGUUUGUUCAUGGUUUGGACUCCUUUUUUGUUAGCUUGGCAGGUCCACUUUUGCUUGUGCUUAUUUGUCUUUGGGUCUUUGUAUUGUAAACUGUAAGUUUGUGGAGUUGCUAAUAAAAUUUCAUCUUUGUUCCAAAAAAAAAAAAAAAAAAAAAAAGAGUUGUAUGAUUUUUUUUUUAUCUGGUCGAUAGUCAAUUGUAUGAUUACGUUUGCUAUUUUAGAAAGGCCUUGCUACCUGCUAGACUGCUACGCAAAAAACAGAAUGUGCCGGUUUACUUACUAUUAUUUAAUUUUGACAUGCGUGCAUUGCGUCGGACUGGCACUAAACUAAACCCACCAAACAGAUAAACCCUAACCAAUUUGGAUGGUAUUAUAUUCCCAUCUCUCGUUUGGGUGAAGUUGUUGGGAUUUCUACCGACCAUUAAGUCCCAGAAUUACAAUCCAAACCCAAUCCAAUGCAACAACAUUUCUGGGAAAUUAUUUAUCCAUUAUUUUUUCAAUUUCCCAGAUUGCUAAAAUUAGGUUAGCUAAGUGAUCCAACGCUCACCUAAAUCAUCCAGAAUUAUUUCAGACAGAAUUGAGAUACAAGGUUGUUGGGUUGAACUGAAGUUAGUUAAUCAUGUCUCAAACAUAACUAAUGAAGCUGGAGACUUUGAACGCAAGCUAAUUGACUCUCCCAGACAUGACGACUUUUGAUGUCUCAACCCUAACCACUUCACACAUUCCUUAUUUUUUUCCUGUUAAAUAGGCAAAAUUAUUUAAAACGAGACCGAAGCACGGACCAGAUAUUCUGGAUCGACCCGAAAACCCGUGAUACGUGUUUGAAUGCGGAUUCGAGAGGUUACAGAAGAAAAAUAAUGAGUUGAUGAAUUGAGAAUAACUGUUUGGUGUAGCAUGCUGAUGCAUGCAGGUUUUAAAAAAGAAAUAAAAAGGAUUAGGAGUACCUACCAAACCAUGCAUAAGAGUUUAUUUGAUUUUUAAAUUGGAGAAUAUUUGUUUUAAUUGUUGGAUUGGAACAAUUUUUCCAUUGCGGAAUCUCCUCUUUGCUUUUGUUCUUGAGAAUCUUCUGGUUUUUUUUUCUUCGUGUGUUUAAAUUAUUUAACAUCAUAAUUAACUCAUUGCAUUAAAAGUCAAUAAUCAUGUGCCAUGUUUGAUCAUUAACACCUUGAAAUCAAUAAAAUUAUUGAAUUCACUUUACAAGAUGAUGGUAAUUGAUUCGUAAAAAUAGACAAACUAUGUUUUGCGAUAUGUUUUGAUCGGUAGGGAAACAGAGAUUCGAACUUGGGAUGUCGUUGAACAUUUUAGUCGAGGUUUAAAGGUGCAGAAGAAAGAUGUGAUGGCAAUUGUCUUGUAGUGAGGUGCCUUUGCCUCCAUAAUUACUUCUUAAUUAGACAUACUUACUUAACUAAUUCAUUAUUUAGGGCCACCAUCAUAUCAGUAACAGCCCCUCUCUCUCUCUCUCUCUCCUCUCUAUAAAUACCAUCCCUAAUCCAUUUUUAUGUCCCACACUUAAAUUACGCAGAGUUAAGCAAGAAAGUUGUUCUAAUCUCUCAGGAUGGCUUUCAAUCCUGCAUUAUUGAGCUCAAUCUUCAUCGUCCUUUUGGUAUUUUCCACAGUGACAAACGCGCUGAGCUUGAAUUACUACGACAAGAGCUGUCCCAAUGUCGAGCAAAUUGUUUCUAAUGCCGUCAAGAAGGGGAAAGCCAACGACGGAACUGUCCCUGCUGCUCUGCUCCGGAUGCACUUCCACGACUGUUUCAUAAGGGUAAAUACAUAUUUUUUUGGUACAAGCUGUUUCGAAAGCGUAAACACAUUGAUUAGUUGAUUGAGUUAACUCAAAAGUAUUUGUUUUUGUUUGCAGGGCUGUGAUGCAUCUGUGCUGUUGGACUCCACCAGAGGCAACAAAGCAGAGAAAGAUGGGCCACCAAAUAUUUCUCUGCAUGCGUUUUAUGUCAUUGACAAUGCAAAGAAACAAGUGGAGGCUUCCUGCCCUGGUGUUGUUUCAUGUGCUGAUAUCUUGGCUUUGGCAGCAAGGGAUGCUGUUGUGCAAGUAAGAUUGUCGAAACUAGGGAGAUUCUGUUGCAUAAUAUGAGAAACAGAACCGCUUACAAGCUUUUAAUCAAAAACAAAACUACUAGACACACUAUAUAGACAAUAGGAGUUCAUUUAGAAAUGUUUUUAAAAUGACUGAAAGCAUUUUUUAGAACAAUAUUUUUGGAAUAAUCCUUAAUAAAACUAUAAGUGAAUCCUGGAAAAACACUUUAAGUGCUUAUGUGCUUCUUGCUGAAAGGACUUAAAUGCUUUUGAAACCUAAAAAUAUUUUCUCUAAAAGCAUUUUCAAUUAUUUAAAAAGUAUUUUCAAAUGAGUCAUAUACCGUAUAUAAUUCACGGUCCUCUUUAUACAUAUUUCCCGAAAGUAAAACAACAUAGCUGUAUACUCUUUUUGUACUUUCUGACUGUGUUAUCAAUGCUACAGUCCGGAGGUCCGAAUUGGGCCGUGCCGAAAGGAAGAAAAGAUGGACGAACAUCAAGGGCUAGUGAAAGCGUGCAACUGCCGGGUCCAACCUUCAACAUAUCUCAACUGCAGCAGAGCUUCUUUCAGAGAGGUCUGUCCUUGAAUGACCUGGUGGCUCUUUCAGGUAAACUAAUCUCAACAUUUUUGCUGUUAUCGAAGAAGAAACGAAAGAGAGUAACUUCGGAUGCAUCUGCAGGAGGGCACACUCUAGGGUUCGCCCACUGCUCAUCGUUCCAAAACAGAAUUUACAACUUCAAUGCCACACGCGACGUUGAUCCAACACUGCGCCCAUACUUUGCUGCAAGUUUGAGGAAUACGUGUCCCAUCAAGAACAGACCGAGGAAUGCCGGUGCCACAAUGGAUUCUUCUUCUACAAUUUUUGAUAAUACAUACUUCAAGUUGAUCCUCCAAGGAAAGAGCUUGUUUUCUUCGGACCAAGCUCUGGUCAGUAUUCCACGGACUAAAGGUUUGGUUACUAAGUUUGCUUCCUCAAACCAAGCGUUCUCAGAUGCUUUCGUGAUGUCUAUGAUAAAGAUGAGCAACCUUAAUGGUGGACAAGAGAUCAGGAAAGACUGCAGGGUAGUAAAUUAAACGAGGGCCGCCAAGCUUAGUUGUAGCCGAUUGUAUAAACAUGAGAACUGGGAAAUCCAUCAAGUCGGUGGUUCUCUAUUAACUUUCGAGUUUUGAAAGAUUUGUGAAGGAAAUUGUUUGUGUGCUGCGUUUCAUAAUGUUUGAAAGGAUCUUGUUACAACAAAAUUCUGUUAUAAAUUGUAACAAAAAUCGUACUAUUUAUACGAAGUACUCAGUUGAAGGGCAACGCAUUUUCUUGUCUGAAACUUAAAGUAGUCUCCGGACAAUGCAUGAAAUCGGUGUAUAUCAACCCCUUUCAUUAAUGAGAUGAACAUACGAUGCUCAUUACAGAAUGGUCGUACAGGUCAACUGGACUAAACUUACAAUGCAAGCAAGAGUGGCAGAAUUACCACAAACUCCCAAAAAUGCUAACGCAAAACCGUUGUCUCAGCCUGUUCGCUAUCCAGAGCGAUCUCUGCCAGUUGAAGGUUGCCACGUAGCCCGGAUGCCUUGUAGGAUGGCAUAAACGAAAAGGCGUCAAGAAGCUUCAAGCACUUCAAUCCCCAUUUGACCAUCAAGAAUUCAAUAAGACGAUGCCCGCUGCAUGUUACAAGAAGUGCUUUCAAAGAGUAAUAAAAGUGAAAGAGAGUCAUUUACAGCGCUAUCUGCAUACUACAAGCGCACAUGUUAUAAAGUUAGAACAGCAUUAGAAGCACACGCAGGUGAAAUACCUUCGAUUAUGGUAUGUUGUUAUGAAGACUGACCCCGGAGAAUUUUGGAGCAGAAAUGUCACGGUGGCAAAGAGGUCAUCAAAGGCUUACCAAGGAGAAUUAAAUCCUAAUUUAGCUUAAGUUCAGUGAUAGAGGGGCAUGUGAAAUGAAAAAAAAAAAAGAAAAAACAAAUCGUGAAACAUAAAAGUUAAAGUCGAUUAAAAUCCUACCAGUAGCAUCAUAUAAUACAUCAGCCCCGAGAAUGAAUUUGGGGUGUAAGCUGAACGUUGAUGCAUCCCAAGCUCCCCAUGUCAAUCCCAUUACCUGAAAAAUUGAAGUGAGACAAGAUUAACAUCAUCUAAUCAGGUGAUGUGCAAACAAGAAUCGGCGAUUAGCCUGUUGAUGGCGAUUACCUUGCACUCAAGUUUAUUAAGGUCAAGCACUCUUCUCAUGUUGUCCAGCACCUGCAGAUUCAAGACAACAAAGUCUGGUCUAGUUCACUAAGGUAGUAAAGAAAACGAGGAUUCUUUAUCAAUUUGAGGGUUCAAUCGAGAUCAAUACACGCAGUUCAUAACGAUAAUCAUACUUCUGAAAUAAAACAAUCAAAAUUGACGAAAAACAGAAAUGAUUUCGGAUGAACUUUUAAGCACAAAUGAAAACACUAAACUAUUUUCGCAAAAAUAGGCCCUUAAACGCAUUAAAAAUUGCAAAUCCCCCCUCUCCCUCUCUCCCGUUCGAUUAAAAGCUUUCUGAUGAUCCAAUCCUCCCUCAAUUUAAAUCGCAAGACACACCUUCGAGCCCAAUACUUUCUAACCAUCGUAAAAAGUACAUUGAGCUUUCAAGCAAAUCAAAAAAAUUAGACACUAAUUAUGUAUUAGCAAGUAAUCAAAAUUAAGAAAACAGCCAAUGCGAUUGGAAUUUCAAUACCUCCAAUCUACUCGAAUCAUCAGUGAGAGUGACGUCAGCACCAACUCUGGCGGCAACCAGACCGGGCAAGGAAGUUCCAGCGCCAAGCUGCAAACUAACCCAGAAAUGAUUAAUUAAUUAAUUACUAAAACAAGAUUAAGAUUAACAGUACUACCUCGACUACGCUAGCUCCGGAAAAGCGCAAUCUCUGUUGCCAAACAUACUCCGCCAGGACUAAGCUGCAGGGCCACACGAAGAGCCCGUACUCUUCCUUCAUGUUCUCGAUGACGGAGACGGAGAAGGCCGGUUCUUCCAAGUCGUCCCCGAAACGAUGACGCGAUACCGUCGACAUAUCGGGCGAGUCAUUUCCUUCCAUAACUCGCUAGUUUGCUGCCGCAGCGAAAGUCUGGUAAGGGAACGAAUUGGGUUGGAGAAGCCUCUGUCAAAAAUGGGCCUACUAAAUCCCCACAGGCCCUAUUAAACUUGGGUCCAAUAUAUGUUUUGAAUUAAAGUUUUGCUACAAUUGCAGCAGAGUUUAUAUACAUUUUAUUACACACACAUGCAAUAAACAAAAGCACUGGAAGUGGCGUCCUUGCUGUCCACGAUGCAGCAGUCAGAAUACACAUGCAGUGACCUUGCUGCUCACGUCCAUGAUGCAUGUGCCCUUGUUGUCCAGAACAAUGAUACAUCUUCACAUGCUAACCUAGCUGUCAAGGAAUGUUUUAUGCAUGUUAAUAUUCCUUCUGUCCAGGCUGGACUGUUAGUGGAGCACCUUUAACAGGCCCAACUUAAAAGGCUCAAUGAAAUUUAUCCGAAAAACCCAAGGGCUAAACCAAUUUUUGAAGGCAAUUUUUGAUGGCGCUUUCUCGAAAGCAUGCAGCCCCAAUCUUCUUCCUCCCUCCUCUGCUUCACCGAGUGAACUCGCUGAGGUCGACAACUCGGAUCUCGACCAGCCCUCCUAUGGCUUUUGCUCACCACCCAAUAUCCAUUCUUCUCAAAACUUCAAAGCACCCAAAGACUUCGAUUCUGAAAUCUCCUCUUCCUCUUCCUCCUUCUUUUUCCUCCAUUUCUCUUCCUCUCAAACCUCGCAAUCUCUCCUUGUUGUUAAGGUCCCGAAUUCCAGGGCAUAAAGGUAAUUACAGUUCUCCGCCGUCGGCGCAGGUGGAGCCCCAGGAGUAUCAGGCGAGUUCAGCUGCGGACGCCUUCACUAACUUCAAAGCAUCUUCUGCUGCCCAUCACCGAUGGGAACCCAUAUCUCUCCGAGGGCACGAGACGGGUAAUUUUUCCUUCAUUUUCUACCUGGGUAAUUUUCGUGGCUGCCAUUGUGUGAUGAUCCAGGUAAAAAGUUUGAUUUUUUUUUUUUUUUUUUACAGGCUAUAGCUACUGUUGCUGCUUUGGCGAAGAAGUAUGGGUCUGACAUUACGGUUGUGGGUAUGUUUACUGAUGAGAAUUGCUCUCUCUGUUUUUACAUUGUGUGUUACGGUGUCGAAACCAAGCUUUAUAUAUAGAGCUUUUCGUUACUGUAGAGACGUUUUCGGAAUUGAUUCAGUAAAUGUAGAGUAGGAAUAUAGAACUUUGUGUUGUUUUGCAGUGAUCGAUGAACAGCAGAAGGUUCGACUAUCCGCUGGCAUCUCUCUGAAGGUUUGUGUAUUGUCUCAUGUGGAAUUUGGAUAUUACAACUUUGAAUAUUUAUCGUACACGAGUAAAGGGAAUGUGAAAUGUUAGAGCUGAUUGAUUAAUAGAGAACAAAAACAUAGAUAUUAUAUGAUUGUGUCGAUUCAGUGAUGUCGAUUGAGUUUUCAUCGGUGUAUUGCAAUAAGAUGCAAUUUUUCACAAUAAGUUGAUGUGUUGAUGUUGCUGACUGAAUCAAAACAACGGAGCAGAAUGACAAUGAAAAGGAGUCGUAUUUCAUUAGGGAAAAAAAGAAGAGGAAAGCGAUGGUUUUCUAGUUGGUAAUUCUGAUGGUUGACGGGGUUCAAGUAAUAGGAAAGGGAUGAAGCAUCAAAUCUUGUUAAAUUUGGUUAUUUUUGUCAAAAAACGCUUGAAAGUACAAUAGAAGAAUCUGGGAAAGUUGGCCCCGUAGAUGGCUCCAACAUGUAUGAUUGUGUUGUAAGAAUAUUGUAGCCGAUUGCUGACCAAGUACUACUUAAGAGAAUAGUGUGACAACCCGUCCUGUGAUUUACGGAACGGAACAGUAUUCCCGUUUUUAUCACUUUGGUUGGGUUUUAUUUGUUUAAAAUAUUGCUUUUUGGUGAUAAAUGGUGUGCCCAAGGAGCUCAUCCCUGUUUUGGUCCCCUGGUUCCCCUCUCUUCCUUGGCUACCACGUGGCAGUCUCUCAUCUUUCUCUUCUUCUCUCUUUCCCUUCCCCUGAGUCAACACACUCUCUCUCUUAGCUCUCUCUCAUGACCCCUCUCCCUUUCCUUUUCUCGACGACACCCAAGGCACCCUAACACCCAAAUCGAGGCACCCCGACGACGGCACCAAUACCAUCACUCUCGCGAGAACCUCCCUUCCUUCCCCCUCGUCUCUAUGAAGCUCGGUGAAGCCUAGAAACCCAGGAAAUGCUCCGGCGAACCCUCGUGACUUUCGAGCUAAACCCAACCAAGUCUUGUUAGUUGAGUCAUAAUCUGUUUUCUUUUAAUCUUUUGAGUCAAGUUAAGUCUUAUUUUCUUCAAAAUCCCUUGUUAGGUCUAGAAUUAAGUUUUUGAUUGUUUGUUGUUGUUUUGAGCAAGGUUCUAAAAAACGUUAGGCGCUAGUCGGGCGGCGGACUGGCGCCUAGCGCCUAGGCGCCUAGGCGGAUUUAGGUAAAUUUCUUAUAUAUCUUGUAAAUAAAUGUAUACUGAUACUUACAAAAAAUUAUACUUAUAUGAAAUCUCUGAAUAAGAUAGUAAAAGAAUAAUAAAAUGUAUAUCUAACAAGUCCAAAAAAUCCAUAGCACUUGAUGCUAUGAACUGAUAACCUGACAAUCAAUGUUUUUUUAAUGAGAAAAAAAAUUAAUUUUUUGUCAGGCUAUUAAUUUUUUGUAGAUGGCAGCUAGUCUGCCCUUUGUCCAGGAAGAGAUGAGUGCUCCAUCGCUAUCUACAAAAAAAUCCAUAGCACUUGAUGCCACAAAAAUAAAUAGUCUGACAGCCUUUUUUCUUUAAGAAAAGUCAAGGCUAGCUGUCCACAUUUGAAUGGACAAAAAAUUAAAAAAAUUAAAAAAUUAAAAAAAAAGUUUACAAGAUCACGUGGGUGGGUGUGGAAAGAAGAGAGAGAAACUAAUUCUCUCAUCUUCUUCCUCUUUCGCGAACACAGACCACCAAAAGCCCAGAAAAACUAGAAGCAUUCAUCCUUUCUCAAGUUCAAACACAGAAAAAAUUGAAAUUCCCAGACCGCCUAGGCCACCCAGUCGCUCGCCUAGGCCACCCAAGGGUCGUUCAGGCUGCCUCGGCACCCGCCUAAUCCUUGUCCUGAUUUUUCUUCUGAUUUUGCGUUAAUCCCAGCGGUUGGCCAUCGCCCAACGCCUAGGCGCCGUCUAGGCCGAUUUUUAGAACACUGGUUUUGAGUCAUUUAAGUCAGCUUUAAGUCUAUAGAGUCUAAUUUAGUGUUUUUGAGUCUUAUUUGUGUUGAUUAGCAUCCCUAGUUAAUCUACAGUCUAGAACGAUCCCUACUUGCUUCAUACUACAACUACAUGUUUAAUAGGGUUUAAUUUGUGUGUUAGUUAAAUUUCACAUCGAAUUUUGGCGCCGUUGUCGAGGAUUAGCAAACUUGCUAAUCUCCUUUGUUUGUGUCGUGUGUCUUUGUGUUUUCUUUUAGUGUCAAAGUGUGUUCGUGUGUUUGUGUGUGUUUGUGUCUAUCUUUGUUGUGCCUCCUACUUGGUUGCUGAGUUGUUUUUGUUCCUUGUUUUAGGUACUAGUUUAUGACUCGUAGUUCUCAACCUAUUAGUGCAAACAUCUUGGAGUUCGAUGAUGAUUUUGAACGAACUUUGAGAAGAAAGAGGAAGUAACCAGAACCUAUCCACGUAGUUCAAGUUCAGAGGCCGAAUCUGAAUUUGAAGAAGAAGAAGAAGAACAAGAACAAGUCAUGGCAGCGGACAAUCGUACAAUCAAAGAACUUUCAGCCUCGGGGUUGGACAAUGUCAUGCCCCUUUGCAUUCAAUAUCUCGUGGCUGCCCAAGGAAAAACUGAUGAGUUGAAUUUAAGUCUAACUUGUUGCAACACAUUCCUAAGUACCAUGGGUUAUCCAUGGAACAUCCAAACAAGCAUCUUAAGGAGUUUGAAGUGGCAUGUUCGAGCAUGACACCCAUCAAUGUCGAUGGGAACAUUCUGAAGAUGAAGGCCUUUCCAUUUUCUCUUUUGGAAAAGGCUAAAGAUUGGCUAUACGAAUUGGCAUCCGAAACCGUCACUUCUUGGGAAAGCAUGAAGCGAGCAUUCUUAGAAAAGUUUUUCCCAACUUCGAGAGUCAUUCUCUUGAGGAAGAGAAUUAGUGGCAUUCAACAAAGCCAAGAAGAAUCAUUUCCAGCGUAUUAUAGCGUUUUAAGACUCUAGUUGUAUCGUGCCCUCAACAUCAAAUGAAGGAAGAACUUUUGCUUCAAUAUUUCUACGAGGGACUCCUACCAAUUGAGAGACAAAUGUUAGAUGCUUCAGUGGGAAGUGCUUUGGUUGACAAGACUCCAGUUGCUACAAAGAUCUUAAUUGCAAAUCGAGCCUUGAAUGCAUAACAAUAUGAAUGAGUUGGAGGAAGAGACACCCCACGGCAUCAACAACAUGUGAAUGAGGUAAGUGCAAUUUCUGAAAUUCAAUUUCAAUUAGCUAACCUCAUUAUGCUUGUAUCUCAGGUUGCCGAAAGAUGCAAAGUGCAAAGAAUUACACCAAGUGUAUGUGGAGUGUGCUCUAUGCAAGGACAUCUCAAUGAUUAAUGUCCUCAAUUGAUAGAGAAUGGAGGAUGAGAAAGUGUCAUUGCCAUAGGUUAUCAAGGCCAAAAUCAGCAAAGGAAUGAUCCAUACUCAAAUACAUACAAUCCGGGAUGGAGAGAUCACCAAAAUUUCAAGUGGAGAGAGCCUCAACAACCUUAACAAGGAGGAUUUCGACAGCCACCCCCUGGGAUAUAUCAAAGGCCAUUUGCACAAUCUCAACCUUAAUCACAAACAGCUCAACCAAACUCAGGUUCGCUAUUUGAUAAUGAUCAAGCUAUUCAAUUACUAACUUCUGUAUCGCAGGGAUUACAAAAUCAAAAUAAUCAAAUAGCAAAUCAAGACAGGGAGAUGAGUGACACGAAGAAGCAAAUAGGGCAGAUUUCAGAGUUCCUUGGGCAGUUUAGAGAACAAGGCAAACUUCAUAGUUCAAUCGUUGUGAAUCCAAAUGGAGACUUUGAAACCGCCAAGGCCAUCACGUUAAGAAGUGGCAAGUAGGUUGGAACCGACCCACAACCAUCCAAAUCAAUUCAAAAUGAGGACGAGAAGCUGUUGCUCGAAGAGGAGGAAGAAGUCAAGCCCACGGCAAAGGUAGAAAAACCCUUGCCGCAGCCCCCUAAAACUUCUAAGCCAUCCACCACAAGUAAGGUUGUUCCAAAUUUGACUCAUUCUAACCCUAUUCCACCCAAUGCACAUUUCCCUCGCAAAUUUAUGCAAGUUAGGAUCGAAAAUGAUGAAAAAGACAUCUUAGAGACUUUCAGGAAGGUGCAAGUCAAUAUCACAUUCCUUGAUGCAAUAAAGCAAAAUUCAAAGUAUGCUAAGUUUUUUAAGAAGCUUUGUACAACAAGGAAACGGAUUUCGGAAAUGGAGGUGGUACAUGUAAGUAAGAAUGUCUCUGCAAUGUUGCAAAGAAAGCUGCCACCUAAAUGCAAACAUCCAGGUAGUUUCACUAUCCAUUGUGUAAUUGGUAAUACAAGGUUUGAACAUGCUAUGCUAGAUUUAGGUGCAUCAAUUAAUGUCAUGCCAUAUUCUGUUUAUGCAUCUAUGAAUCUAAGAGAGCUUAAAAAUGAUGGUGUUAUUAUUUAAUUAGCCGAUCGAUCUAAUGCAUACCCGAAAUGGGUGUUGAAAUGUUUUGGUGCAGGUAGACCACUUGAUUUUUAAUGCAAAUUUCUACGUGCUUGACAUGGAGGACUCAGGCCACUCUACACCAUCGCCACUCUUACUUGGACAACCUUUCAUGAAAACUGCCCACACCAAGAUUGACGUGGCCAAGAGAGCCUUAACUAUGGAGUUUGGUGAUGAUAUGAUCAACUUUAAAGUUUCUGAAUCUAUUAAGAAUCCUAAUGAUGUUCAUCCUUGUUUUGCCAACACUCCACAUUAUAAAACAAGGAUGAACAUCAUUAGGAUUCUUAAUAAAUUCAGAAACUUUAAAGUUGAUCAUAUCACCACCAAACUCCAUAGUUAAAGCUCUAUUGGCCACGUCAAUCUUGGUGUGGGCAGUUUUCAUGAAAGGUCGUCCAAGUAAGAGUGGCGAUGGUGGAGAGUGGCCUGAGUCCUCCAUGUCAAGCACGUAGAAAUCUGCAGGAAAAAUCAAGUGAUCUACCUGCACCAAAAUAACUUCCAACACUCAUUUCGGGUAUGCAUUAAAUCGAUUGGCUAAUUGAAUAAUAACACCAUCAUUUUUAAGCUCUCCUAGAUUCAUAGAUGCAUAAACAGAAUAUGGCAUGACAUUAAUUGAUGCACCUGAAUCUAGCAUAGCAUGUUCAAACCUUGUAUUACCAAUUACACAAGGGAUAAUGAAACUACCUGGAUCUUUGCAUUUAGGUGGCAGCUUUCUUUGCAACAUUGCAGAGACGUUGUCACUUACAUGUACCACCUCUUUCUCCGAAAUCCGUUUCCUUGUUGUACAAAGCUUCUUAAAAAACUUAGCAUACUUUGAAUUUUGCUUUAUUACAUCAAGGAAUGGAAUAUUGACUUGCACCUUCAUGAAAGUCUCUAAGAUGUAUUUUUCAUCCUUUUCGGUCAUAAGUUGCAUAAAUUUGCAAGGGAAAGGUGGAAUAUGGUUAGAAUGAGUCAAAUUUGGAACAACCUUACCUGUAGUGAUGGCUUAGAAGCUUUAGGGGGCUGCGGCAAGGGUUUUUCUACCCUUGUCGUGGGCUUGACUUCUUCCUCCUCUUCAAGCAACAGCUUCUCGUCCUCCUUUUGAAUUGAUUUAGAUUGUUGUGGGUCGGUUCCAACCUGCUUGCCACUUCUCAACGUGAUGGCCUUGGCGGUUUCAAAGUCUCCCUUUGGAUUCAUAACGAUUGAACUAUGAAGUUUGCCUUGUUCUCUAAACUGCCCAAGGAACUCUGAAAUCUGCCAUAUUUGCUUCUUCGUGUCACUCAUCUCCUUGUUUUGAUUUGCUAUUCGAUUAUUUUGAUUUUGUAAUCUCUACGAUACAGAAGUUAGUAAUUGAAUAACUUAAUCAUUAUCAAAUAAUGAACCUGAGUUUAAAGGUUGAGUUUUAUCUAAAUUUGUGCAUUAAUGCCUCUUUUGAUUAUAUCUCGUCUGAGGGAGGUUGGUCUAUAUUCUGAUGAACUAUAUCUCUUUCUUGUUGAGGCGGUGUUUCCCAUCUUACACUUGAAAUGGUGUAUUGGGUGAUUCUCUUCUCAUCGGCAGAACUUUGUUGUCGAUUUAUUUAGAUGUAUCUUGAGAGAAUUUCAAAUACACUCAUGAGUUUGGCCCUUGAUUAAGACCUUAACCCCUUUGAUGUGACAUUGGGAUUGUAACAUAUCUCUUAACAUUUCUUAUCCAUAAUCUUCUUUACUAUUCACUUAUAUGAGUGAUCAUUUAUUAAAUCAUUCUAUUUAUUGUAUAUUGCAAAUUUCCCUAUCUAAUUGAGUACAUAUUAUUAAAUGUAUCGAGACUUAUCUAUACAUGACACUGGUUGUAUUGCGCGUAUGUAAUUCUUUAGCUUAAAUUCCUUAUACGUUCCCGAACCUUAUGACAUGUAUUAGGUCAGACUAGUUCAUGUGUAUAUGAUGUAACGAGUCUUGAAAACUAGGAGAUUGAUUAUGUAACAGAAAUUGCAAGGCAUUACCUCAUCACUGUUGUUGUUCAUCGAGGGGGUACUCAGUGGGGUGUUUCUAUACCUCACAGACGCCUUCUAUCAUUGUUGUGCAUUUGAUUGAAUAUAAUGCACUUACGUUAGUACAUCUUCUGCGUACAAAUGCUUUCACCAUUUGCAGAUUAGUUGCAAUUUGAGAUUGCCAUCUUUGGUCAUAGCAACUGUGUAAUCUUAUGUCUAAUCCAAAAUACAAAUUUCCUCCGUUGGAAAGACAUCUAAUCUAUCAUCUAAACCAUCUUAAAUUAAUAAGGUACAUUAUAGGUUAGUACCCUCUGUUAACGAAAUAAUAUUUACUAGAUUUCAGCGGAUAUAUAAGUUUCCUGCGCGCACAUGAGAUUAGUUACUAUACAUUUGGUAUGGGCCAACACAUUCUCAUUCGGGUAAUCUUAGAGUCUUGCAUUAACUGACGUGUCAUUUAUAUAAAACAAUUCUUGGUGAGUACAGAGAUCUCCUUGUGAGCUAUUUUGCUUGUGAAAUGUCACUCAGACUCUUUUUAGAAUUCUCUACGUCUAAUUAAGAUAUUGACUUUUCAAUCUAUAUGAAAGAUUUUGGUGCAUACAAACUUUUCUAAAUCACUUCUCGUCAUUGCUUAUAUUGAUAUAUUAUCACUACCAAGUUAUAGUAUGCAAUCAUGUAGGAUUCCACCACCGGGUAGCCAAUAACUUUUAUGUCCUGCGUUUCCUCAAAAAGAGAGAGAGAUAUGGAUUAUAAGUUUUUGAUAUAUUCUCUGGUCAUAACUUCUCCACUAUUAAUAUGGUUCACAUCUUCGGAUUGGAUGGGAUGUUAGUGUUUCAUAGCUAUCGAAUUUACAUGUGCAAUUUUAUCUUUUACGCAUGUCUGAGAUUAUUGGUUCAUCUCUAUCUCACAGUUGCGCAUUCAUUUUCAUAAUUCUACAUAAAAAUACGAGAAUACUUAGUGUAAUUAAUUGGGAAAUAAGUAGAAUUUUAUGACCAUAGUGAGGAAGAUCUUAUAAAACUAUAUAAUUUACCAACAAUUCUAACAUUAAGAAUACAACAUCUCAAAUCGAAUUAUAUCGAAGAGUAAAUGUAUAGGAACUUGAUAACAACCCACCUCGUACUCUACUUCUUCCAUAAUAUAUUUGUAACCCAUUCGUAUAUGAUCGCUCAUUGGUUCCAAGCGUGGUGCUCCAUUGCCAAACGCAUUCAACAUGGAACCCAGUUACAACCUGACAGGGAUAUAUAGUCGGUGCACGAAUGACCCUCGUCCCGAUCUAGGCUAUGUAGCACCCUUCGACUUUCUUCGCCGAUAAAGAAUUACGAGCUAGCCGGCCGAUAUUAAACGCUCACAAGAGUCGCGCAAGUCCCAGCCACGCGCUCGUGCAUAAUGUGCAGCCAUUAUGGAAUGAAGUAUGUUGAGCCUCAAUCUUACUAUACACCAUCCACUAUCCCUAUAAUGAAUGAGAACAUUCAAAAACGCAACUGCAAGUUGCGUAGAGCUGGGGUAAGCGUAUAAUACAAGUCGCAUUGUUGAAAUUUUUUCUUUUAAGUUUUCAAAUUGUAUUAUUACAUUUUAGAUACAUAAUUGCAUUUUCACUCGUGCAUGUACUUUUGGAAUCUCAUUCAUCGUUUUGCAGUUUUGGUUAGCUAGUUUGUAAAUACUGAGCACUAAAUUGCUAAUUCUAUGCCUUGAAGUAACGAACCCUAACUGAAUUAUAAGUUCUAAUUUAUAUGGCUAUAAAUCUGUAAUAAUAAGUUAUAAUAACACUUAACAAAAUCCCAAAAGGCAAUGUUGCCAUUGCUUGAAGGAGUGAAAAAAAAAAAGAACAAAACUUUGGAUCGCCUAAGGAAUGGAGUUCGGACUAGGGUUGGGUGGGGACAUGUGACGAGGAAAAAAGAGGUCGGGGGGUGGGGGGGGGAGUGGGGAGGGAGAGAAAAGUUAGGUAAAGACGUGUGAAGAGGAUCGUGGAAGAGGAAAGAGGAACAACCUAUCUUGAUAAUGUAGAUAAGUCACAAUAUAAACACAAUCUUACAGUAAUAAUUUCAUUGUGUAAACUUAGAUUGUAUAGUGUAACUUUACAUUUGUUGUAAUAUCAGACAUUGAAUAUUUAACGUUGGAAAUUUGGUCUCAGAAAGAGAGAGACGCUUUCAGCUUUCCACUUCCGAAGCGUAUCUAUUUAUCCCGAUUCCGUGGCUCCUUGCCCUCCGACACCACCCUGGCGUUAGCUAGGCGUCACUUGGGCUGGUCCCAAUGUCUGUCAAUUUUAGGCCGACCUGUGGACUGGCUUGGACUGAGUGCCAGUCGAUUCCACAGGCUGGAGUGGAUUGGCUGAGUCUCAACCUGUUUUUUCACUGGGUGCCGGCCUUAUCCCACCCCGUUGGAAUGCUUAAGAAUAUAAUGUAAACAAAUAAAAUAGCAUUUCUGCAUGCUAAUUUAUUUUGCAUCAAUUAAAAAAUAUAUUAUUAUUGUAUCUUUACUUUGCGUAAUACGAACUGAUAAAUGAAUAUCACAAAAGUAUAUAUAAAAUUGUUUUUUGUUCAAUCCCUAAGCCCUUGAUUACCAUUAGAACCCUCGAAAAAAUAACCUCCAAAAACUAAGAGGGAAAACGCGCUUAUACGGGCGUGUGAAUUAAUUCUAUGAGAGUAGAUUUUCGGACACAUAUAUAUUACUUAUUACCUCAAGUAUGAUAGAACCUUAAGCGGUACUGUGUAUCUUUCUGAAGAAACCCGAUGACUAGGACCUUUUUGGCAUGAGAAACUCCUUGGCACAAGUCGAUAGAAAGUCCCACAAAGACCCUGAAAAGCGACAUUACAAUGAGAUCUCUGACCACAUAUAUCGUUGAUCCCGUAAGCUGGUCACUAGUCUGACCGUUUGAUCUGUGUCAACGUUCAAUAGUUGACUUUUUCAGUAGUUUUCUAAGAAAUGAGUAAACAUCAUCUAUAUGAACUACUUUUGACAUCCUGAAUCCGUUUUCCAAAAUUUCAAUAAUAAUGUUGUUGAUUUAGAAGUUCUAUAAUUUUAAUUGGGAAUCACUUAUGUGCUUAGAGGCAAUGUUAUUAGUGAUGGUUCACUUGUUUGCGUGGAGUUCUGUGUGACAGUAUCGCAAUUAUCUUGAUGAGUAGACCUCUUCUAAAAAUGCAUAUUUUAAUAGUAGAAAUGUUAACUGGCACACAUGAAUAUAACAUAUUGUGAGUUAUUGUUAUUAUGGUUAUGUUGUUAUGAGUAAACAAUUAAAGAUAUGUAACACUUUUAUGAAUAUUAUAACAUGCUUUACUCGAGCAAAAUUAAUUUUAAUGGAGAAUACUAUACUAUUUAUUUGAAGACUUAAUGUUCUUAUAAGUAGAUAUCGCAGUAUGGUGAAUAGACUAUAAUACUAUCGUAAGAGUUUAGCUUGUUGGUUAGAUAUAAAUGUAUUUAUACUCUGAUUAAUAAUUAUGAUAUUAUAUCCAAACGUUUUGAUAUGCUUAGCUAAGUGGUUCUACAAAUGUUAUUCAUUGUCAUGGUUCCAUACUCAGUGAAGUAUAUUCAGAAAUAAUGCUGUGAUUAAUAUUACUUCGGACAGGCAUGUGUUUAAAUGUUUCAAUCAAAACUUAGUUUUGUGGUGUCACGUAAUAGGGAGUAGAUCAUAUAAGACACUCAGCUUUAUUUUUCUGAAUGACGCACCUGGGCAUUACGUCAAUUUUUUUUAAAAAAUUUGUCAAAUUUACGGAGGACAGGAUAAUGUCUUUGUGCUCGCUGAUGUUAAAAGGCUAUUACUAGGUUUCAAUAAGGUUGCCAUUAGGUGGGCUGAAUAAGCCCGAGCCAUUCACAGAAAUCAUAAGAAUUUAGAAUUAAGAAGGCUUUGCGAGCAAUCAUAUAGUCCUUUUAGAAAAAAUAGAAUUGUUGUCAGUAAAUUAAAAACACGCAGGGAAAAUUUAGAAUAGAAUGAUAAAAAAAUGGAUUUCAUAAUCAAGAAAAAAAUCCUAUAAUACUAUAUUAAGCAUCUUUUGAAGAUUUUCCAUAAACACUAUUGUGAGCUAUAAAAGUCGUUUCGGAUUAUGUUCAGAACUGUUUAGUAUUAUAAAAUUAUAUAUAUAGACAAUUGGGUUGUGUCGCCAUCUCAUUGGUUUCGUUUCCUUUUCGUUCACUACACACCUUGAGUGUGAAACACAAAAGUCAUUCAACAAAUAGCAUAAUUAGGAACGAAGACUGAAAUAAUAGCGGAAAUCAUACCGGUGUAAGGACUUAUCCUCCUCCGACCAAAAUCCGGCAUCAAAAAAAUUGAAUAUCCAACAAAAUAUCGAAAUCACUAAUUGUCUGUCGAAUAGUAUUUGGUUUAGUUCUAUUCCUUUUCUUGUUCUUUCAUAACCCUUGAGAAUUGAAGCGAUAUUAUUGUUUCUCAUUAUUAUUUGAGGUGGUGCUUGAGAUUUCUCUCACUAUUAAAGAAAUUUAACACUAGUCAUGGAUUGGCACUAUCAGACAUCUUAUAUAUAUAUUCCUUCUAUGUUUUCAUAAACAGUGCGCUAACAUUGCUUUUCGUUUUUACCUCUCUUUUCUUUUCGUUCCAUUAAGUUGAUCGAAGGUAGUUGCUUAGACUGUUGCUCUUUCAUCCGUCUGCUGUUAGUUAUAGGGUGCACAAUAGUGACAAGAGAGCUCCGGGAGCGGUAAGGUCAAAUAGACGUGUGUAGACAGACAAGAUGAAUAUAGAGUAAUAAACACUCAAUUAUAGCUUGUUAGAAAAAGACAAGAUAAAAUUAGAGUAUUUGGAAUCGUGAUUAGUAUUUUAUCUCAAUGGGUCAGUUAUUAUAGUAAAGAUAAUCUAUGGAAUAUACCAGAUUUUAGAGAGAGUAGGAGAAACUGAUAAUUGAUCAUUUAUUAGCUCUAAACACUGAGUACCACACACAGGUCUUCCCCGUAUGUAUGUGUAUGGACCGCGCGAUCAAGUGAUAUCCGCUACAACCUGAUAGGAGCUCAUACUACUGCUAAACUUGAUACUCCUGAGCACAACUUGAGUAUCUCAUAUAAGAGAAGAAGGAUGAGCAAUAAGUCGAAUUUGCUCACCGCACAUAGGUUGUUCUUUAUUAACUCUUGUUAAAAGAGAUUGACGUCUUUAUGUGUAACUAUUGGCUCUCUAAGAGGCUCGCACACUCACAAAUCUACUUUAUUAUCUCUAAUAUUACCCAUCAGUACCAUCACAUGCGUGUGUCAACUCGCCCAUCCUCCUAAUUAGAGACAAGAUAUGAGCGACCGUAUGUAUAAAUAUCUUUAAUGAGCACGUCAGACAUUGUUUGAUUAAAUGCCAAAUUAAAUAAUCGAUAGAACAAAACGUUAUAAUUCUGAACAGGUUCGCAUCUCAUUGUUUGGAGAGAACUAUUAAAGGUAUGUAAGUCUCAUGAGCUUGAUAAACACAAAAAUAAUCAUUUAACCAGAUCAAAAAUUUGACAAGCAAUCUAAAAAACAUAUUGCAGGUGUGUUACAAUAUUAUUCGCGAAAGUAUCACAACCGUAUACUUUAAUCGCGGCUUCGUACGACCAACACUCGAUCUAGAGUGGCGAAUAGCUGAGAGAAUCCAGACGAUGGAGGUGGUGCCCAAGGGAAUUGAUGGGUUUGGAACCUUAGAGUAUAGGGUUGACUCUUGUGAGAGAGCCCAGACUUCCCCCAUCCGAAACAGAAUGUAGGAAUUGAAUAUCUACUACCUCAAAUGACUCUGUACACCUAUGUGAAAUGAAAAUGUCAAACCUCUUUAAGAAAAAUAAACAGAAAGACAAAACUAGAAAAAUAGAUAAAAAGUCGUAUAUAUAAUACUUGUCAGCCCGCGUACAUAGUACUUUCAGACUCUACAUUAGUUAUCUAGGAUUGUCGUGAAUAAGGUAAAUCGCAUCAUAAAAGUAGUUACUUUUUUAUACUGCCUCUUAGAGACAUUCUUCAUAGGUCCAGACCUUUAGAAUAAUAUAGUUCGAAGCAUCUCGUUCUUGCGAUCUGAGGUUAGAACGUUAGAAAGAGUCUUUUAUAAAUCAUAAACUAGGCUAGAAAAUAAGACUUUUGGGAAUAUAUAGCAGAUCUUCUUGGUGAGUAAUUUGGAUCCUGAUAGAGUAUCCACAUUUGGUAUGCAAUAUGUAGUCUAUGGAAGUAGUAUAGCAUAUUUAUAGAGAUAUUGUUAACACCAGACUAAUAAAGCAAAGGAGGUCGGGAUCAAUAGAAUUCUGUCACAUUCUUUUGUCGGAGGUAAAGCGCUCGAUCGAUUCUUGUGCUAAACAUUAUCACUCCAUCACUGUAUUUGUUAUGAUAUUACAUUAUGGAGAUAAAAAGGAACAUAUUCGAAUAGCGCAGUAUUAUGGGUAUAUGAUUAAGUUAUUCUUUGAAUAGGGUAGAGUAAAUGAUACUGACUUUUUUCAGCAUAACCGCAAAGACUUUUAAACAGGGUAGUCAGAAGAGCCUUUACAAAAGUGUCUUUUAUUUGGUAGUGUUGCGCAUACGAGUAGGUUGAGUCCCUUUGAAAAGCUGAUGAACGAGCUUGGGCUAGCUCACAUGACAGACUCCAGUUCUCGUAGCAAAUACGCGGGCCUCUAGUAGGUCACUGGAUGGCUUGUUGUAUGUAUUUGUUUGUAAUUAAAGAGUCUAAUGUGUGCCUCCCCAUGGGCUGAUUUUUUCUUUUCUCCUUUUAAUAUAAAAACGACUUUUUGUCCUUUUGGCUCUGUCCUGCAGUACUUUAGAUCUUACCCAAGUUAUAACGUGAGCCAUCCUAGACAAAGUGCGUUUAUUCCAAAGUAACUCUCAAUAAAUAACCCGGAGCAUUUUUAAUAAUCUCUAGCAUUGUAAAAGUACUUUUUGGUUGCACUUGCACAUUUCGAGACUAGACUAGCACACAUAUCUAUAACACUUCCAUAAAUAGUUGUGUGAUAAAGUUGGCGAUGUUUGACCACAUUUGCUCACUCCUACGCAUGGUUGAGAGUAAAUAUGUUACCUCCUUCCGCCUUCUGGGCUUUGGCUGAGCCUCGGGCUUCCUUUCUUCUGGACCUCCUUUUAGGCUAACUACCUUCCAAGCCCAAAGUUCAAGUUUUAACCCAAACACUUACUAAUUUCUGGAUGCAUAUAACAACAAAUUUGGCACUAAUGUUAUUUUUUACCAUUAUAUUUACUGAUAUGUGGGUUCCAAGAAUACAAGCUGUUAGAGCGACUUGUGGAAGGGAACAAGUCAACAGCCAUCAUUGGCGAGGUUGCUGAUGACCUGAAUUUGGAUUUAGUUGUCAUAAGCAUGGAAGCUAUUCACUCCAAGCAUAUUGAUGCAAACCUGCUUGCUGGGUUCAUUCCUUGCCCCGUCAUACUUUUUCCAUUAUAAUUUUCCCAUUUCAACUGUGAAGUAAUCACCUCGAACUCAAGCUCCCUUCUCUUUUACAAUCCCAGUUUCUUGUAGUUGGAUUCUUUGGCCUUUUACUUUUGUCUUCAUAGCGAAAUCAAUAGAGAAUUGAAAUUUUUGCAUAUAGGUAUCAGGGAUCAUUGUUAUUUGUCGCGUUUAUCGUGAAUGCUUAUCCAUUGGCCAUGGAUCAAAGUUUGUUUGAACUAGAUUUAAGAGCUUGACAUUACAAGAUCUGUCAUUGUUGUGACUUGUGAACAAGUGAUUUUGGAGUCCUAAAAACGUAACAAAAUAAGCCAAGCAGAGUGCUUUUGACUUGGCUUCACUCAAAUUUGUCUUUGUUAUUUGAGGAUUUGACUGGAAUUUGUGUAGUCUACUUGAAAUGCCCCUAAGAAAAACGAUAGGAACUCUCAUAGGUACACGUUGUAUAUGUUGGAGCAAUAUUAGAAAAUAUGAAAAAUAACACAAGAAUUUCAAUAAUAAUAAUCAUAAAGAAAUUCACAACAUCAAUUAUAUAUGAGAUUAAUAUAAACAACUAGAGAGGAAGUUAGAAUAACUGACAAACUUAGAGAUUGAGGCUUGCAUAAAUGCAAUGUCCCAAAGAUAGAAUUUCGCCCAUACUCUUGUGCUUGUAGUUCGGUAGGCGUCCAUCUCCCAAGAUUCAAUAAUCUAUAAUCUAAAGUCAAAGCACUUCAAUCUUCGGAAUCCGACGAAUUUUAUAUAUUCUGCACUCUCAAGACACGACUCAGAAUUUGACACACGAAACAUUUGAGAAACAAAGUGGGAAACCUAUUUUCUCAGGAAGUUUAAUCCUAUUUUUCUGUCUUAAUGAUGAUGGUUCAUGAGUUUAUAUAUAAAACCAAGAGGUAACUAUGUUAAAGUGAGUAACUUUUCAUCUAUAAGUAUACAUCAUUAAUAAGGGAAUGCACUAAUAACAUAACACUUCUAGAAAUAUGGUUAACACUAUUUUUCAUUCAUUAUUAAAAUUAAUAUAUUACAAAUUUUUAUACUAUAAGUAUAUAUUUCGCAACAGUAUAACACCUCUUCAAUGUCUCUCUCAUCAGUCAUAUUAGUGAUAUGCGAUGAACAAAAAGGUGUACACAACAGUGAUGGUAGGUUUUUCUAGACAAGACAGCCACUUGACUAAUAGUGAAGUAAAAAACUGUUUUAUAUCACUAAAUCUUAACAAUGUAUCUUUAGCUUUCAACACUUCGUCCAGUGUUAGAAAAGUUUAAAAAAUUUUAUUUGGAAAAUACGCCCAACAACCCUGAUAAGGUGCAUCCUGUUUGGAAAAUACUAGAUCACUCAGCCCGCUGAUUUUGGCUAUUAAUGUGUGCAAGACUCUAUUAUGGGCAGUUACAUGUAUCUAUGAUCGUAAAAAUACUUUAAGAACACAAGUAAUUGAUCAUAAAAAUAAACUAAAUAUGUUGAGGAUUUACUCAUAAUCCAAUAGAAUUAAUAUAUGUGAAGCAAACUGAAGUCAUUCCUCACCAGGCACGUGGGAGUGGCGUGUGAACAUUGGGUUGUCUGAAAGACAGUGUAAGCAGCUGAAAAGUACUAACGAUCUCACUCCCAAAGCAGUCCUUCAGGGGCGGAGGGACCCAUAGACCACAGUAGUCUAGGCCAUCCUAUCUUUUUGUUUAUAAAACAAUUAGGACUACUUAUUUUUUAUUUUUUUUAUCACUGUUUUCCAUAUUUUUUCAACCAUGUCUAAUUUUCCUAGACAAGACGGUCCUUUUAAUAUUUUUAAAGAUAUUUAUGUAAUCUAGUCUAACCCUAUAAGCCUACAUAUCCACAUCCAACACUAUAUUUUAACCACCAAUAAUAAAAUUAGUUUUAUUAUUCUCUCAAGUUUCUAGCCAAAACAGCUGCUCCAGUUCGCUGUGUUGGGUACAGGUAUAUUGUGUAUUGCUUUUCAAUCAGUCUUCAAGUCAUGAUCCUCAAUGUAAACUAUCGAAUCUUUCAAAAGUUUUUCAUUUUGUCAAUUUCUUUUAUUCUAAUUCAUCUGAUAUUUGUCACUUAAAAUUGUAAUUUAAAGUUAACAGAGGAUAAAUAUUUUUUUUUGCAGAUUAAAAGAUUUUCUUAUUCAUUUCUCCAUCAAAUAAAAGACAUUGAGUUUGUUAAUUGGUCAUAACAACCGCAAAGUAAUGUAUUUAUUUACGCUCCUCUUCCCUCUUAACACAGUUUUUUGUUUAUAAUUAAAUUAAAUUGAGUGUCUUGCAAUUUCUCUUAACUAUUGCUAAUUUUUUUAGUUUGUAAAUUAGCAUAUAUGUAGUAAUAUAUAUAUAUUCCAAAGUCAGGUUUUCAGAUUAAUAUGAAACUCACAUCAGUGACACAUUAUUUUAUUAGUAGGUAUAUUAAUAUUAUCAAUUUGCUAUGUUAUUUGUUUGUUUUGGUUAGUUUCAUUAUAUAUACUAUGAUGUUUGGUUAACAGUUUUGUAACUACUAUCGAUUUAAUUUUUUUUAAAUAUUUGUGAGUAGGCGGCCCUCCCUAACUCGCAAAAUUUUGCUUAUUCGCUCCACUGCGAGUGCCUUAGAGUCAUCAGGUACCACUCGAGUUUACCGGCUGCUGUGUAAUAGUAAUCGUUCCAGUGAAAGCAGUUAAUAAGGGCUAACUAGUUAAUGCCUUCCCGCCAAGCAUGCGCAAUUCGAAAGUGUACUGCAGGGCGCUGCGGGCUGAGCGCAACCGCGAACGCUUCCUUGGUUAUCGCAGCGCAACAGUCACGGCAGGUUUGAUGUGCCCGCCUGUUAUAUAAAUAAAUAAAUAUAUAUAUAUAUAUACAGAGAGCUUAAGGGGAGGGUUUCCCAUUUUUUGAAAUGGGGAUUAGGUGUGGGGCCCACUUCACAUCUAAUUUCAACGAUCCGAACCGUCUAUUUUGUUAGUUUCGAUUCAUAGAUCAUCCUUGCAAAAAUAUUAGCUAAAUUGGAAGUGUUUAAGACAUCUAAUUGGGUUCAAGGAAAUGAACGAAUACUUUUGUUAUAUAAGAAAAUAUGAAAUUUGAUAAUUAAAUAGGCAAAUGGUUUCGGAUUGAAUUGAAUUUUUGCAAGGAUGAUCUAUGAAUCGAGACUAACAAGAUAGACGGUUCGGAUCGGAUCGUUGAAAUUUGAUGUGAAGUGGGCCUCACACCUAAUCCCCAUUUUUUUCAAAAAAUGGGGAUCCCUCCCCUUAAGCUCUAUGUAUGUAUGUAUAUAUAUAUAUAUAUAUAUAUAUAUAUGUAUAUUCUACAUUAAGGGGAGGGGUGGGUUUAGCCUCAUAAUGAGAUAGCAAUAAUGUGGUUCAAAUUCGUGUUUGACCAAAAUCGAACAUAAGACCUCUCACUUACCGGUAAAGAGAAAUACCACUAGACCGUAGUACUAAGUGGCUUUAAAGAUAUAUUAAAGUGUUUAAACAUUAAUUUAGAGUAGUUUUUCUCUAUGACUGUCAUGUGUGUUACCACUCGUAUUAUAACAUGUGAAGUAGUAGCGUCGCAUAGUGGUGUGGCCGUCUCAAUAAAAAAAAAUAACUCCUAAUGUUUGCUCACUCAUUAUGGACGUAACUUUAAGUCAUCCCAAUUAAGACGUAGUAGCAAAUAUAUGGACCAGAGAAAGCAAGUUGUUUACAUAUAUACAAAAUUAUAUUAGUCCCAAUCAAGGCUCAAGAAAUUUCAUAACAACUGGCUAUAUAGAUAAGAAAAUUAUGUAGUACACUACUGAUAAUUACUUAUUUCAAUGUACCUUUCCAUGUUUUUGUUAAAGAAAGAAAAAAGUGACACUUAAUUUUAAAACAAUAGAAUAUUAUAUUGGCAUUCUAAAAUUUCAUUUUGCACUCUAAAUUUUUUAUAAUAUUACUUAAUUAGAAAGAAAAAUACAAUUGUAAAAAAUGUAAAAUGAGAUCUUAUGAGUGGUCAUCAGGACAGGACAUCUAACAUUUUUGGAGUGAUAGCAUGAGUCAUGACUUGGAUGAGUGGUGAUGUAAUUAAAUGAUGUGAACCAUUUGGCGUUUGCAUGCAUGAUGAUGAUCUUGGCGUUCUGAAGCGAAGAAAUCGUCGAUAUUAACAGCAACUGCAAGUUGCUGCAGAUCAGGACAUAUGUUAUCUACAUCCCCAAGUGAAUGAGAAAAUUCAACAACGGCAAGUUGCUGAUGAGGAAAGCGUAUGCAGAGACUUGGUCCAAAUGUAAAGUUGGGUGUGAGAAUGUGAGGACAAAAAGAGACUAAAUUGUGUAAUAGCUUAUAAGAGAUUAGAGCACUUCUUAUAUUGUCAAUUGAUUUUACAAAAAUACUACUCUUACCACAUAUUUGUACCAUUAUUUAUACCCUCCCUCUAAUAGAGAUAGGAUUCACUUACAUUGGUGGACACUACCAUUGUUAAAGAGAUAAUAUAAAUAAUAGUAUAAAUAGGUUACACUAGACAGUAAAUGUAACAUUACUUUUAAUUUUAUAAUAAAAUCUCAACUGGCAAAAGUGUAUGAUACAAGUCGCAUCUUUUAUAGCCGCCCUUUUUUUAAGGACAGUUCUUGGAUACUCAACGAGGAGUACCCAAAUUUACUCACAUCUGAUGUGGUCCAAUAAUAUUACAACAUGUGUAUUUCAAAACUUUAUCCCAAUAUUCGUAUCUUAAUAACCAGACACUUUUCAUCUUCUUUCUCAUUCUGUUAGAUGCCAUGGCUGAUCUGCCAUAGCUAAUCCAUAUCCAUGGACCCCAGCCACCCCAUAUCCUCCUUCCACCAGAUCCCCCCACAGCCCCGCAUCAGAGGAUUUGCUCUCUCUUUCGUUCUUUCUCUUCGAAUCAACAUCAAAAGGGAGUCGCCGGAUGCACUCGACGCCGAUGAUGACAUGGUUUCCGGCGAAGGGCAGAGAAGUGGUUCUGGGUACGUCUUUUGGGUACCCUCCAUUGGGCCACUUCAUUUAGUCAGUCUUUUGGGUACUCUCCAUUGAGUACCUAAGUAUUGUCCUUAAACAAAAACAAGCCAUCGGAAUAAUUAAGCCAAGGUGGGCGGGAUGGUGGUGGGUUCAUAUGUGGCAGUUUGACUUUCUGUCAUCCAAAACAUAGGAAUUGGAUCUCAUCCGAAUCCACUUCGCGUAUCGUGUGCUCAGAAAUUAUUUAAUUUUUUAUUUAAAAUUAAACAUAAAUAAUAUCUGACGAAAAUUGACCAUAUGAUAUACGAUGAACGGUUAAGAUGUAAGAAUCUUUAGGAUCUCAUGAAAUGAAUUCGGAGAGAAUCCCUUUCCCAAAAAAUAUCAUCUUUUGACUUUUCUCGCUGCAUCAUUCAACUCAAACUUGCAGAUAUUUUCAUCCCGAUUGAAUUUUCAGUUCAGCCACAACUUUUGAAAAUUCCACCAGAGAAUUUUUUUUUUUUUUUUUUUGAAAAUCCCAACUUUGUUUUUCUUUGAAAAAAACCACAUCCACUUAUCUAAAAUUCAUUUUAUCGUUGUAUUUAUAUGCAAAAUUAUGAAUGAAAUAUUAUUCUUUUACCGGACAAACUUUCAACAUACAUGCAAUUUUAGCAAGUUUAGCAAUUUUUUAAGCUAAUCAUGAAAGUCCUGAGUUCAAUACUUUGUAAUCUGUGUAUUUGCUUGAACAAGGCCAUCGGUAGGUAGGGUACAAUUUCCAAAUAGCCUUUUCCGAAUCCGAAAAAUGUGGAUAACCGUAGUUCGACACUAGUGCCCAUCUUUUUAGAAAGAAAAAAAAAUUAAUCGAAUAGUGUGUCAUGUGUUUUGCCAGACAUAAUAAUGUGAUUAGUUUAAGAAUUGUCACAAUGACAUCCUCGUUUGAUGUCAUAUCAAAAUCAUCAACUAACAAAGAAUUAAUCCUUUGUUCUUUCACUAUCGAGAAAACUCCCUCUCCCUAAUUACAGUAAUUGACCAACUGAGCAAGAAUGUUAAUUAAUAUGUCAAUCCCUUGAUUUUUAAACCAGAAAUUUUUUUAACAAUCUAGAAUUGUACAUAAAUAUUUCAAUACUAAAGCAGCCCAAUGUGUAAUAUUACAGUAUACAAUUCAACUAAUAUGAUUAAAGUAUUGGCCAACUCCAGGUGGGAAAUUAAAAAAGUGGCUGCCAUUUGAUCAUGCAACUUGGACAAAAUAUAUUAUAGGGAAAAUUACAUAAAAUUAUCUUAAUUAUCGGUCGAACCACAAUUGUAUAUCUUAUGUUUUAAACAUUGCACUGUCAUACCUCAACAUAUGAAUUCGUUGUAAUGUCAGACAUCCGUUAAAUUUUCUGUCAAUUUAGCUGUUAAAUGAUGACGUUGUAAUUUACCCUAUAUUAUAUAUGUAUACGUUGCAGGCCCGGUCCAGGCCCAAUGCAACCGGGGCGGAUGUUCGGGGCCCAAAAUUGAAGGGGCACCAAAAAAGAAAAACCCACAUAAUUAGUAUAAAAAAAAUAAAUAAUAUCCAGCCCAUGUUUGACAAAAGAGUUGAACGACCCAUCCCCCAAUUAACCCUACCCAUUUGCCAUUGCAAUCUCUCUCUCAUUGAAACUGGGCCGCGGACCUCAUCACAGUCAUUGAAGCCGGCACGACUUCUGCGACGAUGACCUCCAUCACCUCCGUGGAGUUGAAUUUCGUAGUCUUUCGUUACCUUCAGUAAUCAGGUAUGCUUCACUUUGCAAACCCUCAAAUCGACUUUUCGAAUUUAUUUCCCUAAUUUUAUGUUCCCGUUUUUAAUUGUAUUGUCAUCUUAGGGUUUCUGGGAAUUUGGGUGUGCUGUACAGAGUAUAGGGGUGUAUUUAUCAAUUGCUGUACAGAGUACUGGACUUAGUUCAAAAACUACCUAUGUUUUUGGACCUAGAUCAAAAAGCCCCUAUAACUUAAUUAGGGUUGAGAACUAUAAUUUUUGGGAAUAAGUUUGCAAAUUGGCUUCCUGUUGCGUCGAGAGGGCAUGAGAUUAUGGUGUAAUUAUCAAAGAAACUUUAUAUUAAGUUAUUAACUAGAGCUUACUUCAAUUUUAGGCGGAUUAUGUUCAAGAAUACAGCAGCUAUGUGGGAUUUAUGAGGGAUGGAGCACAGUGGUUUGUGGAGAACACAGACAUUAAACUUGUUGGUGAGAUAUAUAUAUUCGCACUUAUGUUAUUUUUUAUGACAUGUAGUUUCUAACAGUCUGCGUGUAUGAUUAGGGUAAUAUAAUCUUAUACUGAGCUCUUCUCAGUGAGAUAUAACUGAUUAUUUUGCUGUUUAUGUAUCAUUUCUGUUCUUUCUUUUGAAGCUGACGUGUUCGUCUUUUGUUAAAUAUAGGAAUUGAUUAUUUAUCCGCUGCUGCAUAUGAUGAUUUGAUUCCAUCCCACCUUGUUUUUCUAGAAGGCAGGGUAAGAAAAUCUUUAUUUGACAAGACAUGAAAGGGUUUUUUCUUUAGUUCAUGAUUAUUUUAGCUGGAUGAGUUCCAGUUGGUAGAUUGUUGAACAGUGGUAAAUGCAGAACCAAAAAUAGAGGCAACCAAGUUUUCAUGUUUUUUCAAGACUCAACCUAACACUGCUUUGCAAGUGGUUUCACCUUUCCCUUUGCCACAUGCUUUGGUUUUGAAGUGACCAUACAUCAACUCAUGAUUUUUAUUUUUUUUUGACACUGCUUUGCAAGUGGUUUCACCUUUCCCUUUGCCACAUGCUUUGGUUUUGAAGUGACCAUACAUCAACUCAUGAUUAAUCCCCUAUUUGUUGCAGGAAAUGAUGACCCCCUCCAAGGAGAAAUAGCAUGGAAUAGGACGCCACGAGAGCUUGGUAUUUCAGCUUAUGCUCUUCAACAACUUGGUGGUUCACAUGGUUUGCAGUUGAGAUUAAUUUAGUGGGAUAUGUUAUUUUACAUGAUUGGAUGAAUAUCUGGUUGGAUUUGGGAUGUAUUGGAUGUGUAUUUAAUGCGUUAUGUGAUUGGUUUUUUUUUUUUUCUUCUUGCAGCUGCUACAUCAAAACAAAUUAGAGAAUUAAUGAAGGUUGAUGGGCUUACUAAUGAUGAAGUCAAAAGCCAUUUGCAGGUUUGUAUAUGUGAUUAUCCAUCUGUUUUUAAUCGUAAUUUGGCUGAUGUGAAUAAAAUUUUAUACAUACAUGACGGAAAUUGGAAGCCAUUUUGCAUGCUAUUAGUGGUGAAUCUUUUUACACAUACAUGUGAUUAUCCUCGUUAAAUAUAUUUUUUUUAAACAUGUAUUUUCGUAUUAAAAAAAGGGCACAUUUUGAGCUUUCGCACUGGGCACCAAAAAACUCAGGACCGGCCCUGAUACGUUGUCAAUAUAUGACUAAAAUCUAAUGGUCUUCUUCUUCUCACAUGCAAUGCAUGAUUCAGCCAGUUGGAAUAUAAGUGUUGGUCGUUUUAGUUCAUGCCGUCGAGGAGAGCAAGUUCUGCACAUGUACAAUAUGAAGAUGAAGUUGAUGAUGAGGAUACUAUUACUCUGCUUCCUCAGCUGCUUCUGGUUUCAGCUGUCCUUUGCUAAAAAAGCUACCACUGAUCCAUCUGAAGGUUCUUUCUCUCUCUCUCGCCCCCCCCCCCCCACCACACACACACACACACACACAUUGCCACAUUUAAGUGUUUUUGACCAGGAACUGGGUUUUUCUCCCUCAACAAAAUGACAUUUUAAGUGUUUUUCGACUAUGAAAUGAAGUUUCGAGAAACUUAUUUGCAAAACCUUUUUUCUUCCCAUAUACAAAACAUCCAAAUUAAGGGUAAUUUUCCUUUGUAACAAUCUAUUUGAUCUCUCAUUUGAUUCGAGAUAGUCUGGUAAGAGGUAACACAAGUCAAAUUAUGGUGAUAUAAUCUAAUACACACAAGGACUGAAUUAACUGAGCGUGCAGUGAGGGCGUUGAACUCAAUAUUUGAACAAUGGGACACACAAGCAGUGCAGGGGCAGUGGAAUAUCGGUGGAGAACCCUGCAGUGGAUAUGCCAUCAACGGCACCGACAAUUAUGGCCCCGCUAUCAACCCAGGCAUCGUUUGCAACUGUUCUUAUGACAAUAAUGCUACAUGCCACAUCACCCAACUGUAUGUUAAACUACUCUCUCUUGAUGAACAAGAUUUCCAUGCCACUGCUGAUUUUUCACUUGCUACCUAUAUAUAUUGACGUCAUAAUUUGAUUGUGUCGCUCCAUUUUAUGUAGUUCUAAAUGUUCAAUCUUUUUGCUUUCCAGGAUAGUGUAUGGUCUUAACAAACGAGGGGGCGUUUCCAGAAGAAUUUGUGGCUUUGAGAUAUCUCACAUAUUUGUAUGAAUUUUUUUCAACUCCCUUCUCUGUUUUCGGUUCAUCAAAAUCAUAUAUUGGAUAUUAAAAAUCGGUUCAUCAAAAUCAUAUAUUGGAUAUUAAAAAUUGUAGAAUUAUUAGAGAGACUGGCCAAAAACUCACUUCCAACAACACCGAUACUAUUCCCAACUUGGUAAUUACCACCUGCACAAUCGUCAGGUGUAGGGUUUAUCUCAAAAGGCCUCGGCAUUAGUUGGAGUGAGAUUUGGAUAUUUAAACUCUUCUUUCUUUAUUUCUCUAGCCGAUGUGGGAUUUCAACAAAAAUAUGGUGAUGUUGUAAGAUUAAGGGUUAACGAUUACACUUCCCUUCAAUUUUUGUAGGAAAAUUGAUCAGAAUUAUUUCACCGGUCCCCUACCGGCAUUCGUUGGCAAUAUGUCUGCAUUGACUGAAUUGUAAGUAGUGAGAGAACAUUUCUUUAAGUACUCAUACUUUUGAUGAGACCCGUAGCAAUUUGUAUACUUCAGUUUGAAUAUCAUAAUCUACAGUUAUGUUCUUUACACCUUUUCGCUACUAUUUAUGCCGUAAUCUACAAAAAAUCAUUAUGCUUUUAUUGAAUAAUGCAGUACUAGUUUCCUGUUAUGUAAUGUAAUUAAGUUUAAUGGUGCUUAUCUUUUACUAACUGAUAUCUCCAUUCAGGACAAUUAGCAUCAAUUCAUUCUAUGGGCCCAUCCCCAAGGAGCUUGGAAACCUUACGGAGCUAACUGUGCUGUAAGCCAUGAAAAAUUAGAGAGCGUACAAUAAAAUUUUGUGUCGUAAACAUUAGAUACAGAACCUGUUGUUAUAAGCUAAAAAUCUGGUUAUGCAUGAACAAUCGAAGAACAGAAAAUGAGAAGGAUAACAAUGGAAGAAUUUUCUAAAGGUUUCUCUCUCUCUGCAAAAUCUAGCAUAGCAUAUUCUCUUCAUCUCUCUACAAUUCACACACACUCUGUGCUUUACAUAACCGUUAGAAUCCAAGGUGGAUUCUCUCUCUUCACAAAACAAUCACAGCCUUACAUCUAGCUAGUUGCUAGGAUCAUUACACCUAGCAUUAUUUGCCUUACUACAUUAGAGCUGCACACUCGGUAUUUUAAACUCAAGUGAAUACACAAAUUUGAUACACAGAACCUUCUAUCACUCUUCAAUAAUUGUUUUCAAGUAAGUGUUUGCCCGUUCAACAUGACUUGCAGGGACAUCGGAUCAAAUAAUUUCUCCAGAACACUCCCUCCAGAACUUGGUAAUUUAGUCAAGCUCGAGAACCUGUAAGUGCUUCGUUAAAUCAUCAAAUUUGAAUUACAUGUUAAUUCCUUACGGAUGAGCAAAAAUUGCACUUUAUUGUAUGAAAUGGGUAUUAAUCAGUUGCCUUAUGAUUUUCACAGUAACUUGGACAGCUGUGGACACGGUGGUGAAAUUCCUUCAACAUUUGCCAACCUCACCAACAUGCAAGCCUUGUAAGAACGGCUCUUAAAUCGUAUUUUGAGAUUGCUUUUCUAGGAUGAGCUUAGUAUAAUUCAACUUUUUGAAUUUUAGCUCGGCAUCGGACAAUCCUUUCUCAGGAAAGAUACCUGAUUUCAUAGGGAGUUGGACAAACCUCACUUCUUUGUAAGUAGAGAAACCUUUUAUCUUUUGCAGUUUAUGAAAGCGGACCUGAGAUGGAUAAUUUGUUCAAAGCUUCUUAUAUGUUUCUGUAGGGAAUUUCAAGGGAACUCUUUCGAAGGCCCAAUACCAACCAGCUUUUCUCAACUGACCUCAUUGAAGUAUCUGUAAGUACAAAUGUUUCAUAAAUUGUAAUUCUCUCUCUCUUUCUCCGAAGAUGGGAUUUCAGUUUAUUUUGCAUAUAAUGAUGUAGGUAUAUCAGCGAUAUAUACGAUGGGAGCUCCUCUCUUGAUUUCAUAAAAAUUAUGAAAAACUUACUGAAUUGUAAGUGAAGAUUCUCAUUGAUCCAUAUACUUUCAUCCAACUUCUUUUUCCUUUUGGAAUUUGAUAUCUUACUCCAUCUACUUUUUAUCAAAUUUUAUGUUUUUGGAAUACAGAAAACUGCGAAACGCAUUAAUCACUGGUACCAUCCCAUCUGAUAUUGGAGAAUAUCAAAGUCUAGAGACACUGUACGUCCCAGCAAAUACAAGCUUGAGUCCCAGCGAGACCAAUUAGUUUUCUUUCAUUCUGGUUGCUCCUCUCAACUUAUCGUUGGUGUGCAGGGAUCUGAGUUUCAACAACUUGACAGGCCAACUCCCAAGUUCUUUGUUCACCAUGAGUUCUCUUACAUAUUUGUAAUCCCCGUCCUUAUUAUUAUAUUUUGCUUGCCUUAUCAUACAUAAGUUAUCAAAUCUUCAACAUUCCCUACUUUGAUUGAAGAUCUGGACUAGUCCUUCUAGAUUUUGUGCACAUCUGACCUUUGUUUGUUCAUCUCUUUUUCUUUUCUAGGUGCCUUCUACUAUAAUCGAAAUGGUCAGGUUUCUUGGAAACAAUAGUCUCUCCGGACCUCAUCAGAGCCAAAAGAGCGAUCAACUUCAGACUAUGCAAGUCCUCGUUUCUUAAAGUAGUCAUAUAGAAUGCACGGUGCAUGUAUGUGCUUGUGUAUACUCGUAAGCAUUCUAAUCCUAUCUUACACAAGUUCUUGAUAACUUUCAUGCAUUUUGUGUCUUCUAAUUCUAUUUUGUUAUUUGCAGCGACUUGUCUUACAAUUUUUAUCAGGAAGCUUUCCCCAGUGGGUGACCACAAUGUGGGUGGCCCCAAUACCGCAACUGUGCGUGUCGUUUUAUCUUUCACCUUCAUUUUACAAUUUAAAUCACCAGAAUAUGUUCAGACAAAAAAUUAUCGUUGAGAUUCAUUUUCACGGUGCUAUUUGCCUACUAAGUUUUGAUCUUGUACAUGGAAUUUUCAUUUGAUAAAGAUAUAGUUCUUCAUAUGUUGAUUGAUUAAUGAUUUUAUGCAGGAACGUAGUGGUCAACAACUUCACAUUUAACAGUUCAAACAUAACGUGAGUUGAAGUUUCUCUUACUCGUUUUUAGACAAGCAAUACUAUCACUACUCUUCCACUACAUGUUUCUAUUUGGAUAACUAAUAAUUGUUCUCUGUGUUUGCAGUCUUCCUGGAUUGAAUUGCCUCCAGAGAAAUUUUCCAUGCAAUCGAAAUACCCCACGAUGUAAUCCGCUCUUAUGUCACCCAUCAUUUCCUAUUUUAACGCAACGUUAAAAGGCAUUGCUUCUCUAGUUAUGUAUACAUUGGAUAUAGAUUGCACGCAUGUUUUCAUAAGUUCAGUAAUACGCAUAACUGGUUAGAAAUAUGUGACUGAAGAACAUUGGUAUGAGUCUUCAAUUUGAAGUUUCAUCGCUAAUCAUGGGUAGAUUCUGGUAUUACAGCAAGCUUCUCAAUCAACUGUGGUGGACAGCAAAUGACAGGAAGUGAUGGCAUAUUGUAUGAGAGUGACGACUCAGAACUUGGUCUAACAUCAUUCCGUGUAACCAGUACAGAGAAUGGGGCUGUCAGCAAUGCCGGUUCGAUUUCUUACGAUACUUCGUUUUCUGACGAUACCCCAUCGUUGAACAAGACCCUUGCACAAGUCACCGGAACAGAUGUGACCCCGGUGCUUUUCCAGACUUCAAGAAUGUCCACAGGAUCACUGAGAUACUAUGGCCUGGGCCUUGAGAAUGGGCUCUACACUGUAACAUUGCACUUUGCAGAGACGGCUUAUGAAAGUCGCACUUCGCAAACUCGGCAAAGUCUAGGACGACGUGUAUUUGAUAUCUAUAUUCAGGUAAGACUGCUUAUAGAAUAAAAAUUCUAACUUAUUUGAAGUAAACACCUCAUUGGACAGGUUUUCGAUGUUAUAAGCUACAUUAACUAAAGACAGUGAUUUAAAUGAGACUAGAAUUAUCACCUGCCUCUUCAUUUGGUUGCUAGGGUACCCGAAGGACGAAGGACUUUGACAUAUCGAAGGAGGCAAGUGGUGUUAACCGAGCAGUUGUGAGAAAAUUUAAUGUUAACAUGUCAGAGAAUUAUCUUGAAAUUCAUCUAUUCUGGGCUGGUGAAGGGACUUGUUGCAUACCCGAUUCUGGUGAUUUUGGCCCACUAAUAGCAGCUGUCCAUGCUGCUUCAGGUAUAAUAUGUGUUCACUUAUAGAGAUUUCCUGUGAGUGGUUUAAAUGUAUUUUUCUGCUGUUAAUUGACAUUGAAGAAUUCGUCUGUUUUAUCACUUAGAUUUUACAAAGAAGAGCAAUACUGGGUUGAUAGUUGGUAUUGCAGUUCUUGUUGGAGUUGUGAGCUUGCUAUUAAUAUUUGCAAUUCUAUAUAUGAGGAGGAAAAAAUCAGAAAAAGAAGACGAUGAAGGUAAACGACCGCAUCAUUAACACACAGAAGUAAGAAUGCUUUCACGAAAGUAAAACUUAUGUCAUACUGUUUUGUGAAUGUGCAGAUAUUCUAGGAUUAGGCCCCCGGCCAUAUACUUUCAGUUAUGUUGAAUUGAGAAAUGCAACUAAAGAUUUUAAUCCUUCAAAUAAGCUAGGAGAGGGAGGAUAUGGCCCCGUUUAUAAGGUGAAAUCCGUAUUACAUCAAUAUCAUGUACUUGAAGUAAUGACAAGAGAAAGGAGAGAGAGCGAGAGAAGAAAAUAUAGCUUCUGUUUUCUUUCCUUUCACGUCACUACAUUGUGUUUCUGUGUACAUUGUAGGGUACACUUUCUGAUGGUAGAGUAGUGGCUGUGAAGCAACUUUCAGUAUCAUUUCACCAAGGGAAGAGUCAAUUUGUAUCUGAAAUUGCUACCAUAUCUGCUGUGCAACAUCGGAAUCUAGUGAAAUUGUAUGGAUGCUGCAUUGAAGGCAGACACCGCAUUUUGGUUUAUGAGUAUCUUGAAAACAAGAGCCUUGAUCAGGCACUUUUUGGUACAAACCUAUCUACUUUUAGGUUGCACAGAAAUAGCAUUGUCUGCAGUUUCAAGCACUCUAAAAUUGUUAAGAAAUGUUUUUGAUUGGAUGUGUUCACUAAUAUUUCAGGAACAAGUAACUUACUGGCCUACUCGAUUCAAUAUAUUGUUGGGAACAGCAAGAGGAUUUGCUUACCUUCAUGAGGAGUCAAGGCCAAGGAUUGUACAUCGAGAUGUCAAAGCAAGUAAUAUUUUGCUUGAUGCAGAACUCUCCUAAAAAAUCAGAUUUUGGACUGGCAAAGCUUUAUGAUGACGAAAAAACCCACAUCAGCACCCGGGUUGCAGGGACAAUGUAAGCCAUCCUUUUGUUUUUCCAGAGGAUACAUACAUUAUGGCCACACACAUUUUUACUUGCAUGAAAUUUUCACACAUGUUAAUAAUGCCUCUAAUGAUCUCAAGUAACAUUGUGCAACCAUUUGAUUAUCUUGCAUUGCAGAGGCUAUUUGGCACCGGAGUAUGCAAUGUUUGGACAUUUGACAGAGAAGGCCGAUGUGUUUGGUUUUGGAGUCGUUGUUUUAGAGAUCCUCAGCGGGAGACCAAACUCUUAUAAUAACUUAGAUCCAGAAAAGAUUUCUCUUAUCGAAUAGGUAGGAAUUGCAUUCGCCUAGCUUCAUUUAGGCAUUGUUGUGAAAAACUUAUUUAUACUUUCCUUUGACUGUGGCAUAAUGCUUUUCAGGUGUGGACUCUACAUGAAAACGACCAAACUCUAGGGCUGGAGGAUCCAAGAUUGACAGAGUUUGAUGAAACUGAAGCAACUAGAUUGAUAAGAGUAGCUCUCAUGUGCACGCAGGGAUCACCGAUGGCACGGCCAUCUAUGUCACGCGUGGUUGCAAUGCUCUCUGGAGACAUUGACAUAGGCAAUGUCAUGUCGAAGCCAAACUAUUUGACAGAUUAUGAUUUUAAAGAUGUAACAACAUCGUUAACAAGUAGAUUUUUGGUGGAGGAUGAUACCCCAUCAACUUCAUCCAAGGGUAGUAAUGUUCGCCUCAACUAUCAGUCGAGAGGCAGCAAUGCAAGUGGUGUUAACACUCCCUGGAUUGACCAUGCGCCUUCUAUAAACGUCACUCAAUCACUGCUCGUUGAAAUUAGAGGAGAAGGAAGGUGAUAAAUAUCAGGAACUGAUUUUCACAUGCUCUUUCUUUUGGUAGUGGGCAGGGGACUGGCAUGCCAGAUUUGAAUAUACCUUGGCAGAUGGAUAUAUAUCCUACUUAUUCAUACACAAUGUUUAUAGAUAUGUUCAUGAACCACCACCACUGGAUGGAGAUCCCACCACUAAAAUUUAAGAAUGUGUUCAGGGAAUUCAGAUAAUUUAAUAAGGCCUUUUUGGGUCUAUAAAUUGAGCCUUGAUGUUGAUGGUCCAGUUGCAGAAUAAAGAAGAAAAUGCCUUUUUGGGUCUAUAAAUUGAGCUUUGAUAUUGAUUGGAUGUGUUCACUAAUAUUUCAGAGACAAGUAACUUGCAACUUGGCUAGCCUACUUGAUUCAAUAUAUUGUUGGGAACAGCAAGAGGACUUGCUUACCUCCAUGAGGAGUCAAGGCCAAGGAUUGUACAUCUAGAUGUCAAAGCCAUUAAUAUUUUGCUCGAUGUAGAACUCCCCCCAAAAAUAUCAAAUUUUGGAUUGGCAAAGCUUUAUGAUGACGAGAAAACCCACAUCAGCACCCGAGUUGCAGGGACAAUGUCACAUUUAUACUUGCAUGAAAUUUUAAUACACAUCAUGUUAAUAAUGCCACUAAUGAUCUCAAGAAACAUUGUACAACCAUUUGAUUAUCUUGCAUUGCAGAGGCUAUUUGUCACCAGAGUAUGCAAUGCGUGGACAUUUGACAGAUAAGGCUGAUGUGUUUGGUUUUGGAGUCGUUGCUUUGUAGAUCCCUAGCGGGAGACCAAACUCUGACAAUAACUUAGAUCCAGAAAAGAUUUAUCUUCUUGAAUGGGUAGGAAUUGCAUUCCCCUAGCUUUAUUUUGGCAUUGUUGUGAAAAACUUAUUCACCCUUUCCUUGGACCAUGGCAUAAUGUUUUUCAGACAUGGACUCUACAUGAAAACGACCAAAUUCUGGGGCUGGUGGAUCCGAGAUUGACAGAGUUUGACGAAACUGAAGCGACUAGACUGAUAAGAACAGCUCUCCUGUGCACGCAGGCAUCAUCGAUGACGAGGCCAUCUAUGUCACGCGUGGUGGCAAUGCUCUCUAGAGAUAUUGACAUAGGCAUUGUCAUGUCGAAGUCGAGCUAUUUGACAGAUUAUGAUUUUAAGGAUGUAACGACAUUGUCAAUAGGUAGCUUUUUGAUGAAGGAUGAUACCCCAUCAACUGCAUCCAAGCAUAGUAAUGACCGCCUCAACUAUCAGCCCGAAGGCAACAAUGCAAGUGGUGCUAACACCCCUGUGGUUGACCUUGCGCCUUCUCCAGUAAACAUCACUCAAUCACUGCUAGUUGGCGUUAUUAGAGAAGGAAGGUGAUAAAUAAUGGGAAAUGAUUAACGCACACCUUUUAUCCUUUUGUGCACCCAUGUACUUGUCCCUGGGUCUUUUAUGCCUCUAAGGUUUUGGCUAUGAUGAUGUAUAUCUAAAAUAAGAUACGAUUUUAUAGAUAUUUGGUUCGAACUUACAUGUCAAUUUUGUGUUAGUAUGUUACGGUGUAAAUCUCCUCUUUUAAUCAGAAGGAAAAAAAUGGAUGUUUCUUUUUCUAUAGUUGAUGCUAUUCACUCCCAUUUUAAAUUCUCACACAGUUUUUUGUAAUUUUUGUCUUUAGGUCUUUUUUAAUUCAUUCGAUCCGACGGCCGAAAAUUAAGAAGAGUGGGUGGAGGUAAAAUAGGUGUGAAUAGUGUUGAUGCACAAAAUCAGCGAGGACUUUGGUACAACAGAAAAUGUCAGGUUUGUGACCUUCGCUUGGUCGCUUCGGUCACUAGUGAAGAUAAGUACGUAAAUGAAUAGGGACAGGGAAGCAAACACAAGAUGUACGUGGUUCACCCAGAUUGGCUACGUCCACGGAGUAGAGGAGUUCUCAUUAAUUGUGAAGGGUUUACACAAAUACAUAUGUUCAAGCUCUCCUUUUGUGAGUUCUAGUGAAUAGUUUAGUACAAAAUGAGGCUGGAAAUCUUUUUAUUAAAAUGAGAUUGGUGAGGAUGGAAAUCUUUCCUUUUGCCCUGGGAUUGAUAUGUCUGCUGACUUGGCGAAGCAUUAAAUGAGGCUGGGGGGUGUGCUGCUACCGUUUGGAAGGUUGAUGUCUUUUCAUUCGGUUGGAUCUGGCCUCCACUCCCUACUUGCUGAUAAGGGGUGACCGUAGAGGGUUUCCCUGGAUAUGUCCUUGCCUCAGCAGAGGCAUGGUUGUAAGCUUGUGCCAUCACCUCAGAGUAAGUCUUCCAAGUGUUGGCAUUGAUCAUGUACUUGAAGAUACAGUCACGUAAGCCUGCCGUGAAGGCCUUGAGGGCGGUCUUGUCAUCUGCCUCAGCGCAGCGAGAAUACUCAUGGCUGAAGCGGCCAGCGUACUUUCGUAAUAACUCGUCCAGCUUUUGGCGAAUAGUGUACAAGUCAUCUGCGGAAUGCAAGCGAUCGGUCUGGAAAAUGUGUUGAGAGACAAACAGUUUCCUCAACUCUUCAAAUGAGUCUACUGUCUCAGGUGGAAGACGGCAAUACCAGUUUAAAGCUCCGCCAGAGAGGGUGGAGGGGAAGAGAAGGCAUCGUUCUUCGUCGGUGUGUCCUCGGUAUACCAUGGUGGACUCAAAGAGGUUAAGGUGUUCAAUCGGGUCUUCCCUUCCAGUAUAGAGCUAUAAGUGAAGCUUCUGCUUUGUCUUCGCUUGGAGGGGAGUGUUGAGGAUCCUUCUUGUGAGAGGGCUAGGCCUGGGUUGGUUCCAGUCAGGUAUCUCGGCUUGACGUUCAGCCUUCAGCUUGUUUACUUCCUCAAGGAGCUGCAGGACAAGGGGGUCCUGAGCGGAGUCGUGCACCACCGAAGUUCUCUUCUUUAAGUCCCUAUCGCCUCUUGGAAGCAGGAAAGUUUGAUCAAGAUAGCGUGAUCUUUCUCUGGACUCGCCACACUGACUCCUAGAGUGAGUAUGUUGGAAUGUUUCCGAGUCCCUAGUACCUUCAUAUUCUUCUGGGACUUGUUGCCCAUUCUCUAGAUUGACGGCUAGCCUGGGUCGUGGAAGUGGACCGAGUCUUUCAAAAACCCUUGGGUCAUUGAUCUUCGAGCUUAUGUGGAUGGGAUUCUCUCGACGUUGCUUUAGGAAGUCUCGACAAUCGCGAUAGACAGCUUUUGAUCCUUCCACUCCCUAUGUGAGGAGGUGUUUUCCUCUACUUCUCCUGCUUCGGGUUGAAGCAGCUGGGUUGAGAGAAGUCUCAUGUUGAUUAUCACAUUGAUGUGUAGCUCGAUCCCUAUCAGGGAUGUCCGUGUCGGAUAUCGGGGACCCUCCGUGUUGGGGGGCAUUCAGUUGAUUGUUAACCUCAACAGGGGCGACGAACUUAUGUGUUUGAGCCUGCCUAGCCUCAUGAAGCAUCUUGAAAAGUUUUUCAUAUUGUUCAUGGAGGACUUCAUUCUUCAUCGCUAUCUUGUUGUUCUGAAACUCUAGCUCAUCGACUUUAGCUUGAAGAGUAACUCUAUUUCCUUCCUGCUUUCGUUGCUUCAUACUAGGUUAAGCAGGGGUGUCAUUCUGUGUGAUGUGGCUUCUUUCGCUCCCCAUGUCGGAGAGAGAUGCUUGGCCAAAAGAAAGUGUACGAACGGUGGAAACCAGCUUGACAAAGCUGAAGAGAGUGGGAGUAAGUGUCCUUCCCACAGACGGCGCCAAAUGUUGAUGCACAAAAUCAGCGAGGACUUUGGUACAACAGAAAGUGUCAGGUUUGUGACCUUCGCUUGGUCGCUUCGGUCACUAGUGAAGAUAAGUACGUAAAUGAAUAGGGACAGGGAAGCAAACACAAGAUGUACGUGGUUCACCCAGAUUGGCUACGUCCACGGAGUAGAGGAGUUCUCAUUAAUUGUGAAGGGUUUACACAAAUACAUAUGUUCAAGCUCUCCUUUUGUGAGUUCUAGUGAAUAGUUUAGUACAAAAUGACAUUAGAGAUUAUUGUGGGAGAAUGAUCCCUAUUUAUAGAAGAGAGUUUCUAGUUUUGUUCUAACAUGGACACGUGUCGUGUUGUGAUUGGCUUAUGAGGUUGACACGUGUCGCGCUGUGAUUGACUUCUGAUGUCGACACGUGUCGCAUUGUGAUUGGCCUUCUGGUUGAAGGGAACCUCUUCUAGGUCCUUGACGGUAUAAUGUUGACCGGUGCUCAGUAGUUUCGGGAUUGGUCAAGUAUGGUACAAACAAUGCUCCCCUAAGUUCCCGAGUGAGGGAAACUCCUCGGUUGGGGACUUGCAAGAUCCAAGCCGCUGAGUAAUCACGAAACUUCUAAGUACCGAGGUGUGGUAUCAUUUUCACUUGCCUUAUCUGUCUCCUAUGUAGAUGUGGCAUCUUCUCCGGAAGUACUUUUCCUCCAUCCAGGGGUGGUGUCUUUAACCGAUGAAGAUGCACAAGGUAAUGUAUCAAUUUCACUUGAAGCUUACUUGUAGUUUCGGGUUUGGUCAAGUGCGAUACAAACCUUAUAGUAGGAGUCCCUCAAGUCGCCGAGCUAGUAGAUCUGCCGAAAGAGGUGACAGACAAAGUAAGCAGUCAAACUUCCAAGCAAGCAACCCAGGAUCGGAGGUUCGACUUCAGCUUCCGGUUGAUUGUUCUCAUUCUCCUUGUCUCUCAUUCUACUGCCAGGAUAAGGAGAAACAAAUGGAUAAGAGAUGAUAUGAGAUACUUUUGCUUUUGAAGAAGUAACUUUCCACAGGCUUAUUCUUGAACUGUGCUGGAGGGUUUUCUGGUUCCCUCCAGAGUAUAAGGCCAACUCAAGAAUUUGAGGGUCAAAACAAGUCCAUCAAAUCUAGAGUACAUUCGACCUUGAUGAUAUGGGAUACUUUUGCUGUUGACGGAAUAGUGAAUGUGGUAUGGAAAGGUGUCGUGCUGUAGCGAUCUGUUUCAGCUCACCGUUGAACCUUCUGCUUCAAUCUUUUGCAUGGCAGAAGUGGUGUGCAACCUUUGCAUUUAAAUGGUCAUUCUGAACAUUCCUUCAUAAUGACUCAUCCACGCUUGGCAGCUUCAGUGUAAAGAGCCAAUAUCUGAUCAACUGUCAUGAGGUAUAUGCCGGUGGAAUUCGUGACCUUGACAGCAGUUGAGGAUGAGUACUCGAGAGCAAUGCUAAGUAAGCAACCAGGCAAAGGUUCCAGGCAGUCAGUUCCAGAUUGGAGGUUUGAUUUCAGGUUUCGACUGACUGCUCUCUUUCUCCUUGUCCUGCAGGUGUGGACAAGGACAAAGACAAAGACAGGGAGAAAGCAUGAUAUGGGAUACUCUUGCUUUCGACCCUGAUGAUAUGAGAUACUCUUGUUCUUGGUGUGGCUUAUUUGCUGAGGUAUUAUCGAGGGGAAAUAAAGUUGAGUAUUUCGAGAGGUUAUGUUGAGGGUGCCUUCUCGAAUGCGAGAAAUGGUUAAGCAUUUUUGCAGGCUUGUCUGUCCGUGGAGGAUGGAGGUCGACAUAUAUAGGAAUUUCCCCAUAGCAAGUAGUAAUGCUAUUCCUUUACCCUUCUUGGUCAUAGCAAUGUAGUGGGAGCUGUCAGCUUCACAUGUUUUAACUUUGUCAGAACACUUUGAAAAAGAUGUAUGUGGUAUCUGGAAAGCUGAUGUUGCGUGUGAAGAUUACAAACAAACUUUAUCUAAGGAAAUCUGGCUCUCGAAGUUCUGAGAGCUGUGCCUCUUCGGUUUUCGAACAAGCAAUCCCGUCGGGGAUCUGGCUCUCGAGAUUCGGAAAGCGGUGCCGCUUCGGCUUUUAAGAAAGUAAUUAUGUUGGGAGUCUUUUCUCGAAUGUGGGUAAAGGUUGGACGUUCUUGCCAGUCUGUCUUGCCGCAGAACACGGAGGUCGACACACAUUCUCCACAAGACCUUUUGAAGCAGGAGACUUUCCUUGGUCAGAUUUUUCUUAACAAGGACAACAUUUGCUACCUAUGUUGGGUAAUUGACUUCACGGACGAAGCCUAUGUCCUUGAGUUUUUCAACUUCUGCUUUCAUCGCCUCAUAUCGCUCAACAUCAUAAGAUCUUCGCUUCUCUUUUACUGGUUUGGUCUUGGGAUCAAUACUCAAGUGGUGACAGAUGAUAUCGGGAGAGAUGCCCGGCAUAUCUUUAUAUGACCAAGCGAAGACCUCGGCGUUCUCUUGUAAAAAUGAGAUCAGCGACAACCGAAUGGGUGGUGACAAAGUGGUGCCAAUCUUCACCAUGCGAUCUGGAUGGUCUUUGGAGAUAGAGACAUUCUCUAACUCUUCAGCAGGUUGUGCUUGCUGGGUGAAGGAGUCAUCUCGAGGGUCGUCGGGUUGACUGUUGCCAUCAUGAAGAUCCGAGUUAGCUUCAUCUGGACUGGUCUUUACUACCUGGUUAUGUACAGAGAGGGUCUCCUUGGGGACAUGCAGGUGUUGUUGCUUAACUGAAGUGUUGUAACAUGAUCGAGCACUAAGUUGAUCUCCCCUGAUGUAUCCAUUGCCGAAAGGGGUUGGAAACUUCAUCAACAACAUAUGUGUGGAUACCAUGGCCUUGUGAUCAUUUAUGCAUGUGCGCCCAAAGAUGACAUUGUAUGCCGUCGGGCAAUUAACCACUAGGAAGUUAGUGGUAAUAGUAGCUGUGUAGGGGCCUGUACCAAUGGUGAGGGGUAAAUGUAUACUCCCUAAAGGUUGCACGAUAUCGCCAGAGAAGCUUAUCAGAGGAGAAAUCGAGCGAUCGAGCAAGUGUUCAACUACAUUAAGUGCCUUGAAAGCUUCAGCAAACAUGAUAUUGACUGAAGCACCAGUGUCUAUCAGGAUUCGUUUCACAUCAAAAUUUGCUAUGUGAGCCUCCACGAUCAGCGGGUCGUUGUGAGGGUAGAUGAUACCUCUUUCUUCCUCAGGGUAGAAACAUAUUGGAUCCCAGUUAGGCUUUUGAUACUUGCCUCCCCUGAUGUCUUCCACGUGAAACACUUGAUGGCCAGGUCUCAAAGUUCGUUCACUGUUUUUCAUGGCCCUAUUGGAAGAUUCAAACAUGGGUGUGCCGCCGCUUAUGGAAUAUAUCACAUUCACCUGGCGUUGGUUACGGUUAUCCCUUGGAGGGUGAAGGAGGAACUGAUCAAUUUUUCCGUCACGUGCCAAAGCUUCAAUAUGAUCACGGAGGAUGAUGCACUUCUCGCUAUCAUGGCCAUUAUACUCGUGGUAGCAACAAAACACGCAUGUGUUCUUCGUGGACUUGUAAUCUGGCUGUCUUGGCUUUGGCUUUGGUAUCAGGUGAGCUAUACUGGGGUAGAUGGCCACGCAUGUAGCGUUCAAAGGUGUGUAUGUCUUAUACCUCGGGGUAGGGCCUGUCUUGACACGCGAUUGGCCCACUGCGUUGACUGCCUGGGGAUGGGUGUUAUUGUGACGAUAUACUGAGUUAUCGCGAUAGUGCCCCUUAUUCUUUUUAUUAAAAUGAGAUUGGUGAGGAUGGAAAUCUUUCCUUUUGCCCUGGGAUUGAUAUGUCUGCUGACUUGGCGAAGCAUUAAAUGAGGCUGGGGGGUGUGCUGCUACCGUUUGGAAGGUUGAUGUCUUUUCAUUCGGUUGGAUCUGGCCUCCACUCCCUACUUGCUGAUAAGGGGUGACCGUAGAGGGUUUCCCUGGAUAUGUCCUUGCCUCAGCAGAGGCAUGGUUGUAAGCUUGUGCCAUCACCUCAGAGUAAGUCUUCCAAGUGUUGGCAUUGAUCAUGUACUUGAAGAUACAGUCACGUAAGCCUGCCGUGAAGGCCUUGAGGGCGGUCUUGUCAUCUGCCUCAGCGCAGCGAGAAUACUCAUGGCUGAAGCGGCCAGCGUACUUUCGUAAUAACUCGUCCAGCUUUUGGCGAAUAGUGUACAAGUCAUCUGCGGAAUGCAAUCGAUCGGUCUGGAAAAUGUGUUGAGAGACAAACAGUUUCCUCAACUCUUCAAAUGAGUCUACUGUCUCAGGUGGAAGACGGCAAUACCAGUUUAAAGCUCCGCCAGAGAGGGUGGAGGGGAAGAGAAGGCAUCGUUCUUCGUCGGUGUGUCCUCGGUAUACCAUGGUGGACUCAAAGAGGUUAAGGUGUUCAAUCGGGUCUUCCCUUCCAGUAUAGAGCUAUAAGUGAAGCUUCUGCUUUGUCUUCGCUUGGAGGGGAGUGUUGAGGAUCCUUCUUGUGAGAGGGCUAGGCCUGGGUUGGUUCCAGUCAGGUAUCUCGGCUUGACGUUCAGCCUUCAGCUUGUUUACUUCCUCAAGGAGCUGCAGGACAAGGGGGUCCUGAGCGGAGUCGUGCACCACCGAAGUUCUCUUCUUUAAGUCCCUAUCGCCUCUUGGAAGCAGGAAAGUUUGAUCAAGAUAGCGUGAUCUUUCUCUGGACUCGCCACACUGACUCCUAGAGUGAGUAUGUUGGAAUGUUUCCGAGUCCCUAGUACCUUCAUAUUCUUCUGGGACUUGUUGCCCAUUCUCUAGAUUGACGGCUAGCCUGGGUCGUGGAAGUGGACCGAGUCUUUCAAAAACCCUUGGGUCAUUGAUCUUCGAGCUUAUGUGGAUGGGAUUCUCUCGACGUUGCUUUAGGAAGUCUCGACAAUCGCGAUAGACAGCUUUUGAUCCUUCCACUCCCUAUGUGAGGAGGUGUUUUCCUCUACUUCUCCUGCUUCGGGUUGAAGCAGCUGGGUUGAGAGAAGUCUCAUGUUGAUUAUCACAUUGAUGUGUAGCUCGAUCCCUAUCAGGGAUGUCCGUGUCGGAUAUCGGGGACCCUCCGUGUUGGGGGGCAUUCAGUUGAUUGUUAACCUCAACAGGGGCGACGAGCUUAUGUGUUUGAGCCUGCCUAGCCUCAUGAAGCAUCUUGAAAAGUUUUUCAUAUUGUUCAUGGAGGACUUCAUUCUUCAUCGCUAUCUUGUUGUUCUGAAACUCUAGCUCAUCGACUUUAGCUUGAAGAGUAACUCUAUUUCCUUCCUGCUUUCGUUGCUUCAUACUAGGUCAAGCAGGGGUGUCAUUCUGUGUGCUGUGGCUUCUUUCGCUCCCCAUGUCGGAGAGAGAUGCUUGGCCAAAAGAAAGUGUACGAACGGUGGAAACCAGCUUGACAAAGCUGAAGAGAGUGGGAGUAAGUGUCCUUCCCACAGACGGCGCCAAAUGUUGAUGCACAAAAUCAGCGAGGACUUUGGUACAACAGAAAGUGUCAGGUUUGUGACCUUCGCUUGGUCGCUUCGGUCACUAGUGAAGAUAAGUACGUAAAUGAAUAGGGACAGGGAAGCAAACACAAGAUGUACGUGGUUCACCCAGAUUGGCUACGUCCACGGAGUAGAGGAGUUCUCAUUAAUUGUGAAGGGUUUACACAAAUACAUAUGUUCAAGCUCUCCUUUUGUGAGUUCUAGUGAAUAGUUUAGUACAAAAUGACAUUAGAGAUUAUUGUGGGAGAAUGAUCCCUAUUUAUAGAAGAGAGUUUCUAGUUUUGUUCUAACAUGGACACGUGUCGUGUUGUGAUUGGCUUAUGAGGUUGACACGUGUCGCGCUGUGAUUGACUUCUGAUGUCGACACGUGUCGCAUUGUGAUUGGCCUUCUGGUUGAAGGGAACCUCUUCUAGGUCCUUGACGGUAUAAUGUUGACCGGUGCUCAGUAGUUUCGGGAUUGGUCAAGUAUGGUACAAACAAAUAGCACCACCCUUUUCUAUCUGAUAGCCAAGUAUGUAUAAUAAAACAUAAGCAAUCUUAGUAGAUGCCUAUAAAUAAAAGCCACAAGUUGGCUCUAGAUUAGUUAUUGUCAAUUGUUGAUUGAUUACGGUGUCACCCUAAUGUGACUCUUUGGUAGGGUUUUUGCAUAAGCCAACUCUUUUACAUGAAUGAUUAUUAAUUGUUGGUCGAUCAGUGUCACCUGAGAAAAUCUUUGGUUAAAUUGCUAUGCAAAUGUUGCCUUUCUCACAUGAGUGGUCUCAAAGGUGGGGCCAGGUAAAACCAAAAUGUAAGGAAGUUCAUGCUCACCAAAGCAAGACCAACCCGUUUAAGGCUAUGGUGCUCGUCUAGUUGUCUUUGUGCCUUUUUUCUUUACAUUUGGAAGUACCAAUGCCAGGUCACUUGAGGCAACAAGUCCAGCCCCACAUUUUAUUCGUUUCUAUUACCUCCAUUGAAAGUGACCGUUAGAAUUUGAUCGUUAUAAGCCUACCGUUUCCAGUCCCACUUUUUUAGUUCUUGUCACUCAUUUUGCUCCUCUACAAAAGUAUUAAUUACAUGUAUACACACACACACACACACACACACUUAUUAGCAGCACAUAUACACCUAUAUAUAUACUGUUUCUUAGUCUCAUCAGAACUCAAAGAAAGAAGGAGAGCUUUGGAGAAGUGAAAGUACUAGCAUAAACUAGAAGAACAAAGGGAGACAUCUUAAUCUCCCCCCAGAAGCUGAAGUUGUUGCCUGUCAAGAAGUGUUUGUAUGUGGUCAAGGCAAGCACCUUCUUGACCAUCUUAUCUGGCUUCAAAUUCUCAUUCACUACCUCUUCUAGAAUCACAUCGAACACCUUCCCGAAAUCAGUUGUCCAGUCCUGGCUUUUGAUCAAAGUCUGCAUAUAUUCGGCCCUCGAAUUAAGAUCCUCGCCUUGUAUCAAAUGCAGGUGAGGGUUUUUGCUUUAGGUGACCACAUUUCCCUUCCAUGGCUCGUCACUCAAUUGAAGCAACAAAAGCCCCAAAGCCAAACUCGCCGACAAGGUGUUGUCGACAUCACACAGCCAACCAAUUCUUCUACUUCCGCUGCUUUGAGUAGACCUCCAUCACUUUCUUCCACUUAACAUCAGCCUCCUGCUCGAGCUCAAGUUACUUGAUAUAGCUUAAUAUGUCAUGCGAAAGCAGCGCUGCAUCGCCAGGAUCAACCUCAUUGGCUGCAGCCAGUUGCUCUCGCUUGUACUCCGCUCUAUAACCCCACCGGUUGGCAGGUUCCCAGCCCUCUGAUGCCAUAGUUUUUCUUAAGGGCGACAAAACCUCCUUCUUCAGUCGGUCAAUACAACAAAGACUACCAUCCCCUUCUCAGAGGCAUGAUUCUGACGGGAAAACCUUCCUUGCAAUGUUUUCGAAUAGCAUAUGAUGAUCAGCGAUGGUAAGCAAAAAGGUAGCCGCUUGGGUAAUCUCCAAGCAGUAAUCAUCAUGAUGGUCAUGGUCCUUGUGAUGAUGAAUUUUUUCAAUAUCAGACUUAAGGCACGGCAAAAAUAUCCAAAACACACACAGUCGUGCAAUAAGCGAUAAUCAGCGUCGCGCUCGUAUCUCUGAGCCGCCUUGUUGGCCGUGUGGAUCGCCUUCCUCCUUAACAACAAUUCGCUUGCCUUUGAGUUGACGUCCUUUUCCUUGACCUUCACCAUUCUGUUUGAAUCCGCCUCCUCCCUCGUCCUCCCAGUAAAUUUCAAGUGAGCUUCACCCCGUAAAACCUGCGAGAGAAUGCAAGGAAGGUCUAGGAUAUGUCCAAAGGAGCCGGAAAUUGGCACAAGAUUGUAGGCAAGGGUUUUGGGGUGGUUCUGGUGGAGCCAAACUGCUACCGUGAAGAAAGCUUCGUCUUGGUUGCAUUUUCCACCGUCGCUGCAUUUGUCUAUGAAGUUGCAAAUGAGUUUAUGGGUGGUUAGAGGAUUGUGCCACCAGCCGAGGGAAACACUUGGUUCAUCAGAGUUUUGUGAAAUUCCACGGUCGACAUGGCGUCCUUGGCGCAGUGGAAGUACAGAUCAACGCAUGGGUUGCUGAUGUUGUGGAAGCCUAAUUGGGGUUGUUUGAAUUUGAACUGAUCGGGCCGCAGUGAAGCAAUUCUUGUGAAUUGCGGUCAAACGACCUUGUUUCGGCAUGCUUCCAGAAUCGAUAUCACUAGCAGGAAUGCUCACGCUUUGUUGCGGGUUUUCAAACCAUGGAUAAUAUUCGUAGAAAAAUUAACUGAAAAUGCUGCAAAAAUACAAUCACAUUCUUAAAUGUAGCAAUUCAGACAACACACGUUUCACAUGAGUAACGCUCACAAAACCACACAUUUACACAAUUAUCUCCAAAUGAAAGAAAAAGCAAGAGAUAGGUGAAUUGAUCCAUAAAAUGAGUAGUUCAAUUUACAUUGCUACUAUCUUGUAACUUAUUAGAGCUUCUUUGCAGACCAAUCAUAAUGAUUUCUUCAUUGCUUUCACCAAAUAUUUCUAUAGUUCUACUCUAGUAGUCCAAUUGACAGAACAAAUAGCAAGUGCGAUUUUAUUCAAUGCUUUGAAUGUGUUGUAAAGAUAAUACCACCAACUAUGGGUGGCAAUUGAUUCUUGUGAUAACAUACUAUAAAGGUAAAGGUAUGGAUAAAAAAGAAAAUGCGUCCUUUGAAAGAUAUAGAACAAACUUGAAAUUCAAUGAAUUGUUCUUUUACAAAGCGCAUCACCAAACUUGAUUUCCCCAAGAAGCACCUAAAGAAGAACAUCAAACAUCACUGUGGUGAUCAUGACAUGCAAUACCCAAAGAAAAAUAAUUUAAGAAAAAAUAAACCUAUUCAUCACACAAUGCUAAAAUACAUAUGCCUACAUAUCCAUAAUUUCUAUGUUUACGGAACACCUUUCGAUAAGUCACAACCUUCAUUUUAAAAUGGACUUUUGUAUUUGUAUUUUGCUUGUGAGUAUGGUCUUGGUUAAAACUUCGCAUUCUAGCAUUUACUUAUAUGAUAUCAUAUAGCAAGAAAGCUAUGAGACCCAAGUCACAAUUUAUUGUAUUCUCAUAGACCCUCAAAAUACUAGAGCUAGACAAAGAUAAACAACACGAUAGAGAAACUUCUGCUUUACAUGUACAUUGACAUUUGCAUGUGCAAAGCUCUCUUUCCUCCUUUCCUUUCUUUUCUUCCUCACCUUUCGAAUCUUUCUCCUAGAUUAAGGAGAUUGUUGUUUUGUUGUUAGUGGUUGCCAUCAUCAUCACAUUGAAAUCAACUUUAGUUAAUACUAGCCUCCUGCACGCGCUCACGGGCGUGCGGAAGGCCCUUUUGUAAUUAAGGCAUUCUACGUGCGACUUAAAUAAUUUAAAUGAUAACAAAAGAGCGGUUGCUCUCUGAUCUAAUUGCAGACACAAUCUGCAGAACCGUCUUCUAUGGGAUUUGAACUUGUGAAGUGUGAGGUGGAGACCUGAAUGUAACAAAUUGGUGUUAAGUGAAUAAUUCCAAACAUAUAAAAUUUAGAUCAUCACACCGAACGCAAACAGAACAAUUAAAUAAACAACUGAAGGCAUACGCAAUCUAAUUAGACAAAUAAGUGAACUUUCCCAUGCCGAAAUCUGAAAGGCCAACAGAAAUAUCUCAUUACAGCACAGAAGACAAAACUUAGGACAAAACUUAAAACUAAUCAAACUUAGGUGAACCAAUUAUAGAGAACAUAACCCUUGUAACCAAUCGGGAAAAGAUGCUUUUAAAUCCCAGAAAAAAAAAUUAAGAGGAGUUUUUUAAAAAACCAUCAUUUCAAUUAUUUUCCAGUCUUACAUUUGGAUUAAACAGAAAAUAUAAGUAAAAAUGCCAACUUUCUAAAAAAACUACAACUAUUUUUACAAAUUUCCAUUACCCAAUGCUGAAAAAUGAGAAUCACGAAGCAAUGAAGAACGGAACACGCGAGAACCAAAAAGUUAAAAACAACACGUAACCAUUUCAAAGACCCAAAAUCCUGCAAGGACAAAAAAAUCCCAUAAAAUCAGUACAUCAGCACUCCCUGCAAAACCCCAAAAUCAGAAAAUUAUAAAAAGAACCCAAAAUCAGUGGCAUGGUCCUCGUUUCUCCAUCAUUCAGUAGCUAAUGACCUAAUGGAAAAGAACCCAAAACAUACAGCUUAAAAUAUGGAAAGUGCUUAUAAAAGCUCAUGAAUAACGUUCAAAGCCUGCAUAGAAAUGGUAUAGCGCAGAUAACAACAAACAAUAAAACUAUGCACAGUAUAACCUAAAUCCGAUAUGUUGCAUUCCCCACACACAGAUUGUUCAAAAUUAAUUUCGUCUCCGUCUUUUUUCAAAUCUGAUAAAAUCCCCAAAACACAAAAAAUAGCAGCUAACUAUUUUUUGAACUCUGUAAACAACGAUAUGCAUCUUAACCCAUUUAACAUAUUCAUAAAAUAACAUCAAACACAUUUAUGCAUGAGAUAAUAUAGAAGUGAAGUCUCACAACUUUCAUAAAAAAUUAUUACUUUGUUAGAGAAAGGCUUGAAAAAAUAUGUAAAUUACUCACCUCUAUUACAAAAAUGUUACAACAGUAGACAAAAAAGGCCAAAAAUACCAAAAGCCGCACCUCCUGAAAUAAAAAACAUAACCAAACGACACAUUCUCAGUAUCUAAACGAUAUCCAGAAAAAAAGAAAUGAACAGACGAAACCCAUGUAAAUAUACAGAACAAACCAAAAAAAAAAAAAAGAACUGAAGCCAGUAAGAAGAUCACAAAUCUGAUAAAGCAAAAGGUAACAUAAUCUAUAUCGAUUUAAUUAUCCAUCCAAAAAGACAUUUGAAUGAAGAACAUUUUUAAGGAUCCAAACAACCAUUAAACUAAACAAUUAAAAGUAAAAACAGCAAAGCAUUCAUUGAAGAAAUAUAUAUAUAUAUAUAUAUUAUAACGUAUUUUGUUCUUUAUACCUAAAAGAAAAACAUUGGCUUUCUUGUAUGCACUGAAGUAUGCAUGUGUCGGAAAUUUACAAUCUAUAGAGACUCAAUCUCAGACUCAAAAAGACAUCUAAAGGAAAAGUAAUAAGAAAAAUAAGUAGUGGUUUUACCUAUACUCCAUGUGUGGACUCCAAUUUUCAAUCACAAUUCAAAAUUCAAGAGGCCUAUAAAUCAACCACAUAGGAAAUGAUCAGUGGAAGAAAAAGAAAAACAACUGAAGCCAAAAUAGCAUCUAACAAAUCAUUUAGAACCAUCACAGAAAACAAUUUUUGCAUAUAAGUAAUUUAAAGGAAUACCAUCAGGUCAUGCAUAUAUACAACGUACCCAAUUAGAUAAGUAGCACAUCAACAAUUGAUGAUCAAAAAGUUAGUCAGCCUCAAUUGCUUGAAUCUAAUUAACUCAAAGAUAAUAAACAGUCCAUUUAAUGCACGGGCUGACUAUCAAUUUUAUAAAGCUAUAAUUCUGUGCAGUUCAAAAACCAAGUGGAAGAAUAGGCAAAAACUAUCUCAUCGCCUGUAAAUGUAAUUAACUAAAUAUUAAACUUCACAGCCACAAAUAAACCUAAAUUCCUCCUAAAACUAUCUCAUUUAAGCUUGAUUUUACUAUAAUCUAUAAGUGUGGUAAAAAAUGGGAGGCCAAACGAUUUGUUAACAAAAAAGGUAGACAUAAAAGUAAAAGGAACAGGGCAGACAUUAGUUGAGGAGAAGCUAAUGUCACCUUGAAUUGACGACAAACAGUUCUUAUCUUCUCGAAUUAACGAAGAUAAGUACCAUUUUUCUUUAAUUCAAGGUAAUAUAAAAAGAAAUUAUACCUGUACAGUGUUCAGAUGUAGCAAUCCUAUGCAAUCGGCCAAAUGAUGUGUGUCCUCUCAAAGAUCUGUAUAUCCAUUACAGACUAAUCUUCAGUCUUGCAGAAAAUGAUAUGUUGACUACAAUUUCCCAUACUACUAAAAAACACAAAUAAUUCUAUCUACAAACCAAAUAAUAUGUGCAACUUUAUGCUACAAUGGUAGAAUAAGAUGGUUGUACAGGACGACACAAAGAUUGAGACUUUUUUUUACUUCUAAAAUUCUACACACUUUCGAGCCCUAAAUUUUCCCGGAAACAAAAAAAAGUGAAAGAAGUCGUACCUGGUUUGAGAGAGUGGGACACCAUCGGCGAGUUUGGUGUAGCAGUGAUGGCGGAGAUCUCUGGUGAGAAAGCUAAUAAGAUGGACAAAAUCAUUGAACAAAAAAAACCUCGCUUUUUAAAAUUAAAGUCAACAAAAAUUUGAACAAAGAAAAGAGAACUCAAACCCGAAACAAAUAAGUCGGAGAACUCGCCAGGAAACCCAAAGUUUCUGCAGGAUUGGCGAUUUCCUGAAAACCAAGCUUUUGUAGGUUUAAAAUUUCUUCCCUAAGGCAACAGAUCCAACAUUCCCAACUUUAGCUAUUUCAGCUACAUAAUAGAAAGAAAAAAAAAUUUAUAUAAUUAACUAAUCUGAUUUAAGAUUAAUCGAAAAGCUUGGAAAUUUCAGCUUUAAAAUUACAUGUCAGGCUGCAAAUCUAAUAAAAAGCGUAGAAUUUUAAAAAUGCUGACCUUAAAUACAGAGGCCUUCGCAGGCUGCAAAGAAGCGUUAGAAACCCGAAAAACCGGAUCUCCUGAAACCAAAAACAAAACCAAAUUAACCAUCAUCACCCAUAAUUCGAAGCCACAAACAUAAUCCCCAAAAUUACAACCCAAAAAUUUAAACAAAAAAACCCAUUUAUAAAUCCAAAUUUACACUCCCAAGUGCAAGACUCUAAGCUCCAACUGUUCUUUCUCAACUUUAGCUAUUUCAGCAACAUAACAUAAAUAAAAAGGUCGUACCCAGUGCACAAGGCUCCCGCUUUACGCAGGGUCUGGGAGAGGUGAAUGUCGGCUAGCCUUACCCCCAUUUUAUGGAGAGGCUGCUCCCAAGUCUCGAACCCGAGACCUACCGCUCAUGGGCGAAGACACUUGCCAUCGCACCAAGUGCGACCUCUAGCAACAUAACAUAAAUAAAAAGAUCGUACCCAGUGCACAAGGCUCCCGCUUUACGCAGGGUCUGGGAGAGGUGAACGUCGGCUAGCCUUACCCCCAUUUUAUGAAGAGGCUGGAACAUAACAUAAAUAAAUAAACAAAAUUAAUUUAACUAUAAUUAACUAAUAUGAUUUAAGAUUAAUCAAAAAACUUGGAAAUCUGCUUGAAUCCAAUCUCAAAAUUGAAAACGAACACUUCACUUUUACAAAAGUUGUACAAAGCAAAAAAAAAAAAACAGACAAAUCAAAGUCUCACAAAGGGCCACAACGACAGCAAAAUUGCAACAGAAAGAGGAAAAAUGUUCAAUCAAACCAUUGGAUAACUCUUCUAAGGCAGCCAAAAAAAAACCCACAAAUUCAAAACCACAAAAAUCCAAUCUAAAACAUCGAUUCACAGACUGAGAUGCACAAAAUGAUAUAUUAACAAAUCCAAAACGAAAUACAAAAAUUAAGAACCAACAAGCAAAAAAAUACUGAUUAUCCCCUGCAUACGUGAGCACACGUUCAAAAAGCCUCUCAAAGGCUGAGAUUCAACUUUCAAACAUAAAGACUUUAAGCCACAAUUGUUCUUUCUUAACUUUAGCUACUUCAGUUACAUAAUCGGAAAAAAAAAAUUAUUUAAUUAUAGUUAACUAAUCUGGGUUAAGAUUAAUAAAAAAGCUUGGAAAUUUCAGAUCUAAAAUCACACCUCAGGCUGCAAGUAGAAUCAAAACCAUGGAAUUUCAAAAUCACUGACCUUAAACACACAGGUCUUCGCAGGCUUCAAAGAAAAGUCACAAACUCGAAAAACCCAAUCUCCUGAAAUCGAAAACAAAACCAAAUUAACCAUCAUCACCUAGAAUCCGAAGCUACAAAACAAAAUUCCCAAAAUCAAAACCAAAAAAUUUGAACAAAAAACUCAUUUAAUAUCCAAAUUUACACUCCCAAGCACAUAACAUUCAAAGCAGACAAUUACCCAAAUCAAAUCGACAGCAGGAGAUGCAAUCUUUUAUGGGCUUCAAAUUUUCUUCAAACCGAGACCAAAUUCGCUAGUUUUCAGCAAGAGAGCGUUGCCGUUUGUAACCCCCGAUGAAAAGAUCCAAACAAAUUUGACUAACAGUAGACAGAGAGAGAGAGAGAUAGAGAGAGAGAGGUGAAAAUUACUCGCUGGUGACGAAGCUAAUGAAUUCGGAGACGCAUUCCUGGACGGUGUUCGACUGAUCGGCACGAGUAGAGACACCAGAUCAGAAAGACAGAAAAAUUAGGGUUUGGGAGAUAAAGAAACUGGGGCAGAGAGAGAGGGAAAGAGAAGCAGAAAAGAGGAUAAUUUUAUGCAUUUUUUUUAGCCGCUUUGAAUUUUUUUUGGCCGACAGGCAUUUGCGUCCGAUUAUUUUUGUCGAAGCCGGUGACACCAAAACCGGCCUCCGGCUUUCGGACCAGGAUUGUCUGCCCCUUCAUUUUCCCUGCCAUGUCUGUGUGGUCACGGUUAAAUCAUGUUAAUAUUUUAUAUUAUUAUUAUUUUUAUCUUAUUAUAUCUAUAAAAAAACAAUAUAAAAUGUUGACGUGGCUUAACUAUGACCACACAAAACAGAAUGGCACAAGGAGGGCACCGGAAGUGAAGGGUAGACAAUCCUUAUCCUCGACUUUCUAUAUAAAAGAUAAUUAACUUUAAUAAUUGUAAUAGGAAGUAAUGAUUAUGUCCUUUGGGUCAACAUUUGUAGGCUAUAUCUAAAAAAAAUACUAAAAAAGUUUAAACACAAAACCCCCCAAAAUUAUAAAAUCAAAAUAUAAUGUACUACCCCUUUUCUCCCGUUUUUAUCUCGCCCUCCAUUUCUGCAAAUCACCAACCUCCCUCUCUGCCCAUAUAUACUCCCUACCUCUCUCAUAAUAUCAAAACUCUCAAACCCAAUUCAUUGCCUCAUUACCUAGUUGAUAAAAGUCCCUAUAACAGUAUCAAAGCAACUAUAAUUACAAAGAAGUUGAGAGAUUACUUUCUCAUUAUCAAAACCACUACUGGAUUUAUGCAGACACAAAGGAUGCGUUUGUUGCACCGGACUAUCUCGGACUUGACUAACUUUAGGGACUAAGCUGGACUGGCUUAUACUAGACUAAGGGCUGGUUUGGUAUUGUUGUGCUUUGAAAAAAAACUGCUGUGAGAAUAAGCGGCUGUGCUGUGAGAAUAAGCGACUGUGAAAUAAAUCAGCAGAGUGUUUGGUAAACUUUUUUGUAAAAGUGCUUUUGGAAAAAAAAAAACAGUCUGAUAGUAGGUCUUUUCAUUGAAGGAGCACUGUAGCUCUGUGUGCUUUGAAAAAAAAGCCAGUUUUCCAAAACUGCAAAUAGAUGCUUCAGCUUUUUCUUUGAUUUCAGCUUAUUCUCACAACAGCUUCCAAAAUAAGCCUUUUUUUUUUAGUUUACCAAAAGCCUAAAACUCUCAUAGCUUUUUUUCAUGGAUGCUUUUUUUUUAAGCACCUCACUCCCAAACCACCCCUAAGAUGGACUGACUUAGUGAAGCGUUUGACGCAGUGCCGGAUUAAGAAGCAGGACUCUAAUAUUAUAUUAUUAAAUCUAUAUAUACAAUAUUUUAUCAUUGAUUUAAUCUAAUCUACUAAUUUUUUUAUUAUUAUUUUAUCAUUUGGCUAGAAUCAUCUUCUUCCCUGAUUCAUUUUUAUCUCCGCCCAUAACUCUCAACCCUCUCCCUUUUUUCUGCCUUUUCUCCCUCUUUUUCUCAAUACUACCGUCUUCCCCCAAAAAAUCCCAACCCCUCCCUCUCAAGCUUAGCAUCACUAAUUUAAUGGCAGCCAUGGUGAGCUUUCCUAUUCAUCUUCCUCUCUCUCUUCCCUUUGUUUUUCCAUUCAAAUCCCUCUCUCUCUUCCCUUUGCCUCUUUUAUUGUCCAACUUCACUUGUUCUUCCAUGGGUGAGGAUUGAAGUUGCAGACGGCAUGGGUGGGUGGGGCUGGGUAUGGGCAUGGGCAGGGAUUGGAGUUGCAGACGGCAAGGGGUGCAAUUUGGUCGGGUCGCUGAGAAUAUCGUUGUAGUUCUCUCGAAUUUGAAACGAGGGAAUGGUCUUGGUGUGGUGUUGUGAUCUCGUUGGAGAGAAGACGCAACGUAGAUGAAGUAAGGUCUUCGCAGAGGGAGGAUGCCAAGCGGCGCAAAGGAGACGAAGCAAGUCUUAGCAGUCCCGUGGUUUUCGGGGACCUUCACUAAGACGACCUAGCAAGGGAGAUAGUCCACAUGAGUCCGGGCUAGUCUCAUUUAAGUUAGUCCCCAAGCUUACCAAACAUGGGACAAUAAUCCUAGCCAGUCCAGCCCCACUUAAGAAGUGAAACAAACGCACCCAAAAUCUCACAAUAUUAUUACCACGACCUUAUGCAUAAUAGGAACAACACUAUAAUCAUCUGCCUACCAGAAAUUAACUCUUCUACAGCAGCAAGUUUAACAACCAACCAACCUUUGAACAAAGAACACACGGACAGAAAGAAGCAGGAUACAUAAGAGGCAAAACAAUUUUCUUACUUCUACAUCAAAGCAAAAGAACAACCAUUAUAUAGGUAUGCCAUUAUCAUCUGGGGAACAAAUCCAAUUGGCAACUUUUACGUACCUACAAUUAUAAGCAAAGUUUGGAAUUCACAAAAAAUACCGGGCAAAUACCAAGGCUGCCAUUUGAAAAAGCUAAACAAUAACAAACUUUGACAAAAUAACUACAACUAAAUUCAGAUGACAUUCGAUGUAUAAAGACAAUUUGAGAAAUCAAAGGCUCUAAAAUCAAUACCAUAUUUCAUGUGCCUUUUAUUGAUAGUGAACCCAGCAGUAGAACCAGGAUAAAAAUUUGAUUUAGAACCUUGCUAUCUUUGUCCUUGUAAAUAUGAUAUUUUGGCAUCGGCAAUAUAUCAUAAAAAAACAAACAAAUAUAUCUGAACUCAAAGAAAAUAUAGAACAAAAAUAAAAAAGCAAAUUAUGAACGUUUAGAAGCUAAUUUCAUUAGCAAUUAAAGCAACCAAGUUCUCUCAACAUCAAGAUUCAGAACCCCCAUGAACCCAGAAAUUUGAUGAAAAUUUUUCUAAUCACUCAAUUGGAUUAGACAAAAUCAUGAAUUUUUUUCUAAAGCCCAAUUAUAUUAAAUCACAGAUUAGAAGCAGAUUUUGACAUGCAAUAAGUCAACAAGAUAAGAAUCGCUUUAGACUAACCUCGAUGGCAAGGCCUCCGGAAUCGCCCGAUAUAAACCAACCAAAAAAAAAUCUAUUCACAUGAUCUUCAACCUAACUAUAAAGAGGAGCUUUAUAACAUCAACAUGCGAAAACAACCAAGCCCAACAAAUUAACGAACUAAUUCUUCUUAAUAAAUAAUAGCAUACAUAUUAUCAAUUAUCAAUCAAUAAUUCACAUAUCGUUAAGGGUUAAACAAAUAUAUGAAGACUGGAAAUUUACUCACACAUCUAAUAUAUCCUUGCAUUUCUAUUUGAAUUCAGAGUACGUGGAAAUCACAUCAAUAAAUCAAAGCCCUAAAUUUUUAUCAUCAUGAACUGGAAAAAUCUGUAAAAUCUAAAAUUUUUGACUAAAAAUGCCAACUUAGGAAUAUGAGGAAAUUUGCAAAUUAGCUAAACAAGGCUAUUAUUUAUCCAAUCAAAGGCAAAUUGGAAUGGUGCAGAACUAACACUACAAAAUUCGUUAAACUAAACAAUGGGUAGAAUGUUUAUAAGAUUUAUAUUUUACACAAAAAUUAAUCUUCUGAAAAAGCAAAAAACAUAAAUUUUUUGUUAAGCAAUCGCAUGGAUUAUAAAUGCCAAAGAUUAGAUGAUGGUAGGCGUCAGAUUACCUCUUUCGCCGAAGAUGCGAAACCCCUCAUUGCCGACGUGGCGGGGCGAAUCCUCUGCCCGAAAAUCUGAACCAACACAAAGAUUAGGCAGAAAAUCUGAAAGUUCAUAAAUUGCAGAAGUAGAGGGUGUAUCAUAGUUGAUGAGCUUCCAGCUCCCACUUUUUGCCUUAAAAUUCCCAACAUCUUUGAUUCUUUCACACAAAAUCACACUGAACGCAAAAAAAAAUCAGAAACAAAAUAUGAUCUAAGAACUGAAAAUUUCAGUGAAAGCACUGAGAGAGAUGAGGAGGAAUAACAAAUGAUUUACUGGAAAUAUGGAAAAAAAAAUUAGAUCAAAAUUCGAACAGAAAUAAACAAUACGAAUUAGGGAUUUGGGAGGGGGAUGAACCGGUUUGGCGGAUUGGAGCGAGGAUCGGAUCGACGAUGCGAUGUGUAAAAAAUGAGCGUUGAGGGAGCAGAGCAGCAGCAGCCAACACUUUCACGCAGAACUUGUUGAAUCCACAUCCGCCGUACUAAAAGAUAAAGUAAUAGUUUAAAUAUCUUAACCUCACUCUAACUAACACCGAUGUCUUUUGUGAUAAAACUCUAUAUUUGAUGGAUUAUGAAGGUGGUAAUUACCAAGUUGGCGACAAUAUCGAUGUUGUUGGAAGUGGGCUGUAUAACCUGUCUCUCUGAUAAUUCUACAUUAUAUAAGAGCCAAGGAACGGACCCGUACUGUACUAUCACGUGAUGGGUGGGUCUCCUGGCCCCGCGCGAUAUGGUGGGUCCCUUGGCCCCGCUUGUAGGGUGAGUCCCCUUGGCUCCACAUGGUUGCCGAUGUGUGGAUCUUUCACAUGUGGCCCACUAAUUGAGUCUCACGUGAUGGGGCGUGUUGAAUCCCACAUUGGCCGUAGUAAAAGAUAAGUAAUAGUUUAAAUAUCCUAACCCCACUCUAACUAACACCGAGACCUUUUGUGAUAAAACCUCACACCUGACGGAUUGUGUAGGUGGUAAUUACUAAAUUGGGGGACAAUAUCAGUGUUAUUGGAAGUGGGUCGUAUUGCCCGUCUCUCUGAUAAUUCUACAGAACUUUCUUGGAAAACCCAGAUCAAACCAACCUAGAUCAAACCAACCUUUAAGUUUCAAGGUUUUUACCCUGGAAUCCAGGCAAAACCCAUAUCAGAUUCUAAAUGGGUUUAUCAAAAAUAAUAAUUUGAUUUUGAUUAGAAAUGCUUUUUCUUGCAGUGGGUGUACGGAUUAAAGAGGGUUUUAGGUGAAUGUGAUCAGCCUACCCAUGUGUCUAAUGGAUUAAACUAACAAAAUAGUAUGUGAUGUGAUAUGUUUUAGGUCAACAUAACAAGAAAAUAUUAAACAAUGAGCUAUAAAGGAAGAUACAUGCUCUUAUGUUCUUUGUGAGUUUUUCCACAGUGAGAUAGUGGGUAUUUAUUACAUAGCCGGCUUCUCUGCCCUCCCAUUUCCCAUACACUCUUAUCCCUUCCUAUUUUAUGCGGUCACGGUUAAGCCACGUCAACAUUUUAUAUUGAUUUUUUUAUAGAUAUAAUAAAACAAAAAGCAAUAGUAAUAUAAAAUAUUGACGUAGCUUAACUGUGACCGCACAAAUAAGAAGGGAUGAGAGUUUAUGGGAAGUGGGAUGGCAGAGAAGCCAGGUCCACCGUCCAUAUAUUACACUCUGUAUUUGUACCCCUGCCAUGAAUGAUUAAGGUUUCACCCUAACAUUUAAAUAAUGAAUGUAGUGGUCAGGAAUUAUUAAAGAUACAGUAAUUACCCUUCUAAGGUGAAAUCAAGCCCAAAUCUGAUGGGUUUCUUGUAAAUAAGGUGAAAUCGAAGGGCAAAAAUUUAACUAUAGCUGAAUGAAUAGUAAAUCAUUCCUCAAUUUUAGAAUAGAUAACUAGAAAGUGUAGCCCGCGCAUUGCUGCAGGAAAUGUGAUUCACGCGUUACUGCAGGAUUGGAAACUGUAUGACAUAUUUUGAUGAACUAAGUUAGAAAACGACUACAUGUGCAAACAUUGCAAGCAACUAAAUUAGACGAAAGCUAACAAAUUUCGAAUUAACCAAAUUAGAAAAACAAUCACAAUCGAACUAAUCUCUACUUCCCAUAUGAAGUAGAAGAUGUCCCUUGUUUUGCAUCGGUGAACAACGCGGUUUCACCCUCUACGAACAAAAAGAUGAAAGUAAAAAUGUUUAACAACAUUAUAAAAAUUAUACAUACAGGAUUAUAUAUGUAUCUGCACAUAAAGUAUAAAGAUUUGCUAACAUAUUUGAGGUUAAAUUUAACAAAAUAAGUAAUUAUGAAUUGAAAUCAAACUAUAUCAUAAUUGUUAAAAAAUACUUUUGGCUAAUUCUUACAAAUAGAAUGAAAAUGUCGCUUUCUUAUCAACUAUUCAAUUGUCUCAGCUGCGGAAAAAAUUGAUUUCAAAGUGUCAUUUACCAAGUGAAUGAUGGAUAAAAUUGUUAAUUUCAAAAUAAACCAACUUUCAAAAAUCCUAACACGAUAUGACAUUGUGAAAAACCUUAAACCCUUUACUGGAACAAACCUCAAAAUGCCCACUAAUUGUUCUGGAUGGGACACACCAAUUUUUACCAUGAGAAAAAUGCAACUCCAAACCAAAAUUAAGCAUUUGAUAAAUCGUAUUUACUGAAAAGAAAUUUUUUUUGAAAGGGAAGCUUACCAGUGUUAGCAAAGUUAAAUACAAUGUAAGAAAGUGGAAGAAUAUUGACAUAAAGAUAGUAGUGGGAUUGAUGAUGGAUUCAGUAUGUUAUUUUGUAUCAAUUCAAAUGGAUGAAAAAUAUUAAAGGAACUAUAGGUCACAGUUUGGAGUAUGCAAAAGUACUACUUCAAAUUUUCAACAUGCUCAGUAAAUCUCUAAAUUUCAAAAGUGUACAAAUUUUAGAGUACUUCAACUAACAGUAAUUUUUUGGAGUGCUACUAUACCCUCUCCAUUGUUUUAUUUCUUCACUCACAUUAUAAUUCCACUCAUCAUAAAAAGUUAAAAAAUUAAAAUGUUAUUUCCCUACCCACUAUUUUUCUAAAACAACCUCUAAUUAACAAUUGGCGUAAAUGUGUAUGACCGCAUUAUACAGAGCCACCAACAGCGGCUGUGACUUCAUCUACAGUUGCUCUUCAUUGUACACCAGGCCUCCUCAUCUAACCAAACAAAGACAAAGCUUGCUUAUACCUCCCAUUCUGAGCACACCCCACAAUCAUGGUGGUCCACGAAACAACAUUCCACUUCGAUAUCUCGUUAAAAAUCCUCUGCGCCCCAUCAACAUCCCGACACCAUACAUAGCCCGCAAGCAGCGAAUUCCAACUUGCAACACUCCUUUCACGCAUACCAUCAAACACCAGGCGUGCAUACUCGACACCACCCCCAAACCCACUUACCCGAACCCUCUUGUGCACCUGUUCCCCUACUAUCACCAACCCUGACCUCGCACAAGCACCAAAAGAACAUACGAAUGGGAAAACCCAUUAGCCUCUGCCUCCAAACCCACCAGCCGUUUAUACAAUUCAACAGACUUCCGCGGAGUUUUGCUCCAAGCGUGGCCUCUGAUCAUCUGGCUCCAAACGGUAGUAACUGUGUUGUCAACAUUUUUGAAAAUUUUUAGGGCAUGAUCGAGACACUCAAAAGCAACGUAAAAUGUUAAAAUUCGAACAAGAAGGUAGCUUUUUGUGUGAGUCCAUGAAUUAUUAUUUUGGGUGUGAAUUUGGGUGUACUUGCACAUCAAUGGAAGCAAGUAAUUUUUUAUUUUGGUCCUUAUAUGUCAUUUUACAAAGAGUAAAAUUGACAUUAAAAAAUUAUUAAAAUAGCGGGUGAGAAGAUAAGACUGUAGAGUAGAUUUAUUAGCACUCAUUUUUUUAUAAAAUCGCAUUCUAGGAAAGUAGGAAUGGAACUUCCAUUCUUAUUAUAUAUACAAAGUAUGCAGAUGCUCCCUUGAAACUGGCUAAUGGUGAUAUUUCAAUCAUCCGAGAAAAACUCUGUGCUGAUAUGUAUGAACAUGCAUCAUCUGUUUCUAGUGCAAAGUGGGCAGAAUCGAGUGCCCAUUAUAAGGUAGUGUUCUACCUAAUGUAUUAAAUUUUUUAUUGUCAUAUGGCUGAGGACACUUAUUGAGUUAAUUAAGCUCCAUAGAGGAAUAGAGAAAUUGAAGGGCAAGAUAGAGAGGUCAUUUGGGGGAAGAGGAAGCCGGAAGGUGAGGCUGCUGGCUGCAGGAUGAUAUGGUUGUAGCAACAAUCAUUCAGUGUUGUUUGAGGACUCGUUUGGAAGUGCUUUGAAAAUGAUUAGAAAUGCUUUUGGAGAAUUUUUUUUUUAGUUUAAAAAACACUUGAAGUGUUUCUUGCAAGAAGUACCAAUUAUGAACUUGUCCAAGAAACACUUCAAGUACUUUUACAUGAUUCACUUGCAUUUUUAUUAAGGAGUGAUUCAAAAAACAUAUUCACCAUAAGCACUUUCAGCUAUUUUAAAAACAUUUAUAAACGGACUUGAGUUUCUUCCGUUUGGAAAUUUUCAUCUUUUAAAUAUUAAGUAGUUUUUUUUUUCAAAAAUUUGCAUAAAGAAAACAUAUAAAAUAUCAUUUACAGUCAUGUCAUUUUGGGAUAUAAAUGUCAUCUAAUUUUUUUAAUAAUUUAUAAUUUAUGGGUGUUUAGAUAUCAGUUUCAGUUGUUAACAUAAUUUCUCUUAAAUGUUGUCUGUUUUGGUGUAUCCUUUUCAGAGUGAUUUCAAGCGGCAUCUUUAUACAAUAAUAGCAGAAGUUUUAUAUCUGAUUAAAGUGGUUCUACAUCUGAUUGCUUUGGCAGCGUCAGAAGGCUUAACCGCUGGAUUUAUGGGAUUUUUGGAUAGCAAGAGUGCUUAUAGCUAGCUCCGGCUAGUUUGGCAGUCUCAGGAGGCUCAACCGUUGGACUAGCCUAGCUAAUGGGCAGUUCAAAUAUUGUCCUCUAUGCAAUUACUUAAUGCGUGGCUCUGGGGGUUAUUGUGUUGUUAUUACUAUGCUCUUUUUUCUCAAACGAAUUUAUGCUCCUUUUAAGUUGUAAUUAUCGUUCAGCUUACUAUAUAUGUUUGAACCUUUUAUAUGAUUUGAUUGUAAUAAAAUCGCGUUUACGGAUGUUGUCCCUUAUGUUCAUUUGUCAAAAGGCAAGUCCUUUUGGCUUGGUAAAGGCCAUGUAGUCGUUCGUCCGAAAAAACAAAGGCCAGGCGGUCCGGUCAAAUUGUGGCAUCAACUCCCUUCUCUCUCUAACCGUCACACGCUCACUACUCACAACCCUUUGGGUAUUAACUACAUUGAGAAUAAUCAAAGGACAAUGAAUAAUUGAGAAAGAUGAGGAGCUAGAGAGAAAUUUUAAAGAGAAAUAUGGCUUCUGUAUUUCUAAGAAAAUAACUAACUAAUUACAUUUGUCAGUUGCAGUUCUUUAUAUGAUAAAACAAUACAAACUUACUUGUAACUGAUUAACCAACUAACAAAUCAUUUAAUAGCCUAACAAAUAUUCUAACAACUUUGAUUGACGUGACAAUGAUUAUAUAACAACCUAUAAUCAAGAUAAACAAUCAUUUGUUUAGUCUCUCACACACCCUAAUUUAGUUAUGUUAAUUGUUUUUUAGGAUAAUUCUUUGUGUCUGUAGUUUUGGGUAGAUAGAUUAACAAAAAUCAUUGUGCUGUCUAUAAUUUGAUGGAGAUGUUGAAUUAUUGUAUUUUUAGUCUCUUCAAACAAAAAUGAUACACUUACUACAUAUUUGUACUAUCAUUGUACAAUCUAUCAAAUAAAAGUUGAGUCCGCCAACACAUGUAAGUCUCAUAUCAAUUAGAGAGAUGGUACAAAUAUAUUGCAAAAGUAGUAUUUUUGCUAAAUUAAACUAGCAAGUAUAACGUCUCAGUGUUGAGGGAUUCUUAAACAUAUGUAUGUUGAGAAAUGAUUUCCACACAAUCUUUUUUUUUUUGGUAGUAAACUCCUAUUAUGUUUUGUCUUGAUUCUCCUCUUAUUUAUUCACCUAAAAGUUAGAAAUAGCUUUAGAGGGUGUGUCAAGAAUAUAAGUGUGUAAAAUUGAUUUCCAAGUAUGUAGGCUUAUUUGUGUGUGAGGUGAAUUUUAGUGUUAGUGUUCUAAUACGCCUGUACUGUUUUGUAGUUCUGAAUUUAUUUGUAUGUCUUAAUCUUGCUUACGCAUCACAUACCAACCACCUUGACGAAGGUGUAACUCAAAACGGCAACUGUUGGAGUCAGAAGCAUUGGAGGUAUAUAUGGUUACUCUCUGUCUCUCUAAUUUAACAGAGGCUUUAGUUAGGGUUUCAGUUUCUUAGAAAAUUCACUACCAAAAAACUGGCAUUUGGGUACAAAACUAAGGACACCAAUGAAGAGUUUGUGUCUCUAUGAACACCAAUACAAUGGACCAGUGCCCAUUCAAUAAAGAGCACAAUGUAUUGUGCCCAAUGUAAAAGAAAAUUGACACAAACACAUUAGGCUGACAACUUUUUGAUAAAAAAUACACAGAAAGGGAUAUUUGUGUCUAUACAUAGACUUAAGCGCACAAUUGUAUGUGUCCUACUUUUAUAAUUACAUAAGUAUACGUGUCUUGCUAAACAAAUAUGGGACAACUAAAACAGAAGAGCGGGUCAUACUUUUUCUCUCCGUUGUGAGAGCCUUCUCUCCGCAGUGAGAGUCUUCCCUCCUCUAUGAGAGCCUACAACAUAGCGAUGGCAACGGUUCGGUUUGGGGACGAAAAAGCAAUAUCCAUCCCUAUAACCACAAAAAUUAGCCAUACCCAUAACCGUAAAAUAACCAAUCGGGGAUUAUCCAUAACCAUAUCCACCGGGUAACGGAUUUUCAAUCGGUUAUCGGUUAUAUCCAUGUAAUCAUACACGAACGAAAAUCUAAACACAGAGUCAUAGAUUAACGAACUGAAAACCAACCAAAAAAAAUGACCUUAAACAAAGAACAAUACACAGAACAGAGAGAUGCUGCAUCAACAAAAUGAAAGAAAAUGACAGAGAAUGAAACAAAUAAAGGAACCCCCAAAACCUGACCAAACAGUGCAACAAAAUCCAGAUAUAAUUCACAGCAAAGAGGCUGAAAUGAUGAAAAUAUAUGCUAACAGUAAAGAAUCCAACCACUCAUCCGACAUCCAAUUACAAAAAACAUAACAAUAUAUUGACGACAAAAGAACGAGAUAUAUGCAAUUUGCUUCUAGUUCCGCCAAGGCUGCCAUCAUCAUUAUUUCAUGGUGCUCCUGCAGCUCCUCCUUCACACCCAUCAAUGGAGCAUGAAUCCUACAUUAUUAAGAAAAUGACGAAAUAAUUAAUAUGAAUCGUUGUACACAUAUAAUCUACAAAGAAGAUAUUUAUAUACAUAUAAUAUAAUUGCCAAUACUUACCUCAUCCAUAUCCAUUUCUUCAAAAUAAGUGCAGCAACCAACGUGUGCAUUAGAACAAGAAGCUAGUUGUGAAACAUGAAAUUGAAGACUUAAAUUAGUUCUAAAAACUGAAUGCAUACUAAUUAAUUAAGUUUGAAAUUAAGAUUAAAGAACAUGCACAGCAGCACAAAUAUAAGAUGAAAAUAAAUUAAUACUUUGGAGUACCUUGAAUUUCUUUCCACAACCAAUUUUGGGCGCACAUUAAGGCUUCCAAUGUCUUUGGAUGAAGUCUACUACGGUGUGGACUUACAAAUCUCCCACUAGUACUGAAAGCUAAUUCGGAAGCAACUGUAGAUACAUGAAUAGCUAAUAUAUCCCUUGCCAAAGCACUUAAGAUAGGAUAUUUAGUCCCAUUUGAUUUCCACUAGCCCAAAAUAUCAAAAUCAGAUGUUCUAGGCAAAACAGCCUCAUCGAAAUAGUGAUCUAAUUCUGACUUUUCAUUAUCAGUACUUACAGUACUAGAAACAAACAAGUCAAAGUUAUCCAUUAAAUGAUUCAUCUCUUUAAAGUCAGAUUGAUUCAAAUGAGAUGAAGUGAAUGAUGGCUAAUGACCCAUGUUAGAACUAUGAUUAGAUCCACACUCUUUUAUCAAAUCAUAACAAUAUUUGCGAAUCUUAUCAAUUUCAUUCGAAGCAUAUUGCCCAUACAUAAGCGGAAAGAAAUACUCAAUCAGCCUCAUCUUGAAUCUUGGAUCCAACACAGUAGCUACAACCAUUAUUCCAUGAAUCACACUCCAAUAUUUAUCAAAUUUCUCAAUCAUACUUCUUGCCAUAUUUUUUAUUUCAUCACGUCUAGAGGUAAGCCACCGAGUUAGCGACAACCUGGUCUCACAAAUCUUUGGAAAAUAAAGAUUGGCUGUAGGGUACUUAGUUCCAGAAAACAACUCGGAUACAUUAUAAAACAACUUUAACUUCUCACAAAUCUCUCUUGCCAUCUCCCAAUCUCUAUCAUCAGGCAAACACUUAUAUUGCGACUCUCGUUGUUUCAAAUAAGGGAAAACAUCCUUGUAAAUCAAAGCAGAUUGAAUCAUUAAAAAGGUGGAAUUCCACCGAGUUUUACAAUCAAGCACCAUUUUCUUAGUGCCUGGAAGCUUCAACUGACGUGCUGCUUCCUCAAAUUUUUCCUCUCUUUUUUGUGUUGUUGUCCAAUAAACAACACUCUCACGAAUUUUCUCAAUACCACCACCAAUCACUUCAAGACCAUCCUUCACAAUUAAGUUUAAUAUAUGUGCACAACAACGCAUGUGAAAGAACCCUCCACCCAACAAAAGUGAACUACCAGAAAGUUUUUCAAGAAUAAGAUCAAUCAUUUUAUCAUUUGUAGUGCAAUUAUCUACUGUUAAGGUAGAAAGCUUACGAUCGAGGUUCCAAUCUAGCAAGCACUCCAUCAAAACAUCUGAAAGUGUCUCGGCGGUAUGCGGACAUGGCACAUAAAUAAAUCUGAAAAAAAUUACAAUGAAGAUGGUUACAAUAAACAAUUUGAAAUAUAAAUCUAAAGCUAGACAACAAUUAAAUAGAAGUUAAAGUAUUAAAAAUAUCACCUUAUUAUUCGGCUCUGCAACGUCCAAGAGUCAUCAAUAAAAUGAGAUGUUAUUACCAUAAAUCAUCUGUUCUGAUUACUUGCAGUCCACAUAUCAGUAGUUAUGGCAAUUAUACUCUUAUUUUCAUCCAACAAUUGCAUUGUUUUCAAACGCUCAUAAUCAUAUAUUUUGAGGAUAUCACUCUUGAUUGUGUUUCUUGAAACAACCUUAAACAACGGUUGGACAACACUCAUGAAGUUUCUAAAUCCAACAUGCUCAAGCAUGGAAAGAGGAUACUCAUGCAAUAUUAUCAUUUGGGCGAGAGCUCUCCUUGCACUUUCUUGGUCAAAUGUAUACAACUCUACUUUCCCAUCUCCUACUUUUUGGGUUAGUGUUUGCUUCAAUUUUUUUUGUCUCCAACGUGGACAUAUCGUCACAUGAUGCCUCAAAUGGCUGGUUCCAUUUCCAGUGUUCCCACCAAGCUUCUUGCUACAAUAAUUACAUAUUGCUUUCAUCACCCCAUCAACUAGUGUUCUUGUGUAAUGUUGCCACACCAAACUGCGAAGUCUCGAAUUAUUACCUUCACCAUCAUCACCCCCAGCUUCAUUAAUCUCACCAGCGACCUCAUUUGGAUUUGGUAUAUCUUGGGGCUGAGCAAUUUGACUUGGUAUUUCUUGUUGCACAACACUUGGAUGCAAUGUAGGUGCUAGAUUACAAUCAGUUGGGGUACAUAUUGUUUCUUCUUGAGACUUAAAUUUUCUUUUAGACAUUUUGAUUGUUGCAAACACAACCAAAUCCAUUAAUAUGUAAACAAAGACAUGGUAUAAUACUGAAAUUGAGUCAAUUAACAUGUAAACUAAAUAUAUAACAAUAAACAAGAAGACAAUUAUUGAUUUAACAAGCAAAACCCAAUACCCAUUUAAUCAUACACCAACGAAAAAUCUAAACACAAGAGUCACAAAUUAACGAACUAAAAACCCACAAAAAGAACCAAAAAAAAAAAAAGAGAAGAAACUGACCUUAAAACAAAGAACAAUACACAAAAUGGAGAGAUCAGAGAUGCAUCCCCAACAGUAGAGAAUCGAAUUAAAAAUUGAACAUAGCUCAAAACACUUACCCUUCAAUGUUUGGAGCCUUAGAAAACUUUAUGAUGUUCAUGCAAAUAUUUUUAGGUCUCAAUGCAUCCACCUAUCCUGCAAACCAAAAAUGGAAAUGCAUUAACACAAAUGCCAAAACCGAUUUCUAAGAUUUUAGUAUUCUCUUUACCCUUGCAACCAAAAAACAAAAAUUGCAGAAAAAUGAGCAAGAAGCUAAAGCAGAAAAAAUCAUAUUUUCAACCACCAAAACCCAAUACCCAUUUAACCUGAGAUUUCAGUGUUUUCUUUACCCUUGCAACUCAAAACAAAAAAUCCCAGGAAAAUGAGCAAGAAGCAUAAGCAAGAAAAAAACAUAUUUUCAACCACCAAAACCCAAUACCCAUUUAAUCAUACAUAAACGAAAAUCUAAAUACAGAGUCAUAGAUCAACGAACUGAAAACCAACCAAAAAAAAAAAAACUGACCUUAAAACAAAGAACAAUACACAGAACAGAGAGAUGCUGCAUCAACAAAAUGAAAGAAAAUGACAGAGAAUGAAACAAAUAAAGGAACCCCCAAAACCUGACCAAACAGUGCAACAAAAUCCGGAUAUAAUUCACAGCAAAAAUGCUGAAAUGAUGAAAAUAUAUGCUAACAGUAAAGAAUCCAAUAAAAAAAGGAACUUAGCUUUCGAAAUCCAGCCACUCAUCCGACACGCAAAAGGGAAUGGAUGAUCCAGAGUGAUUCAUGGACUGACACUGAGGGAGUCCCAGAGUCGAGGGACCUUACUCGUCUCUGUUCACCAUCCCAACCCCUCCCUCUCUGUUUCUCUCCCUAUUAUCCGGACAACCACUCUCUCUUCUCUUUCUCUCACUGUCACUUUCUUUUUCUCUCACCCGUGCCAGGAUCGGCGGCAUGCAUGGCCUUACCUGCGCGGCUGCGCCCAAGAAAGAAGAUUCAAGUCCUAAUCUGAAAGACUGAAACCCUAUGAUAAAAAGAUGAUUCUAGUUCUACCCCUCUAACUCAUCAUCCUCACCGUAGGAUCUGAAGAUGAGAUGGACAAUCAUGUCAUUUUACACGACUACUGAAUCAGUGAAUCCCGGUUACAAAAUUGAAUUUUUAAGAAUUAAUUAAAUAAAAUAUAAUAUAUAUCAAAUAUAUAUAUAUAAUAUUUGGUUCGGAUUCGGGUACGGAUAUGGAUUGGAUACCCCUAUAACCAUAUCCAAACCCAUAAUCAAAUAAAAUUCACGGUUUUUCCCCAUAUCCAAACCAUACCCGAAUUUUCAUAUCCAAACCUAAUCCAUUCGGACGGAUAUCCACGGGUAUCGGGUUUCACGGUUAAAAUUGACAUCCCAUAAUAACUCCGCCCUCAACUGUACCAUACCAGAUCUAAUAGUGCAUCCCCCUCCAGUUUUCAACCAUUUCCUCCUUUUCCCCAAAUUUUCAAUUGUUCCCAAAUUCGAGUUCAACUAACCCUAGUCUGGGUAGUUGGGUUUAUUAAGUGUCUGCGCUUCUUACACCUUUCAUCCCUUGUUCAAUUAUUCAUUGUGUCCUUUUCGACCAUCAGCAUUGAUUUCUCCAUCUUUUCCCUCUGCUCAUGCGGUGAGUAGUUGGGUCCAACGGCUGACGAAUUGAAGGCUUUCAAUUUAACUUCAACUGGGCCAUAAAGGUCAAUUGGGUAUUGCAGAACUUAUCUGUCAGUUAUGAGUCAGAACUUAUCUGUCAAAAGAUGAGGAGACGACGAAUCGAAUACUAGAGCAGGUCUCUUGGGCAGUGAUGAGUCAGAACUUAUCUGUCAAAAGAUGGCCUCAAGAACUAGCACUUGAAGAGGUAAUGUUGAGAAAGGUCCCAUUCUGGAUCCAAAUGAAGGGCGUGCUAUUACAUCUGAGCACAGAGGUAAAUGCCAAGAAAUUGGCAAGCCAUAUGGGAGAGGUUAUUAAGAUAGAAGAGUUGUCACUGGCUAGAGGGUUCUUAAGGGCCCGGGUGUUGGUGGAUACAGAUCACCCUCUUAUAAACGGAUGCUGGCUUCCACGUCCGGGGGAUAAGGAAUCCUGGAUCGGGUUUAGAUAUGAGCGGCUCCAAGAUUUCUGCUAUAGGUGUGGGAGGAUCGGCCAUGUUAUGACGGAGUGUACCUUUGAAAAAAGCAGGAGUGGGGCUGUUGGGUUUGGUGAAUGGACUCGGAUGAAACAACCCAGGCCUCUAUAGGAGUAUGUCCAUCCACUACCAGUAAUGCAAUGCAACCGUCGCCAUGCCAGAAUGAUGCCAGAGAAACGGAACUUAAGCUUUCAAGAUAAGGUAUUCUCAACAAGCACGAAAGGGGUGCUAGAUUAGGGAUCAUCUGAACCCCAAAGGUUGGGAAUUGUCUUCCAUGAUCUCGGGAGCCAGGGGAGAAUUGGGGGGGAUUAUUGCUAUGGUGGGAUCUCCUGUUAGUGGAAUUCUUCCCCCAGUGCAAUGCGAGAAUGUAAUUCGGCCUGAAGCAGAACUAACAAUCCAAUCCUGGGUGUGAGUGAUGACCUUGGUCUGCUUCCAGUGGAGACCCACACCUUUGAAGAGGGGGAAAUGGAAAGGGGUAGAAGCUCCCACCAAACUUCAAUCCAGGGAUUCUUUAAUGGCUUGGGCCUAAAGAGGAAAACUGAUAUGAAGAUUCAGGGGGGAGGACAAGCUCGGAGUAAAAGAGUGAAAAAAGAAGCAGGCUGCUUAGGAGGAGGAAGAUGACAACGAGUAGGGGGCGAAAUCCCAGUAUAAGUGGCGGUGGCAUAGAAGGUGGAAUUUCUGUUCUCGUGGAGGCAAAUCUGCUUGAUGUGCCGAUUGCUCAGGGGAAGAAAGUGAGAAGCCUGCGGGUUGGAAGCCCAAACCAGGAUUCUGAUGCACCUCAGACUAAGAGGGCGAGGGUGGAACCUUGGGGUGGUGGUGGCUGGCCCAUAAUAGUUGCACCAUCGCCAUGAUCUACCUAAUGUGGAACUGCCAUGGUCUUGGGUCGGACGCGGUAGUUCGAGCUUUUCAUGGGCUUAUUAGGCGGUACAGACCCUGUGUGAUCUUUCUGUCCAAGGCGAAAAUGAAGGAUCACAGAUUAGAAGGAGUUCGGCACAUAAUGGGUUAUACAUACGGAUUCUCGGUCCCAACUAUGGGGGCUGCGGGUGGUCUUAGUCUUUGGUGGAACGACCUUGUCCAAGUGACUAUCCUUUUCUCGUCAAAGAAUCUAAUUCACACAAGAGUCCGAGAUAGGUGUUGUAAUGAUUGGUGUUUUGCAUCAUGGGUUUAUGGUACUCCAUAUAGAGCAGAGAAUAGGGCAUUCUAGAGGUGGAUCUCGGAGGUUUACAGCCUUGCCCAACCCCGUGGUUUUGUGGAGGAGACCUGAAUGAGUAUCUUUGGGAUAGUGAAAAGGCUGGGGGGAUGGAGGAGUCUUGCUCUCGCCCCCGGUUCCUGUAGGAUUUUAUGUCAAAUGGAGCUCGUGGAUUUACAUUUCAGUGGACCAGCAUUCACCUGGAGAGGUUCCCGUAAUGGAAGCUUGAUGCAGGAAAGAUUGGACCGUGGGAUGGUGAAUGGCAAUUGGCAAGAUUAUUGGCCUAAUACUUCAGUCACCUAUGAAACGGUUAGAGCCUUAGACCUAGUUUGGGAGUGAGGUGCUUAAAAAAAAAACACCCAUGAAAAAAAGCUGUGAGGGUUUUAGGUGUUUGGUAAACUGAAAAAAAAAGGCUCAUUUUGGAAGCUGCUGUGAGAAUAAGCUGAAAUCAAAGGAAAAAGCUGAAGCUGCUAUUUGUAGCUUUGGAAAACUGGUUUUUUUUUUCAAAGCGCACAGAGCUACAAUGCUUCUUUAAUGAAAAUACCCACUAUUAGACUGCUUUUUUUUUUCCAAAAGCACUUUUACAAAAAAGUUUACCAAACACUCUGCUGAUUUAUUUCACAGCCGCUUAUUCUCACAACACAGCCGCUUAUUCUCACAGCAGCUUUUUUUCAAAGCACAGCAAUACCAAACCAGCCUUAGACCACUGUUAUUUGAUCAUCAAAACCAAUCCCCGGAGUCGAAAAAAAAUGAUGAAACUAUUCAGGUUUGAAUCAUUCUGGAUAGAUGAGUAGGGUUGCAAGGAUGUCAUUGAUGCGAGUUCGAGGGGGCCUAAUGGUGAGGAGUGGGUAGACAAAUGGCAUCAGAAACUCAACUCUUGCCGAAAGGGGCUUGUUGAGUGGAGCAGGGAAAAAUUCUGCAGAGUGAGGGAGGAAAUUCAAAGCUUAAGCAGUAGGAUCCAUAACUUGCAACAUAAUUGGGAGGAGAAUGGAGAGCAAAUUAAAAGUUUAUCUGAGCAACUAGAUAGGAUGGAGGAACAAAAGGAAAAAUUUUGGCAGCAAAAAUCCCGAGUUAAAUGGCUGCAAGCAGGUGAUUUUCGAAGUUCUUCCAUCAAACUACUGUUCAGAGAAGAAUAGCGAACCGGGUGGAAAAAAUCCAAAAUGGAAGCGGCACAUGGAUAGAGGACGAUGCCGGGAUUCGCCGGACGGUUGAUAAUCAUUUUUCCAAUUUGUUCAAAUCUGUUGGACAGCGGGAUUGAGGCUCUAUUCUGGAUUGCAUUGAUCAUGUUGUUACUGACGAGAUGAAUGUUUCCCUCUCUUAACCGUUCACAUUGGAGGAGAUAAAUGAUGCAAUCUUUAAUAUGGGUGGGCUUAAGGCCCCAAGUCCUGAUGGGUUCCAAGGAAUUUUCUUCCAUUCCUUCUGGAAUAUCAUUGUGGAUGAAGUGAAUGGCUUGGUGUGUGAUCUGGUUAAUGGCAGGGCUUGCCCGAAGUCUAUCAACUCGACGUUUAUUGUUCUUAUCCCGAAGGUGCCCAACCCGGAGAAUGUUAGCCAGUUCCGUCCGAUAAGUCUUUGUAACCACUCGUAUAAGAUUGUAUCAAAGGUGCUGGCUAAUCGUCUUAAACCUCUGUUGCCAACAAUAAUUUCACCCAGUCAGAGUGCGUUUGUGGCUGGGAGACAAAUUCAGGACAACGUUGUGAUCACUCAUGAAGUUUUUCACUUUCUGAAAAUGCGGAAAGGUUUGUUCGAGUUGGCAUUGAAGAUUGACAUGAAUAAGGCCUACGACAGGGUGGAAUGGGGCUUCCUUGCAGCAAUUAUGAUUAGAAUAGUGUACCAAGUCCGGCUACUUGGAAGGCGUCAAGUUAAGCACGCAUGGUCCGAUGCUCUCCCACCUCCUAUUUGCUGAUGAUACGCUCAUCUUUCUAAAGGCCUCUUCCAUGAAUUGUCAGAACAUUGUUCAUAUUCUGGACGCUUAUUGCCAUGCUUCGGGGCAGGAGCUCAGUUUGAAUAAAUCUUCUGCGUUUUUCAGUGACAAUACGCCGGCGUGUGUUCGUGACGAGCUGCAACUGUUACUUCAAAUGCCGUCGGUGGCACCUAAUUAACAAUAACAAAUAAUAAAAGUCAAUGAAAAUGCUAACCUUUCAGACGGGCUAGUAUCAAUAUCUACACUCAGCUUUAGCAUAAUAGAUGCAACCUCCUCUGCAAUCCAUUGUUUCUCAGCGGAAACUGGCCCAUAAUCAAUAACAGAGCCCUUUAGUACUUUUGCACUAGAAAAUGUAUAUCACAAAACAUAUGCAUGACUAUCAACCCAAGAUGAAGAGUCUACCUGCUUUUAUUGCCUCCUUAGCUAGUUGCUCAUCCACACCAGAUGAAAAUCCUGUAUCAUUUACUAGUCGGGUAUACAAACUCUGUUCAACCUCCUUAUCUCCGACAAUCUUUAGCUUUGAAAUUCUUUCCUCGCCAAGCUUUUCAACAAUUGAUCUGACAUUUAUAAAGUGUUAAAUGGAGUAUUAGCGCAGUCAUAUACCAUCCAAUGGAGCAUGAUCAACCAAAACUGGUAUGUGGUGGUAAGGAUUAAUACAGUACUUAACUGCAGUUUUUGCUCAAUAUUAUAUGCACACAAAUAUGUAUGUGUAUCUGUGCCUGUCUGUGUACUUAUGUACAAUUUUUUGCAUAAUUUUAUAAUAUUUAACUUACAAACAAAGAGCUAAUGACAAGUUGCUUAAGAAUGAUUAAUAGAUCAAUCAGUCACAUUAAAGCUUAUACAGUAAUAUUUUGUUGUAACUGAACUUACUCAUAAUUCUAUGUACUAUUUGCCACAAUGGAAAUCGCAUAUGCUGUCAAGUGACACUAGAAUCUGUGCUAUUGCAGAAAUUUGGAAUGAAAUUGCAGCUGUGUCAGGGGCUGAGUCCUUUAUGACCACAUCGAAAGAAACUACUGCCAGAAUGAGAACCUCAAGGGACUUGGAUGGUCUGCCUUCCCAUUUUGAUGUCCUUCUCGUACCCUUCUGUUUGUGUGGUCACGAUUAAGCCACGUCAACAUUUUAUAUUACUAUUUCUUUUUGUUUUAUUAUUUAAAAAAAAAACAAUAUAAAAUGUUGACGUGGCUUAACCGUGAUCACACAAAACAGGAGGGCACCGAAAUGGGAGGGCAGACAAUCCAAGUCCAACCUCAAGAGGUCCAAUUAUAGUCAAAGCUACAGUGCUUUCUGUUGUGUCCAAAACCCAGAGCAUGUUCGUAACUAUCUGGAAACUUAACAUAAAAAAAGCAUAAAAAAAAAUAAUAUAAAAUGUUUGUGGAAGCCAGACUUGUAGCCAGGACGAGGCUGAAAUGCCUCUAUGAAUCUUCCCGGCUCCUAAAAAGAGUGGAUAAUCAUGAGUUGCAACCAGUUGUCCCUCUUUAAAAAAAAAAGAAAAUUGAAAAAUGAUUAUAUAGGGUAUUCAGUAUUCUAAUGAGUACAAAGUAUUAUCCUAGAAUUUUUGCCAACUGAGAAAAUGGCGGACUUUCAUGGGGUAAAUUACCAAGUUUGACCUCUUUAUUGGUGAGUAUUUGCUGCUUUGCCAUUUGUUGCAGGGUCUAUGGAAGUAGUAUGCUAGAGAUUUUCCCGUGUAUCGGAAACACAUUUCGAUGCAUCAAGUGUAAUAAUACAAUUGAUUGGAAAUUUAAAAAAAAAUCAACUAAUUAUAUUAUGACACUUGGUAUACUAAGAUGUAUUUUCAGCAUACUGAAAAAUUUCUCAAUAGUAUGCUUACUUUGUCUCUUUCCCUGCACUGCACACCAUUGUACACCUCACGGGUCCAUAUGUGUCAAUGGAUGCAUGGUGUAAAUAAUGUCUCACUCGUUGGUUAGCUCUUCUCCUGUAGAAGUUUACAAACAUCACCAUCUUCCAAUCUCAAACCCGAGAACGAUGAUGCUCACAGUUUGAUGAAAUGUAGAUUAUGAGUUUGGAUAUGGCUUUGCGAUUUUUUCCAUUAAUCUAGUAAUUCAGUCUACAAUUCGGUUGGACUUGCCAAAGAUUCUUUGCAUAAUUUUUUAAUUUAAUUGGAUCCCUCAGUAAAAAGAGGGUUUCGAACUUAAAAAGUUUUGUGAGUUUUUGAACAUUGAAGAUAAUAAAGUCCAUGGUUUUUGUAUUGGUUGUUUGUUUAUUCUUUUUGAUCGAAUGAAAACUAUUGGCUUUGAGAUCUAAGGUUGUAUGUCUAACAGUUAAAAACACUAGGAAAUGUGUCGGAUUUAGCUUUAAAAUUCAGAGAUUUUGGACAUUGAAGCUUUUCUUAGGGAAUAAAAUAAAUAUCGGAAUCCUUCUUUUCCUAUUUAAAUGCUAAUUAUUAUUGUGAUUUUGUAUGUUUUCUUCAAUGCCAGUUAUUCUUAAAUUAAGAUAAUGUUUUUUUGUUAGGGAGUGAAGAUGAAUUUUAGAGACAGAAAAACAAAAUUAGUAACAUAUAAACCUAAAAUUGCAAAUUAAUCCAAAAAUAACAAAUAAUUAGAUAAAAAGUUAUAGCCAUAUACAUUUCUAUAUAAUUUUUGAAAAAAAAUGAAAAAUUAUGUAAUAUGAAUUUGUCUGUCAGAACAUUAUAAUUACUUUAGUCUAAAGUAGGGGAGGUGGCACUGUGCAAUUUUGGGGUACAUUUCAGUUUAUUUACGAAAUUGCCACUAAAUCUCGCUGCCCCCUGAUUUAAGUUUAUUUGCAAAAUUGCCACUGGGCUUCAGAAAGGGUUUUGAGUCGUUGGGCUAGAAUUUCCGUUCAGAUUGGAAUUUUCAGUUUUGCGAUCCACACGUUGAUCAUUGCUGUGUAGGAUCGCCGACUGUGUGGGAUUUGGUGAGAGGAUGGUUACGUGUCCAUCAUCGUCGAAAGGUCUGCUUCGACUGCAACGUCUCAACUUUUCUAUCCAUUUCAACUUGUCUCUCACAAGCCUCUGCUUCAGUCACUCUCGAUCGUCGCCUUUUCUAAGGCGUCCGAGGGACAAAAACCGAAAGCCAAACCUCCACCACAAAUGAAGUCACGAACGCCACUCUCACUCACCCUCCACUGUUGUACACUAACCCAAUCAUAAUUCUGAAAUCCAAUCACAACCCAGAUGUUAAUCCUUCAGAGAAUGGCAAUGGCCACUUCUUCUUCCUUCCUCUCAAUCCCUCUCCUAAAGACCUCUUCUUUGCUUUCCCCAGUUAAACACUGCGCUUCACCACUGAGCUCUGAGUUCAGGGCUCUGUCCCUCUACGGCGGUAGAAAUGGAGUCUCCACCUCCUCGGCGAUGGCCACGAAAUCAAACACCGGAAGCACAAAGGCGGCCAGUUUCUCUUGCUUCUCAGAGUUAUAGAAAUGAAACACCUCAGCCAAAUCCAGUAACAAGCUCAUUCCCGGAGUCCUCAGUGUCUUCCAAUAUCUCGUCAUCAGAUACCGGCAUGGAAUACUCAAGCCCUCCUUUAAGACAAAGGCGAACGGCAAACGUUGAGGAAGUUGAAUCUUCAUGAUGUAUGAUAUAUGUUUUAGUUACUGCUCAUUUGUUUGUACCAUGUGCAUCAGAUUAAGGUCACUACUCAUUUGUGCCAUGGUUUUCAUUCUUUUUUAUUUUGUUUCUUGUUGUAGUUACUCAUUCUCGGUAAUCAACUGAUAGUAAGGGCUGGUUUGGUAUUGCUUGCUUUGAAAAAAAAACUGUUUUUGCUAUGUUGUGAGAAUAAGCAGCUGUGAAAUAAAGUAACAGAGUGUUUGUUAAACUUUUUUGUAAAAGUGCUUUUGAAAAGAAAAAAAAAGCAGUAUUAUAAUGUUUUGUAAACUUUUAUGUAAAACAGAUGUGAAAAAAAAGCCAGUUUUUCAAAUAUGGGAUUUGCAGCUUUUUGUUUUUGGCUUUUUUUCACCAAAAACUGUGAAAAACAACUGAAGUUGAAUGUUUACCAAACACAAAAAAACUCCCAGCUUUUUUUUUUAUACCAGUUUUUUUUCAUAAUCACCUCACUACCAAACCAGGGCUAAGUUCUCUCUUCUUCUUUUUUUGUUAUUUUAGUUGCUUAUAUAUCACUUCUGUUAACAUUUUCAGGUUUUCAGCAAUCUUCAAUUACGAUAGCAACUUGAUUCCUAGGAUUUGGAAUAAGAAGGGAGACAUUAGUUGUCACAUUCCAAUCUCGGCUCCGCCGUAGCAUGAUAUUAUCCGCUUUGGGUUCCGGCCACGCUCUCACGGUUUUGUUUUUGGGAACUCACACGAGAACUUCCUAGUGGGUCACCCAUCCUGGGAUUGCUCUCGUCCGAACUCGCUUAACUUUGGAAUUCCGAUAGAACCCGAAAUCAAUGAGUUCCCAAAAUACCUUAUGCAAUAUGGAGGUAGUCAUGUACAUAUAAGGCACAUUACCCUCUCUAUGUUGGUCAAUGUGGGAUGUUACAUUAGUACUAUUACGAAGGAUGCUUGAUCCGCUGUAAUUAUUUAGAAACUUAAUGGAUGGAGGUAUAACCUGUCUGUAUUUUGUUUGCAUUUAAACGAUAUCUUAGCAACUUUUUUCUUUUAUCUCUUUGAUGCAGUCUCUUAAGAUUUUGUUGGCUAUAGCUGCAAUUCGCUUGAGUGAGAAGCCAGAUAACAUUGAAAAGGUUCUCUUUUCUUUUCUAAUGGAUGGAACUAAAGCAUCUAUAGAUCCUCUUACAUCGAACACUUGGGAAGAGGUACUGUGUAUAAGGAUUUUUUUUUUCUUUAUCUCCAUAUGGAUAGACUUUCUAUUUUCAAACUAAUUUCUUAUCAAUAAUUAAUUCUGACUAUAAGGAUUUUUCCAUUAAUCUAGUUAUUCGUUCAGUCUACAAUUCGGUUGGACUUGCCAAAGAUUCUUUGCAUAAUUUUUUAAUUUAAUUGGAUCCCUCAGUAAAAAGAGGGCUUCGAACUUAAAAAGUUUUGAGAGUUUUUUAACAUUGAAGAUGAUAAAGUCCAUGGUUUUGUACUGGUUGUUUGUUUAUUCUUUUUGAACGAAUGAAAAUUGUUGGCUUUGUGAUCUAAUGUUUAUGUAUAGUAGUUAAAAACACUAGGAAAUGUGUCGGAUUCGGCUUUAAAAUUCAGAGAUUUUGGACCUUGAAGCUUUUCUUAGGGAAUAAAAUAAAUAUCGGAAUCCUUCUUUUCCUAUUUAAAUGCUAAUUGUUUUAUUGUGAUUUUUUAUGUUUUCUUCGAUUCAUGUUAUUCUUAAAUUAAGAUAGUGUUUUUUUUGUUAGGGAGUGAAGAUGAAUUUUAGAGACAAAAAAACAAAAUCAGUAACAUAAAAAUCUAAAAUUGCAAAUUAAUCCAAAAAUAACAAAUAAUUAGAUAAAAAGUUAUAGCCAUGUACAUUUCUAUAUAAUUUUUGAAAAAAAAGGAAAAAUUAUGUAAUAUGAAUUUGUCUGUCAGAACAUUAUAAUUACUUUAGUCUAAAGUAGGUGGAAGUGGCACUGUGCAAUUUUGGGGUACAUUUUAGUUUAUUUACGAAAUUGCCACUGAAUCUCUCUGCCCCCUGAUUUAAGGUUAUUUGCAAAAUUGCCACUGGGCUUCAGAAAGGGUUUUGGGUCUUUGGGCUGGAAUUUCCGUUCAGAUUGGAGUUUUCGGUUCUGCGAUCCACAUCAUCGCUGUGUAGGAUCGCCAGCUGUGUGGGAUUUGGUGAGGGGAUGGUUAUAGACUUGGCAAUUUUUGACACGACACGAAAAUAAUGGGUUUCGGGUCAACACGAUAACUUAUCGGGUCACUAUCGGGUGACCCGUUAAGAACCCGUUAAUAACGGGUUCUUAACAGGUAUACACGCGGGUAACACGUGGGUAACCCGUUUCGACCCGUUAAGAAAAAAAUUAUUUUAAUAAUUUUAAAGUUUAAUUACUAAAAGAUUUAUUAUAAAAUACAAUAGUCAUAUUAAUAUAUACAAUAUAUUCUAUAUUAAAUAUAUAGUUUUGUAUUAUUGUUCUAUAUAAAUUAUAAAAAAAUUAAAAAAAAGUUUUAGUCAUUAUUUAUUUUUAUUAUGAGAGUUCCUUAUUAUCAUUACUAAGAUAAAUUUUACAUAACAUAUUCUUGUCCAAAAUUAAAAUAUACUGGUAUAGUAUUUGUAUAUGCAAGAACUAAGAAGACAUACAUACAAGUAUGAAAAAUGUGAAAGAAUAUAUAAACACUCGUGAUUUAUCAUUAUUCCUCCAAGAAUAGAUAAUUGUUACACUUAUAUUAUCGUUUAGAUUUUUAAAAUCCUUCAAACCCUCAUGAAUAAUGUUUUUUAUUUGAGGGCAAAAUUAAUAAAAUUAAUAAUAAUUAUUGUAUAAGUGUAAAAAAUGUAAAAAUAUAUAUAUACAAUCACUCAUAUAUAAAAAAAUGUAAAUGCUUUAAAUUAAAGAUCAAAUUUAUUCAUUACAUUCUUAUAGGGUCGAGGAGUGUAUCUGUAAAAAAUCAUCAAAAUCAGAGAUAAAAUAACCAUUAAAUUGUGAUUUUUCGUUUAUAACCGCCGAAAACUUUUGUUCCAUUACGUAAUCUCUGAAUGUUUGUUUUUUACGAUUUUUUACAUAUGCGAUCUCGGAAUGUGUACAAAUAAGUUUGACGGUUGGAUCGUUGAAAAAAGUUUCAUAAAAUGCAUAUUGCGUCAAAACGGUAGAUUAAGCAAACACUUAGAGUUAAUAUUAUACUUCUAUUAAGUAUACACUAGUGUAAAUAUUUUAAAUUAAAGAUCAAAUUUAUUCAUUACAUUCUUAUAGGGUCGAGGAGUGUAUCUGUAAAAAAUCAUCAAAAUCAAAGAUAAAAUAACCGUUAAAUUGUGAUUUUUCGUUUAUAACCGCCAAAAACUUUUGUUCCAUUACGUAAUCUCUGAAUGUUUGUUUUUUACCAUUUUUUACGUAUGCGAUUUCGGAAUGUGUACAAAUAAGUUUGACGGUUGGAUCGUUGAAAAAAGUUUCAUAGAAUGCAUAUUGCGUCAAAACGGUAGAUUAAGCAAACACUUAGAGUUAAUAUUAUAUUUUUAUUAAGUAUAAAAUAAGUUUUUGUGGUAUCCACUAGUGUAAAUACUUUAAAUUAAAGAUCAAAUUUAUUCAUUACAUUCUUAUAGGGUCGAGGAAUGUAUCUAUAAAAAAUCAUCAAAAUCGGAGCUAAAAUAACCGUUAAAUUGUGAUUUUUCGUUUAUAACCGUCGAAAACCUUUGUUCCGUUACGUAAUCUCUGAAUGUUUGUUUUUUAUGAUUUUUUACGUAUGCGAUCUUGAAAUGUGUACAAAUAAGUUUGACGGUUGGAUCGUUGAAAAAGUUUUGUAGAAUGCAUACUGCGUCAAAAUAGUACAUUAAACAAACACUUAGAGUUAAUAUUAUACUUCUAUUAAGUAUAAAAUCAGUUUUUGUGGUAUCCACUAGUGUAAAUACUUUAAAUUAAAGAUCAAAUUUAUUCAUUACAUUCUUAUAGGGUCGAGGAGUGUUUUUGUAAAAAAUCAUCAAAAUCGGAGCUCAAAUUACCGUUAAAUUGUGAUUUUUCGUUUAUAACCGUUGAAAACUUUUGUUCCGUUACGUAAUCUCUGAAUGUUUGUGUUUUACGAUCUUUUACGUAUGCGAUCUCGAAAUGUCUACAAAUAAGUUUGACGGUUGGAUCGUUGAAAAAAGUUUCGUAGAAUGCAUAUUGCGUCAAAACGGUAGAUUAAACAAACACUUAGAGUUAAUAUUAUACUUCUAUUAAGUAUAAAAUAAGAUUUUGUGGUAUCCACUAGUGUAAAUACUUUAAAUUAAAGAUCAAAUUUAUUCAUUACAUUCUUAUAGGGUCGAGGAGUGUAUUUGUAAAAAAUCAUCAAGAUCGGAGCUAAAAUAACCGUUAAAUUGUGAUUUUUCGUUUAUAACCGUCGAAAACUUUUGUUCCGUUACGUAAUCUCUGAAUGUUUGUUUUUUAAAGAUUUUUUACGUAUGCGAUCUUGGAACGUGUACAAAUAAUUUUGACGGUUGGAUCGUUGAAAAAAGCUUCGUAGAAUGCAUAUUGCAUCAAAACGGUAGAUUAAACAAACACUUAGAGUUAAUAUUAUAUUUCUAUUAAGUAUAAAAUAAGUUUUUGUGGUAUCCACUAGUGUAAAUACUUUAAAUUAAAGAUCAAAUUUAUUCAUUACAUUCUUAUAGGGUCGAGGAGUGUUUUUGUAAAAAAUCAUCAAAAUCGGAGCUCAAAUUACCGUUAAAUUGUGAUUUUUCGUUUAUAACCGUUGAAAACUUUUGUUCCGUUACGUAAUCUCUGAAUGUUUGUGUUUUACGAUUUUUUACGUAUGCGAUCUCGAAAUGUGUACAAAUAAGUUUGACGGUUGGAUCGUUAAAAAAAGUUUCGUAGAAUGCAUAUUGCGUCAAAACGGUAGAUUAAACAAACACUUAGAGUUAAUAUUAUACUUCUAUUAAGUAUAAAAUAAGAUUUUGUGGUAUCCACUAGUGUAAAUACUUUAAAUUAAAGAUCAAAUUUAUUCAUUACAUUCUUAUAGGGUCGAGGAGUGUAUUUGUAAAAAAUCAUCAAGAUCGGAGCUAAAAUAACCGUUAAAUUGUGAUUUUUCGUUUAUAACCGUCGAAAACUUUUGUUCCGUUUUGUAAUCUCUGAAUGUUUGUUUUUUAAAGAUUUUUUACGUAUGCAAUCUUGGAAUGUGUACAAAUAAGUUUGACGGUUGGAUCGUUGAAAAAAGUUUUUGGACCGCCAGCAAUAGAUAAUUUUGUAGUAGUGAAACCUUAAAUUUAUUUAACCGUCAAUUGUUAUUUACACUUUAUUCUUCUGACUGAAUUUUAUUUUUUGAAAACAUGAUCAUCUGGUGGAUGUAAGAAAAUGAUAUCACGUUUCGAUAUUUACGAUUAACUGAAAUAUGAGUCAAUGUCAUAUAAUUUGUAGAAACUUUAUAAACAUCAAGCAAUAUUUUCACUAACCGUAUAACUCUAAAUAUAAUAUCAACUAUCCAAACCGUUCAUCUACCUACACCCUCUAAUAGAUCAUGUUUUCAAAAAAGAAAAUCUAAAAAAACGAAAUUUGAUGAGAACAAUGAAGCAUAAAUGUAAACAACAAUCAACGGUUAAAUUUUGAUCUAUGAUUUAUAUGAUUAUAGUGGCGAAUUUCGAAGUUAAGCUCUUCAUGAAAGUUAUAAAGCUUGUCAUUACGAGUGUUUAUAUAUUUUUUUCUAUAUUUUUUUACACUUCUACAUUAAUUAAAAAACUAUUAAAGACUUUAGGUAAGCGAAAAUAUACUUAAAACAAAAUUGUGUUUUUAUGUUUUGGAUGUGAUAAUAUGGAAUGUAUAUACUUAUUUAGUAUUAUGUUUUUCAUUUGAUUAUUUAUUGGUUUAAAAUAUAUUUUCCUUAACGGGUAACGGGUCGGGUCAUAUUACCUGUUAAUAUUAUCGGGUCGAUUUCGGGUCGGGUCAUUUUACCCGUUUAUUUUAACGGGUGUUACACAACACGUUAAGAUAUCGGGUAUGACACGAAAACGACACGAACACGGAAAACACGACACGAAUGCCAAGUCUAGAUGGUUACGUGUCCGUCAUCGUCGAAAGGUUUGCUUCGACUGCAACGUCUCCACUUUUCGUUCCGUUUCAACUUGCCUCUCACAAGCCUCUGCUUCAGUCGCUCUCGAUCGUCGCCUUUUCUAAGGCGUCCCAGGGACAAAAACCGAAAGCCAAACCUCCACCACAAAUGAAGUCACGAACGCCACUUUCACUCACCCUCCACCGUUGCACACAAACCCAAUCAUAAUUCUGAAAUCCAAACACAACCCAGAUGUUAAUCUUUCAGAGAAUGGCAAUGGCCACUUCUUCUUCCUUCCUCUCAAUCCCUCUCCCAAAGACCUCUUCUUUGCUUUCCCCAGUUAAACACUGCGCUUCGCCACUGAGCUCCGAGUUCAGGGCUCUGUCCCUACGGCGGUAGAAAUGGAGUCUCCACCUCCUUAGCGAUGGCCACGGAGGCUCAGAUCUCGACCCAAGACGACAAAAUGAAAGAUGAAGAAAAUAAGAACAUAUGGAAAAAUGGGUGUACAGCAGUAGAUAAGCUGCGAAAAUUUUCAUCCUGUUUUUGGGAAUGUGAGAAGAUACAUGGGUUUCUAUAUCUGCUCGAAGGCAGCAAUGUAAGUGGUGCUAACACCCUCGGGGUUGACCCUGCACCUUCUCCAGUAAACGACACUCAAUCACUGCUCGCUGGCAUUAUAGGCGAAAAAAGGUGAUAAAUAAUGGGAAAUGAUUUCCGAACGCCUUUUAUCCUUUUGUGCACCCUUGUACUUGUCCUUGGGUCUUUUCUGCCUCUAUGGUUUUGGCUAUGAUAAUGUAUAUCUAAAAUAAGAUACGAUUUUAUAGGUAUAUGAAUCAAACUAACAUGUCAAUUUUGUGUUAGUAUGUUGGUGUAAAUCUCCUCUUUUAAUCAAAAGGAAAAAAAUGGAUGUUUCUUUUUCUAUAGUUGGUGCUAUUCACACUCCCAUUUUAACUUCUCACACUUUUUUUUUGGUAAUUUUUAUCUUUUGAUCUUUUUUAAUUUAUUCGAUCAGACGACUGAAAUUUGAGAAGAGUGGGUGGAGGUAAAAAUGGGUAUGAAUAUCACCACCCUUUUCUAUCUGAUAGCCAAGUACUUAUAAUAAACAUAAGCAAUCUUAGUAGAUGCCUAUAAACAAAAGCCACAAGUUUGCUCUAGAUGAGUUAUUGUCAAUUGUUGAUUGAUUACGGUGUCACCCUAAUGUGACUCUUUGGUAGUGUUUUGCAUAAGCCAACUCUUUUACAUGAGUGAUAGGUAAUUGUAGGUCGAUCAGUGUCACCUGAAGAACGAUGUCAUGUCAAGAGGUGAUAACGAUGCCAAUAAUUUAGGACAAAAAAUUAUGUUGCCUGCUUCAUAUACAGGAAGUCCUAGACAUAUGAUUAAUAAUUAUCAAGAUGUUAUGGCAAUUUGUAAGGAAUAUGGUCAUUCUGAUUUGUUUAUAACAUUUACCUGCAAUGUAAAAUGGCCAGAAAUUAUUAGAGAAUUUGAAAAAAAAAAAAACUAGGUUUCAAACCCGAGGAGAGGCCUGAUAUAAUUUCUAGAAUAUUUAAAAUGAAACUGGAUGAUAUGCUUGAUUUCAUCAAGUCUGGAGCACCUUUUGCACAAGUUGAAGCAAGUGAGUUCUAAAAACUUAUUUCCAUUAUUAUCUUUAUCUUAUUCACAUUUUUUUCUACAUCAACCUAACUUUUUUUUUGUUCGUUUUUGUCGUUUUGAUUUUUUUUACAAACAGAUGUUUGCACAAUUGAAUUUCAAAAAAGAGGUUUACCUCAUUCUCAUAUGUUAAUAUUGCUGAAAUCAAAAUUUAAAUGUUAUCUUGCAUCAGACAUGGAUUCUAUCAUUUCAGCAAAGUUGCCAGACAAAUUUGUGAAUCAUCAGCUUUAUGAAAUCGUUAAUCAAUUUAUAAUUCAUGGUUCAUGUGGUUAUCUCAAUCAAAACUCUUCUUGCAUGUGGGAAAAUAAAUGUUCCAAAAGCUUUCCCAAGCCAUAUAAAAAUGAAACUGUUUUUGAACCUAAUGGUUUUCAUGUUUAUAAACGUCGUGAUGAUGACACAAAAUUUGUUAUAAAAAAUGGAGUCAAAAUUGAUGACAGUUUUGUGGUUCUUUAUAAUCCUGAAUUGCUUUCAAGAUAUAAUGCUUAUAUAAAUGUCGAAAUUUGUUGUCAAUCAAUGCUUAUAAAAUAUUUGUUCAAAUAUGUGAGUAAAGGUUCAGAUAGAGCACGGUUAGUUUUACAACAAAAUUCAAAUGAUGAAAUAUUAACUUAUCUAAAUUGUAGAUAUAUAUCACCUUAUGAAGCUGUUUGGAGAUUGUUUCAGUAUCCCAUACAUCAUAGAGAACUUUCUAUUGAGCGAUUACCAGUGCAUUUACCAUUAGAGCAAAAUAUUGUUUCAGUGCUGAUCAAUCACUACAAUCAAUUAUCAAUCAAAAUGCUUCUAAUCAUACAAUGUUAACAAAUUGGUUUGAAACUAAUAAAAUUUAUAAUGAAGCACGUUCACUAACUUAUGCUCAAUUUCCAUAAAAAAUUUUAUACGAUACACGGAAAAAUAUUUGGAAACCAAGAAAACAAAAAGGUUCAAUAAGUAGAAUAGCAUAUGUGCAUCCUGCAUCUGGUGAAUUAUAUUACUUAAGAAUGCUUUUAAAUUUGAAAAAAGCUGCUUUUAGCUUUGAUGAUAUCAAAACUAUUAAUGGUAUUGUACAUGUUUCAUACCAAUAUGCGUGUCAAUCAUUAAGAUUAUUAGGUGAUGAUAAAGAAUGAAUUGAAGCUUUAUUAAAUGAUAUCAAUGCAACAUCAUCUGCUCAAUUGAGACAAUUAUUUGUUACAAUAAUUUUGUUUUGUGAUGUAGCAAAUCCUCAAAUUAUUUUUUAUAAACAUUGGCAAAAUAUGUAUGAUGAUAUUUUAUACAAAUUACGAAAAACUUUUGCGAUCCCUAAUAUGGUUAUACCACAUGAUAAAUUAAAAAAUUAUGUCCUAUUUGAACUAGAAUUGCUUUUUAACAAUGCAUUUACUUCUCUGGACAAAUAUCAUUUACCUAUGCCUGAUCAAGUAGAAUGCUAGAAAUUAAAAAUAAACUUUUAAGAGAAGAGUUAAAUUAUGAUCGUGAAGAAUUGUCAAAAAAACAUGUUGUUUUAAAACUGCAACUUAACCAAGAUAAAAAACAUAUCUAUGAUGCUGUUAUAGAUACUGUACAUAAAAAAACACAAGGCCUAUUUUUUGUCCAUGGCCAUGGAGGUACAGGAAAAACCUUUUUAUGGGAAGUUAUCAUAGACUUAGAUCUGAAGGAAAAAUUGUUUUAACAGUUGCAUCAUCAGGAAUAGCAUCAUUGUUAUUACCAAGUGGCAGAGCAGCUUAUUCCAGAUUUAAAAUACCUUUGGUUAUUACUGAUUAUUCAAUUUGUGCAAUAAAAAACACGCACACACACACACCUUGCAAAAUUAAUUGAAAAGCAUAAUUAAUUAUAUGGGAUGAAGCACCUAUGAAUCAUAAACAUUGCUUUGAGGCUUUGGAUAAAUCACUUUCUGAUCUUGUGUCAUAUUUACAUGGUACAAAAAACAAUAUCCCCUUUGGUGGCGAACCUUUUUUAUUAGGUAGUGAUUUUCGCCAAAUAUUACCUGUUAUACCUGGAGGAACCAAGGAAGAUAUAAUAAAUGUUUCUUUAAAUAGUGCUUAUUUGUGGCCACAUUUAAAAAAAAAUCAUUUAAAAGAGAAUAUGAGAUUAUCAAAAAAUGGAAUAAGCAUUGAACAAAGGCAAAAAAUCAGUGAUUUCGCAAAUUGGAUUUUAUAAAUAGGAGAUGGAAAAUUUUGUGAUAUAAGUAAUGAAAAUAAUUUUAAUGAUAAAGACACAUCUUUGAUUGGAAUAAUUGAAGAUUUAAUAAUUCAUUCUUCUGGAAUCUUUUUCGCAAUUUAUCCCAAUUUUGAAAUUUUUUAUAACAAUUUUGAUUAUUUAAGGGAGCGUGCUAUUAUAACACCUCGAAACACAACUGUUACAAACAUAAAUAAUCAUAUAAUUGAUUUGCUACCUGGACAACAACAUGUGUUUCUCAGUUAUGAUUCUUUAUGUUCUUCUAGCGGGAAUAUUGAAAAUUUGGAGGCAUCAUAUCCUGUUGAAUUUUUGAACAAACUAGAUUUCAAUGGUUUACCUACACAUAACUUGACUUCGAAAAUAGGAAUGCCAGUUAUAUUAUUACGAAAUUUGAAUCAAUCUUUGGGUUUGUGUAAUGGAACUAGAUUAAUUAUUACUCAAUUAUUUGAUAGAAUUAUUGAAGCCAAAAUACUUACUGGACAUAAUAUUGGUUACAAAGUUUUUAUACCAAGAAUCACUCUUACAGCAACUGAGAGUAAGUGACCUUUUGUUUUUAAAAGGAGACAAUUCCCAAUUAGACCAUUUUAUGCAUUGACUAUUAACAAAAGUCAAGGACAAUCUUUGAAACAUGUUGGUUUAUAUCUUCUUGAACCAGUUUUUACUCAUGGUCAAUUAUAUGUUGCAUUAUCUAGAGUCACAUCAAAAAAAUGUCUCAAAAUUUUAAUAACAGAUGGAGAAAACAACGUUAAAAAUUAUACUGCUAAUAUAGUAUUUAAAGAUGUUCUCCAAAAUUUGGAAUCAAAUUCUUAAUUUAAUUUUCCCAUAUCCAAAAUAGCUAUAUAUUUAUUCAAUGCAUUCAAAUAUCUAUAUAAUGAUGUUUGACUUCGGUUUUUAAAUCACUCUUAACCGUUGUACUUAUUUGUUGAUUGUAUAUAUAGGAUAAACAAUGUCAACAGUACAAGUUUCAGUAGGUAAUAUGCUUUAACUCAUAUUAUUUUUACUACUACUCUUCAUCUUAUUUUGCCAACGUUAAAAAUUGUUCUGUUUUAUUCCAAUCCAAUAAACAAUUUCUUUUUUGGUCUGAUGCAAAUAUUAUGUUUCUUAUUGUUUUAAACAAUUUUCGUAUUUGGUUUUGCAUCAUCCAAUAAAUUUCUUUGUCAAAACACUAUAGGACAAAAACAUUUCUUACAAAAUCGUUCAAGCCAUACUUAAAAAACACGUAUACAUUUUAAAUAUUCACAAUACUUUUCUACGUUUACACAACUCAUGUAAAAUAAAAACUACUAAUUUUACCUAAUACGUGUCUAACCAUUAUGUUAUAAUUUAUAAAACAUAUAUAUAGAUGUACUAUAUUUACUGAAAAAAUAUAUUUACCAAUUUCUUUUUUUUGUGCAAAUCAGGUAAUCAAAACAACAAUUUUUGUCCUCUUUCCUUUCUUUUACCUUCCCAGCAGUCUGCCUCUUCAUGCCUCGCACAUCUCCUCGAUCAACCAUCUACUUUGUUUCUUACGAAGGUACAUUUGUCUCAACAACCAAUCGUAUGUUAAAAAUUUAUAAUUUAUUGAUUUUUUCCAUUAAUGUUUUACAAUUAAAUAAAUUUUUACUAACUUUUCUUUUCAGAAGAAUUGGUUGUUACCGAUAUAUAUACGCAGUGUUAGCUUUUUACCUAGUCUUAACACAUGAUUAAUCACUUAAUCACCCCCUAAUGGGUUAAGUUUGACAUCCAAAACUAUUGUCAAAGAUGUUAUAACCAAAAAUUUACCCACCUCGCUCAGUUUGAUUGAACCAAAGAAUAACACAAGAAUAAGGAAAUUGUUAAAUCUAUCUAUCUAAAUUUCUUAUUAUUCAUUAAAUAGAUUAAACAAUUAGGAAAACUAAUGAAAAGAGCUUGAAAACUUUGAGUUUUAAUAAUAAUGACAAAAUAAAGGGUAAAGUGAAUAGUACCAUGAUUGACUUUUUAGUGUAAAAAUGUGGUUUUUCGUUAAAGUGAACAAUACCGCCGGUUUUUCAUUAAAACUCCCUAAACAAUUUCCAUGUUCAUAUCAUGUUUUUUUGUUUGAUUAAAGAAUAAGGAGACAAUGAAUCCAUGGUUAAAAGAUUUAGAUUCACACUUCUGGAUGUCCAUCUUAAGCCCCUCAAGGAAUAAUCAAGUAAUUAAUCACAUGUUUCUAACAAAUCAAAAGAAAAAACUGUUUGUCUAUAAAUUGGCAACAACUAAUUCCUCUGAAGAGAAGAGAUGGAAAUGAUGAUAAUGCUUAAAAUAAUGCAAGCUCAAAUGAUUUAGUAAAUUAUAUCUCUGUCUUACACAAAGACACCAAGUGAUCCUUAUCUGAUCCAUCUAUGCAUAUCAUUUAUUACUAUUCUUACAAUAAAAACAGCAUAAAAUUGUUUUUCACAUAUUUUCACACCAUAUUGUCACAUUUUUAUUUGACUAUAAAAUAUAGUAUUCAUUUUACUUCAUUUUAUUCACAACUUUCCUAAAUCAUUCACGUUACUACAAUGAUGAGACACUUGAAGCAUUGAAUGAAAGUUUACUUUGAUACCAAGUUUAUGAAAAAAGAGCAGUUUGUACACAACACGUAAUUCACUUGCAUAUCUUUUUUCAACAAAAUUUUUACAAUUUUAAAUUCGUGGAAAUCGUAUUGUCUAAUUUUCUUCCUUUUUUUUAUCAUAUUUAUUUUGUUAUACAUUUUUCUCAUGUUAGCAAAGGUUUACAUCAAAAUUUAAAAAGCCUGUUAACUUAUUGUUAAAUAGCAGAUUUAGCAUUAUUCAAGCACAAAUUAUCAACAAAUUUGUAUUCUACAAAACAGAUUUUUGCUUACUUUUCCGUUCGUUAUCUCAAUUUAUAUUCAUUAGUUCAACACUAAUAUAUAAACCUGAAUCAUGUAUGGAUAUAAUUGCUUAAUCUUUUGUUACACCUUAAGCAACCAAAACGUGACAACAAUGAAAACAGUAAUAUAAUUCAUACAUACUUUAUGUUGCUCAUUUGUUUCAGCAUUUCUGCUUUUGUCCAUCUGAUUGAAAUGUUCUUCCAUAACAGGUUCCAACUUAAUUUUUCCAGCACCUUAUAAAAAUUGAUUCCAUCUUGCACAAAUUACAAGGUAUGUUCUAACUUAUGAUUUCAUAAAUUUCAUAGGAAUUGUUGUUGGUUGUAAAUACAUGUUCAAUUUUACAUCUGCAGCAUUGCACGGACACCAUUACUAAUUAUACAUAUACUAAAACCCAAAACAAAAAGUUACUGUUCAUUAACUGUGCUUCCCUUUUUGCCCCUGCUUCUUUUUUGUUAUUUCGAGUUUGCCCUUCCUUCCCACACCUUUUUAUCCACCUUUUCUCUAGAUACUUCCCCCACCGUUCCAGACUCUAGAGCCACCUUUUCUCUGCUUGACUCCUGCUCUCCCCGUCUCCCUCCUCGCCUCACUCUUCUCUGGACCAAGCAGCUCGAUUUAGGGCUUCACCAUUUCUCUUCGAAUCAAGGUCCCUAUUUUGCCAAUCUAGGUUUCCCUCUCUCUCUGUGGAAAAACCCUAGAUCUCGCCACUGCCGGAGAGUCCAAUCUCGGCCCUUCGAGCUUCAAUCCGCCUUGCUGAUCGCCUCUUCUCGACGCCUCCACCUAAAUCCCUCUGGUUAAUUUCCCAACUUUUACCCCAAUUCUUUUUUCUCUCUAUUUCUGCGCUUUCGAAAGGUUUCAGAUUUUCGCCUUCUUAAGCUUAUGUUUCUGAAAGGACCUUGAUUUUCUGUUUAAUUCGGGUUGUUGCGUCGUGAAUUUUGAAUUUUAUGUUUAAUUUGGGUUUUUACAUUGUAAAUUUUGAAUCUUUAGCCUGAUUAUGCUUUAAUUAAUUUUAAUUUUGUGGGUUUGAGUAAAUUACGUACCUUUUCUUUUCGUUCUUUAAUUUUUGUUUUUGAUCUGUUAAAUAUGUGUGAUUACUGGGUUUUUCCGAUCUGGGCUGCUGUUUCUAAAAACGUGAAGUCCAAAACUCGAUCAGACGAUGGAAUAUUGUAGAUAUCUAGGUUUGUUCUUGAUUAAAUCGUUAAUUAAUCUUCUUUUUUUCCGUGAAAUAUUUGGGAAAUUGGUCCAUAAAAGGAUCGAAUCGAAUUAAUUAGCUAAUUUUCCAUCUCAUCCGAUUGUAAAUUGGUUUAAUUGAACUUUAAUUUCAUUGUUCAAAGUUCCUAGCUUUUGGUUUCGUGGGAAAAUUUCCUAUUUAGUUGAAAAAUAGGUGUUCAUUGGUCAUCUGAGUGAGAAGCAGAUCUGGGUUCCAUUGUUUGGUAGCCGAGAACGUAGGAAAAUAAAUCUUAAUAAAAUUCUGUGACUUUUAGCUUUUGUGUCCAGGGCGAGCUGUGUAUUAGUUAGGUUCAGUUGCAUGGAUUUUGUUUUUAAGAUCAGCAAACAAUUUGAGAUUUAAAUUUUUGUAUUUUUUCAUUCCGUAGUUAUGUUAGUACUUAUUACUAGAUGGACUCUAAGAUCUUGGAUCGAAUUAAUGGUGCACAUCCCUCCGAAUUUUUGUUUAUAUUGUAGAGCAGAUGUAUUCGAACCUCGGUUGUUCACGGCGUAACUUGCUGAGUGCUUUUGUAGUUUAGCUCUACUAAAAAGAAGUGUCAUUGCAAGUGUGAGAUUGCUUUCUCUCUGUGAGACACUGAUUUCCUAAAUUGCUUUCUCUUGCGCAUGUAAAAUCUUGAUGUCUGCAAAUGCACACAUCAUAUGACUUUUAACACAAGUCUUGCUUCUAUCAUUUGAUGUUGCAGUGGGACUUUGAGUAUUAUCUUCAACAACUUCACUGAAGGACGCACUUUUAGUGAGGUGGUGGUUGAAGCAAAGUCGGCAGGUUAUACUCAGACGGAUCCAAAGGAUGGUCUAUCUGGAGCAGAUGUUUGUAGAAAGGUGUUAUGUGCUACUUUUUUGUCUGCUUACUUAUGUAGGCUUAUUAAUUCUUUUUUGUGUUAGUAGGAUUGCCAGGAACUGUACCAAGCAGGUGUGUUUGGUUGUUUGCUUAAAGGGUCUAUUGGUUAAAGAAAUGCAAAGCUUUCUCCCUUACAAAGAACUAUGUGUGAUGUGUUUUUUUGUGGGUUUGGUUUGUGUUUCAGAUUGGUGGUAGGCUAUUUUAGAGUAGAAACUAUGCAAGCAAAGACAUUAAAUUGGUGGAGGCCCAAGCCCUCAUGCUCAAUGGUGUCGAAGAGCUUGCGGAUGCUGUUAAGUCACCAUGGGACCUAAGGUUAUCUAUCUGAUCAUGCCCAUGCCAACUGUAGUUACUAGUUAAGUCUUUUUUUUUUUAUUUAGGAAAAAAGUUGAAUAUUCAUUGAAAGUAAAAAUAGUAUCAUCGAUCUGUUAUCGUAUUCCACAUGGUCUUUGAAAUUUCAGUAACUUCUAGAAUCAAACUUAGGAUUUGAGUAAGAUAAAUUCUUUUAAACUAUAGCUACAAGCCCUUGCAUUGGAAUUCCUCAUGAGAGAAAUAAAAAGAAAAAUAUUCAUAUUACUUAUGUGCAUAAUACUUAUUAGUGUCCUUAUAUAGCUACAAACUUAUAAGUUUGAUGUCACUGUGACAACUAUUUGUUUAAUCCUUGGUAUAAUAUAUUCUACAAUAACAUGUUAACAGUUGUCUUAAACCAACCAGAUCUUACCCCAUUUCCAAAGCAAAUUAAAAAGUAAGGAUCAACUCACAUGUUAAAACAAUUAUAAAUUUAAGGGUAAGUAUGAGUUUAUUACCCUUAAGUUUCGUGGUUUUCAACAUUUGAUACAUGAAGUUUUUUUUGUCCCAGAGUCAUACUUAAAGUGUUAAUUUUGGGACAGUCUCAUGCAUUCGUUAGUCAAACUGUUAACUCUGCCGUUAACUGAUGAUGUGACGCCUAUGUGGACAAUGACUAGACACCAUGUAUCAUUAAGGGGUCCACGUAAAAAUUAAAAAUUCCAAAAAAUAAUUAUUUAAAGAAAAGUUAAAAAAAAAAGAAAAAAAAAGAAGCAAAACCCAGAUCGUCUUCCCCAAAUCCCCCCUUGCCCACCUUCUCACCCACACCCAGAUCUUCCCGUCUACCCAUGGCCCCCCCAACCCAAACCUUCCUUCACAACCCCACUCUCGCGGUCGCAGGUGACGCAAAGGGUCGGGACUCUCCCUCUCUCUCCUGUCGAUCUCGAUCUCUUCCCUCUUAAAUCGGGGAGCGUGACCGCUCGACGUCUCCCUCCUCGCCUUGAUCUCUUCGUCAACGUAGGAGAAGUAACGGUCAUCGAGGAAGUUGACAACGAAGUUGACAGCGGGGACGGAAUCGGUGGCCGAGUUCACCGAGUCAUAGAAGGGCAUGACCGGGACUUGCUUGUGGCGUCGGCUAAGGGUUGGCGGAGUGGAUGUCGCGGUCACAAGUGACGCAGAGGGUCGGGACUCCCCCUCUCUCCCCGAACCUUCUUCUUCUUCUUCUUCAAGUUCUUAAUCCCAGUUGGGGGGGGGGGGGGAACGGUCAAUGGGGAAGAUCUGGGUGUGGGUGGGUUUGGGUGGUGAAGGAAGGUUUGGGAAGGGGGGAUACGGGUCGACGGGAAGAUAUGGGUGUGGGUGAGAGUGUGGGCAUGAGGGGGUUUGGGGAAGGGGUUUUGCUUUUUUUUUUUUUAUAACUUUUCUUUAAAUAAUUAUUUUUUUGAAAUUUUAAUUUCCACGUGGACCCCUUAAUAACACGUGACAUCCUGUCAUUGUUCACAUAAGCGCCACAUCAUCAGUUAACAAUAGAGUUAGCAGUUUGACUAACAGAUGUAUGAGACUGUUCUAAAAUUAACACUUUAGGUAUGACUCUGGGACGAAAAAAACUUCAUAUACCAAAUGUUGAAAAUCACGAAACUUAAGGGUAGUAAACUGAUAUUUACCCUAAAUUUAAAGAACUAAAUUUAACACAGGUUUCCUCUGUUUGAUUGCUAAAAUAAUGUUCAGAAACAGAACAACUUAAGUUCCGUUCUAUGUCGUGAUGAAUGUUUAUUUUAACUAGCUUAUUGAGUUUAUAACUUAUGAAUUUAAGAUCUUCAUGUUUAAUAUUUAAAGAUUAAUUUUUUUUAAGUGAAGUGGUUAAAGAAGAGUCAAGAAACGUUCUGUUUAUUCCUCCAUAAUAGAUUAAGGAAGGUGAGUUGAUCAUAAGAUUUAAAUUUUAACAAUUCAACUUUAAAUGCUGGCAUAUGAUGGUAGAUUGAAUAUGGUAUUUCAAGUUUUAACCCUUUACUGUUUUUUUUUAAUCAGUAUUUGGCAAGCCAUCAUACAUAAUAACAUAACUUAGCAUUUGCCAAAACAAUUAAACAUGUAAUAUAACUUAGCAUUUGCAUUUUUCGUUUACAGUUGGUAGCCACAAAUCAACUGACUCAACUUUAUAUCAAUAUUGGAGCCUUAAAAGUGUAAGUCAUCUGUUUCAUUCUAUUUUAUAAAAUGAAUUAAGUUCUGAAGUUUAUAUAUUCUGAAACUCAAGUAUUACACACACACACACACACACACGCAUAUACAUAUCAUUCCAUAAACAUAAUACAUGUAAAUAAAUAAAAAAAUUUACAAUUUUUUGUAUCUAGGCUGUAUCGAUGAAAUAUUUUUUUAUGUAAAAAUUUUCUAACAUUUUAAGUGUAAAGAAUAUUGAUGCCUAAAAUCCUGUCAUUAGUUUUUUUCCAUCAGAAUUUUACAAUCGGUUGAAUUCUUUUCAAAUAUGCAUAAUUUCUUUGUGCGGUUUUUUUUUUAGUUUCUUGGUCAAGCAAAUUUAUAUGUCUGUUUUACUAUUCUCUUUUCUCAGAUUAUUCUACUCGAGAUUAGUUGUGUUUUGUGGGUUUAGGUAGGGGAACUGAAUUAACUAUUUUUUUUUGGGGGGUUUUUCUUUCAGAAUGUAUUGAAUCACUUUAUUUGUUGUUUAGCUUAUCUUGCGUUUAGAUUCGGUGUUAUGAAAUACUCAUGACGCUACUCACCAAUGUGCAAAACCAUCAGCAGGUAUCUCUGCAAAAUCAGUACAUUGUCAUUUUAUUUCUUUAAUGUUUGUUUAACCAUCCGUAAUUCCCAAACCCAAACAAAGCACCAAAUUAAUAUAAAUUUUUUUUCAAAAAGAUCUGGGUUAAAGAAAAUUUUCGGAGUUAAUUCAUAAUAUUUUAUAAAAGUAAUGUUUAUUCUAUUCUAUUAUGAUUUGAGGUAACUAUUAAUUUACUUGGAAAAAUUUAUGUGCCAGGUUAAAUAUGCCAUUUGACAAAGUAUGGUUUGUUCCUAGAUUCUGUAAUUAUUUUCAUUUUAUUCAGGAUUCAUUCAAGUUCCAAUUUGAACUAUUGGAAGAUGUUUAUGUAAUUCGAAGUACCUAAUUGGUUUUGUACCAAUAUACAUGACUCAAACGCUGAAGAAUACCUGCUUUCUCCCUCUCUCUCAUUAUGAUUGAUGUGGAGAACCAGCCCCGGAGAAGGUGAGAAUCCAGCCUUUCCAAAUUGCACAAUUAGAAGAUAUUGCCAAAUACAUAAUAUUUGAUUCUUGCCAAGACGAAUUUGAACCACAUUAUUGCUAGCCCAUUAUGAGGAUUAAUCCACUCCCCCACCCACAUAAUGUAGAUAAUAUCGUUUGUUAAAAAAAAUACUGAAUUUAAUAGAGCUGGGUGUUUCGUAUCCAUUCAACAAAUUUUAUACCGAAUUUAAAAAACAAAUAUACAAGUAAAAUAGUAGGUCAAAUUCAAUAUUAGUUAUCUUAACUUCUGUUUAGUAGAUAUAUACUAUUGUAGGGUUUAAUGAAUAUUACUUUUAGUUGAUAAUUAACUGAUGAUUAACUUAUUCCAUUAUUCAUUAUUUUAUCGCCAAAUAUUUUGAAUAUUCAUUAGCAAAAGAUAUAGGGGUAACUGUUUAAUUAAUAGAAUUUUAAUGGUGGAUUGCAUUUCUUUAGUUAUAAAUAUGGUGAACCCAUUAUUCAAUACUAGCUCAAUAGUCGUAAUGUUUUUCUCUAACUUUAUUUUUGAAUUUUGAUAUAUAAUCUAUUUGAGUUUUCUACAGAGAAUAAUCUUUUGGUACUUGCUGCUUUUGUACUAUUGAAUUUUAACAUUAGCAAAUUCCUCCAUGUAUAUAAUGUGUUGACUUUGUAUAAUAAUUGUAGGCUUUUGCCCAGGCUCAUCAAAGAGAAAUCAGGUCUUGGUCACAAUCAUAUAAAAAACAUGAUAUACAAGGUAUAGAAGAAAUAUGUGCAACUUUGAAUUUAAUGAAUUGUGGUGUUUUGUCUUCUGAGUUUCUAACUAACUUCUUAUCUAAUUAACUUCAAUUUGUAUUUAAUACAAAUAAUUAGUUUGGUAGAUAUGAAAUACUUACGUUACAUCCUUAGGAGCAUAGUGUUUGCCUAUUUUUGAGAGCAACUAUUUCAAGGUUUGAUUCAUAGGGUGAACAUUGACUAUAUCCACAUUAAAGGGACACAGUUAGUACGUUACAAGUUUUGUUACGUUAUUUUCACAGAAUUAAGAGAAUAAUUUUAUGUUCAAAUGGAAUAUUCAAUUAUGAUCACAUAUUUGUAUGAGUAGAAUCUUUGAUUGUUUCAUCUCAUUUGGGAUUUUACUUUUUAGUGAUUGUAAAGUUUUCAUCUCAUUUGAGAUUCUACUUUUUAAAAGUUGUCAAUGAAUAUAUCCAUUCCUGUUAAUAGUGUUGCUCUAACAAGUUGUUCGUGAUUUACAGUUUCAAGAAUACCGCUCUAAAUUGCGCUUCAUGAACAACUUAUACAGAGUUAGCAAAUGCUAAGGUAAUUAUUUCUAUGUGAGUGAAUCUAAUUUAUAAAUUCAUAUUCUCACUGGGUUGUAGCUUUGUUAAUUGCAGUUUCAAGAAUACUGCUCUAAAUUGCGCUUCAUGAACAACUUAUACAGAGUUAGCAAAUGCUAAGGUAAUUGUUUCUAUGGGAGUGAAUCUAAUUUAUAAAUUCAUAUUCUCACUGGGUUGUAGCUUUGUUAAUUGAAUUUCUAUCAUAACUUUAACUGUUUUCACUUUUUUUUUUAAUUGGAGUAAACGCAACACCAUAUGAUUUAAAAUACAGCUUUUACUAGCUCAGUUCAUGGGACAACAUCUUCUGCUACCUCAACCAACGGUACAUGGCAAAAACUUUUCAAGUUCCAGUCGUAAUCUUUUUUGUAUGUAAACAUCUUAACGUUUUCAACGCAAAUAAUAUUAAUCUUCAAUGUCACAAUCUUCUAUAUCUUUGAUACAAUUUAUCUUGCAAUUUCUCAUCACGCAGCAACGCGUGGGCACUGUUUUCUAGUAUAUACUGGAUGUCGACACACGUUAUGGCAAACUCUACACUUAUGAUUGCCAUGUUAGGUCAUCCUCAAACAGACAAUGACCGAAGCUCGCCUAAUUAGGCUAAUUUCCUGCAUGUCGUUUUGAAUCCUUAAAUACGAAUUGACCCUAUAUGCCUAGUGGCCAACUUCCGUCUAUUAUUGUUGAAUUCUUACAUACGAAUCGAUCCUUAAAGCUUUGUUGUUGUUGUAUUUGGUUGGAUUGGAAGGAAUUGUUGAGUUUUUGCAACUAUAUGAGAAAUUUUUAAUUGUGAUUGGGAAUUAGGGAUGGUAACGGUUUGGUUUGGGGCGGAAAUGUUAUAGUAAUUCUCAUAAUCACGAAAAUUAAUCAUAUCCAUAACCGUCAAUUAACCAUCGGGUAACCAAUUUCUCAUCGGUUAACGGUUAUACCCAUCUUUGUCAAUACAAAAAAUAUAUUCGUUCAAUUGGCGUUUGAUAAUUUAGUAAAUAUUAAUUUCGUCAUUAAAGAUUUGAUGUAUAAAAUGAUUUAAUGAAUGGAUCUUGUGGAGCAUAAAAAUCUCUCGCAAUUGAUGUACCAUCUCGAUAUACCAAUAGCACUAAACAUAAUGAUUUAGUGACAUGUGAUGUACUAUUUCGUGUACUGAUUACACUGGAAAAUCUCUCGCAACUAUAUAUGAACCAGCUGUUGUGGCGUUACAUAUUUCAAUGUUGGGCCUUGGGCAUUAAGUUUUGCCAUUAAUAUACCAACGCCAUUGUCAACUACAUAUGAACUAACACGCUACGGUAGUAGGCGCUUUUAAUGCCCAAGGCCUAUCUCAUUCGUUGGAAAAGUAGACUGUAUUUUUCGUCGGCACUUAUUUUUACUUUUUGCAUAUUUUUAUUAUUUUUUUUAUAAUUAAUUUUCUUUAAUUUAUUUGAUUUGACUGGUUAAAAUUAAGAAAGAUUUGUGAAAAGUAAAAAUAGAUGUGAAGAAAUCUUAUUAACGAUGAAGUGAGAAGAUGAGAUACGAUUCGAUAGUCACCAGUACUGAUUCCCGGCAAAAAUCUAUGGAAGACCAAUAUUUCUCGCGUGUGGACAUCGUUUCACGUGAAGCAAGUAUGAAAAACAAGACGACGUUGCCACAUGUUUUGGGAUGCACGAUUUUAUAUCAACUUAAUGGACGUGGAUGACCUUUUCUUUUGUUGACCGGAGGUUGACUUGGGUAAGUGUUAGAAGCUUGUCCUUCAAUAGCUUAAACCCUAGCUAGAAAAUGCACGACGGUUUGCAUUGGAUCCGAGAUUUCUAAUGGAUCAGGUCCAAGAGGACGACGAAGGAAAUUGGAAUUGGUAGUGACAAAAUAAUUGAGGUAAGCAAAUAAGUAUUUUCUGGAAAAUAGGUAGAGCAAAAUUUAGCCUCAAUCGAAAGACUUGACGUGAAGAAAUAUUUUGCAAACGUGUUAGGUCAUCCUCAAACAGACAAUGACCGAAGCUCACCUAAUUAGGCUAAUUUCUUGCAUGUCGUUUUGAAUCCUUAAAUACGAAUUGACCCUAUAUGGCUAGUGGCCAACUUCCGUAUAUUAUUGUUGAAUAUAUUCAAAAACCUCCCACUAAAAAUGUUUUUCUAAUUUGUAAAUGGGAAACGAAAUUGAUAGGGAAUAAAAUUGACAAGGAAUGAAUUUAAACUUGGGAAUUUUAACGAAAAACAUCCGGUACUGUUCACUUUAACGAAAAAUCACAUUUUUACAUUAAAAAGUCAAUCAUAGUACUAUUCAUUUUACUCUUUAUUUUGUCCUUAUCGUUAAAACUCAAAGUUUUCAAGUCAUUUUCAUUAGUUUUCCUUUUAAACUUUCAUGAUAAUCAGAAGUGAAAAGGCUUUAUGAAAAUUUUGGUUACCAUGUUUACUUUUUGUUUUGAAAAAAGUAACUACAUGAUGGCAAAGCUAUGAAAGUCCAUCUUUUUAAAAGUCGAAAAACUCAUAGAGGCAUUUCAAUCUCUCUGACCAUCAUCUUGUGUUGUUCUAAAACAUGUUCAAUUAUGUAAAUGCCUUUGCAGUCUGGCCAAUUUUAUUGAAAUUUCAAACAAUAUUUUUGUCAAGGUGUGCACAUCGAAAACACAUGGCCACAAAUUCCAACAAUUAUUGGGUGGAUUAGAAGGACCAAAUUAGAAAUGAGGAUAUUCGAUAUAAAAUAGGAGUGGCGGUAAUUAAAGAUAAGAUGAGAGAAAAUCGGUUAAAAUGGAUAAACAUGUGAGCCAAAGUCCUACAAAUGCUAUUGUUAGAAAAAGACGGAGGGUCAGGGUAAAAAGGGUAAAGGAAAACCUCAUAAUACUUGGAAAGAGACUUUUAGAACAGAGGAAAACCUCAUAAUACUUGGAAAGAGACUUUUAGAACAGACAUGGAGUACCCGGAAAUGACGGCAGACUUGACACAAAUCAAAGCAUAGUAGCGUUUCGGGAGACAUACAAUAGAUCCCGCUUAGUGAAACAAAGCUUUGUUGCUGUUGUAUUUGGUGCAAUGGAAGGAAUUAUUGAGUUUUUGCAACUAUAUGAGAAAAAUUUAAUUGUGAAGAUAACACAAGUGGUAUAACACGUGUUUUAAUAGAAGUGAUAAAUUUUAUUUUUUAAAUUAUUAACUUUUUAGUACACAUAUCCCACUAUUUAUAUAAUGACAUAUGGUGUACCAUUUCAUGUACUGAUCACAUUGAAAAAUCUUUCGCAACUAUAUAUGAACCAGUAGUUGUGGCGUUCCAUAUUUCAAUGCUGGGCCUUGGGCAUUAAGUUUUGCCAUUAAUAUCCCAAUGCCAUUGCCAACUAUAUAUGAACUACCACACUUCGCUACAAUAGUAUACUUUUCCAACGAAUGAGAUAGGCCUUGGGCAUUAAAAGCAACGGUAUUUUCUGUCGGUACUUAUUUUUACUUUUUGCACAUCUUUAUUAAUUUUUUAUAAUUUAUUUGAUUUGACUGUUUAAAAUUAAGAAGGAUUUGUGAAAAGAAAAAAUAGGUGUGAAGAAAUCUUGUUAACGAUGAAGUGAGAAGAUGAGAUAAGAUUCGAUAGUCACCAGUACCGAUUCCCGGCAAAAAUCUAUGGAAGACCAAUAUCCCUCGCGUGUGGACAUCGUCUCACGCGAAGCAAGUAUGAAAAACAAGACGACGUUGCCACACGUUUUGGGAUGCACGAUUUUAUAUCAACUUAAUGGACGUGGAUGACUUUUUCUUUUGUUGACUGAAGGAGGUUGACUUGGGUUUAGAUAUUUCAAUAUGUAUCAGUACGCACCACAGAAGUUACCAAUGAUCUCGACCGUAUUCAUAUAUGUAUCUUUUGUGAAACUUCAAUCUUAGCCGUCAACGUCCUUCACUUGUAUUCUCUUUUCCUUUAUUUUCUUGAUAUAAUAUUUUAUAAUAUUAAUAUACAAAUUACGUAUCCAAUUACGGGAAAAUUUCUAUUUUAAAAGAUUCUCUUUGAUUUUUUUUUUUUUUUUCAAAAAAGGUAGCUCUGCAUGAUUUUCCACCGUCCAAUUACGUGUCAGUAGGGUUACAAGACCAUUUUUGUCUCCCUAGGGCCUCGCCUGAAGGUGCUUUUCUUUCAGAGGACACUUUAAGAGUCUUUCACUUGGAGUAGAUGAUUACACACAUCAUUUUUAAACAAAACACAACCACUGCCAUUUUUUUCAGUCGUGAUCUGAACCACUGCAGUGCCAUAACGAUGGUACUGCCAUGGCAGCCCAUCUCAUGGAGCCUCCUCUUCAUCCUCCUUCCAGUCAAAAUUUCAGUUUUUAAUAACAUGAUUUGUUUAUUUAUUAUAUGACUUAGAUUAUUAAAUUUGGCUGAAUUUUAGUAUAAUUAAUUUUUAAAGAGUGACUUUGAAAGUAAAACAUUCAAAUUAUGUAUACCAGAUGAAAAUAAAUAAAUAAAAUAGAGCGAAAUUAUUUUAAUGAGAAUAUUACCAUCAUUACAAUUAAGGGAGUUUUAACAAAACACUCCCGGUAAUGUUUACUUUUAACAAAUCACAUUUUUACCUUUACUUGACACUAUUCACUAUACCUUUAAAAAUGGAUUUUCAUUAAAAAGAAAAUUUUUUGGACUUUUCGUUAGUUUUCCUUACAAUUUAAUGGAAGAGGAAAUAUAAUGAGCUAGUGUUAUCUACAUCCCCAAGUGAAUGAGAACAUUCAACAACGGCAAGUUGCUGAGGAGGAAAGCGUAUGCAGAGACUUGGUCCAAAUGUAAAGUUGGGUGUGAGAAUGUGGGUCAAAAAGAGACCAAAUUAUAUAAGCGUUUAUAAGUGGUUGAACUACUUCUCAUAUUGCCAAUUGAUUUUACAAAAAUGCUACUUUUACCAUAUAUUUGUACAAUUGUUUAUACCUUCUCUCUAAUAGAGAUAUGAUUUACAUGCGUUGGUGGACACGACUGUUAUUAAAGAGAUAAAAUAAAUGAUGAUAUAAAUAGGUAAUAAGUGUAACAUUACUCUUGAUUUUAUUGUUGAAUUUCAACUUUCUUAAUUGGGAAAAUGUAUGAUACAAGUCGCAUCUUUUGUAGCUGCCUUUCUUUUAAGGACAAUACUUAGGUACUCAAUGGGAAGUACCGAAAUUUACUCAUCUUUGAUGUGCCCCAAUAAUAUUACAACAUGUGUAUUUCAAAACUUUAUCCCAAUAUUUGUAUCUUACUAACCGAACACUCAAUUAUCAUUUUAAACUCAUAACCAAACACCUUUCAUCUUCUUUCUCAUUCUGUUAGAUGCCAUGGCUGAUCUGCCAUAGCUAAUCCAUAUCCAUGGACCCCAGCCACCCCAUAUCCUCCUUCCACCAGAUCCCCCCACACUCCCGCAUCAGAGGAUUUGCUCUCUCUUUCGUUCUUUCUCUUCGAAUCAACAUUAAAAGGAAGUGGCCGUAUGCAAUCGACGCCGAUGAUGACAUGGUUUCCAGCGAAGGGCAGGGAAGUGGUUCUGGGUACGUCUUUUGGGUAAAUUACAGUAUACAAUUCAACUAAUAUGAUCAAAGUCUUGGCCAACUCCAGGUGGGAAAUUAAAAAAGUGGCCCCCAUUUGGUCAUGCAACUUGUACAAAAUAUACUAUAGGCUAAAUUAUAUAAAAUUACUUUAAUUAUCGGUCGAACCACAAUUUCAUACCUCAUAUUUUAAAUAUUGCAAUAUCAUUUCUCGAAUUCGUUGUAAUGACAAACCUCUGUUAAAUUUUCUGUCAAUUUAACUGGGAAAACGUGAUAGGAGUGGGACCCACUCAUUUGCUACCUUGAAUAAAAAAUUAAUUAAUUAAUAAUAAAUUACUAAUUCUUAUUUAACAAUUAAACUUAAUUAAAAAAAAAAAAAAACUCUCUUCAUUUCCCCAGAAAUCGUCUCCUCCCCUCUACUCCCUCCUCUGUCCCCCUUCUUCCUCAUUCGUCCCCUUCACUCCCUCAUCCGUCCCCCUUCUUCCUCGUCUAUCCGCCGCCUUCGAGUCCACCGAUUCGGACCAACGAGUUCGUCAUUUCAGAUGGGCACAUAUUCAAUCUGUUCGACGGGAAAGAUCCGGUGUUUUUACUCCCUCCCUGGUUUCUUGUGGAGGUUGCAACGAAAUGAUCUGGCUACGACGUCGGCGAGCAUAAACAUGUCUUCUUCGGCAUCAAAAUCGGUCCGGUUUUCUUUGAAACGGCAGUGGAUCGUUUCGAAUGAUGGUUGAUGGAGAACCGAACGGACGGAGACGGAAAUGAGAAGGUGUAGAGAUUGACACGCAUCGGGGAAGCGAAUCUGUGGCAGUGGUGGUAAUCCAGAAAAUGGGGGAAAAAAAGGGGAAAGAAAAAGAAAAAAAUUUGGGAAAAGAAAAAGAAAAAAAUUGGACUGUGAAGAACUUCCAUUCUUCAAUUAAUAUUAUGGAGGAUUUCCAAAAUCCAGAGUACUGGGCUAAUUUUCAAAUGGCCACUUCUUGAAUUUUUGAAAAAUUAAUUUCUCUAUUUAAAAAAAAAAAUUAAUUUCUCUAAUUUCUUGAAUUUUCUGGGUUUGUAUUUGUGUUUUUCGUUUUGGGUUUUGUUUUUGUGGGAUUCUUCGUUUUGGCUUUCUGGAACUCUCCCUUUGCAAUUUUAUUUGGUGGUUUUUCUUAGAAAAAUGGUGAAGAAGAAGAAAUUGAAGAAAUGGCAGUGGGGCGAAAGCCCCAGUCGGUGAUGGGAUUUGAAGAGAGGUAAAAUGAUAAGGGGAUGGUUUCUAAUGCUCAGUUUUGCGAAAUCUUAGUGGACUUAUGAUGAAGAAAUCAAAUUAGUUUUAUGUAAAGACUGUUGGAGCAAGAUGAAUUGGGUCUGGUUUUGGUUUGCCAUCGAAACCCACCUGCGUUUUGCGAUCGGCGGUGUAUCAGUUGUUCCCGGAGGAGGACGAAAAUUAGCUGCGUUUAAGGAGGACGAGGAAGAAGGGGAGCGGAGGAAGAAGUGAUCGGAGGAACGGGGACGAUUUCCAGGGAACAAGGGGAGAGGUUUUUUUAUUUAUUUUUAAAGUUAAUUUUAAUUGUCAAAUUAAUAAUUUAUAUUAAUAAUUUAUUUAUUUUUAUUCAAGUUGGCAAAAAAGUGGAUCUCGUUUCUUCCAUGUCAUCAUUUAACAGUCAGAUUGAUAGAAAAUUUAACAGAAGUCUGACGUUGCAACAUAUUCAUAAGUUGAUUAUGACAUUGCAAUAUUUAAAACAUAAGGUAUGAGAUUGUUAUUGAACUCAUAAUUGAGCUAGUUUUUUGUAAUUUACCAUAUACUAACCGUCAUGCACGUGCUCACGAGCAUGUAGAAGGCAUUUUUUGAAGGGAGUUUUAACGAAAAGCUUGCGGUACUGUUCACUUUAACAAAAAAUCACAUUUUUACACUAAAAAAAUCAAACCUGAUACUAUUCACUUCAUCCUUUAUUUUUUCCUUAUUGUUAAAACUUAAAGUUUUCAAGCCAUUUUUAUUAGUUUUUCUUUUUUUGAAUCACAGCGUGUUACGUGCGAAUUACAUGUUUUAAAUGUAUUUAUAUGCGUAAUUUGACAAAAGGAAAGUCAAAUAUUUGAAGUAAAUGAAUAAUCUUAGAUCAUACUAGAAGAAACCUCUCAUAAACUAAUUAAAGUAGCUAAAUCCACAUAAUAAAAUCAGUCUCUAUUGAAUUUAUAUUAAGAAUAGAGAAAAUAAUAUUUAAUAAACAACUGAUUUAAUCAUAUUAUUGCUAGCCCAAUGGGAGGCUAAGUUCAUCCCUCCCUCUUAGUGUAGAAAAUAUAUAUCGCUUGUGACAAAAAAAAAAUCAUUUGACAACUAAUUUAAUCACAUUAUUAACCGCGAAAGACCUUUUUUAUAACCGGCAUUAUACGCCUCUUAAGUUGUUUUGAAUGUGUUUAAAUAUAGAGAAAAUAAUAUUUAAUGAAUAACUGAUAGAAUCACAUUAUUGUUAGCCUAUUGUAAGGUACUAAUUAUUUUAAAAAAAAACUGUACAAAAAAAUUAAUUAUUAAAAAAAUACUAUUAAAAUGAUGAAAAUACUCCUGCCACAUUUAAUGCAUUAUUUUGAAUUGCUUUUGAAGUUUUUUGUUUAAUUAUUUUUAUGUGAAGCUUGUGACACUAAAAAAAACACUGUUCAUUGGGCCAUUGGCUUCAUAUAUAAAGAUUAUAUAUGUAUAAGUUGUCAAUAUACGACUAAAAUCUAAUGGUCUUCUUCUUCUUACAUGCAAUGCAUGAUUCAGCCAGUCGGAAUCUAAGUGUUGGUCGUUUAAGUUCACGCCGUCGAGGAGAGCAAGUUCUGCACAUGUACAAUAUGAAGAUGAAGUUGAUGAUGAGGAUACUAUUACUCUGCUUCCUCAGCUGCUUCUGGUUUCAGCUGUCCUUUGCUCAAAAUGCUACCACUGAUCCGUCUGAAGGUUCUCUCUCAAUCUCUCUCCCCAACCACCACCAUCCCUCCAACCACCUCCCCCCCACCCAAACACCACACACACACACACUUUGCCACAUUUAAGGGUUUUGACCAGGAACUGGCCUUUUUUCCCUCAACAAAAUGACAUUUUAAGUGUUUUUUGACCAUAUGAAAUGAAGUUUCGAAGAAUUUAUUUGUAAAGCCCUUUUUCUUCCCAUAUGCAAAACAUCCAAAAAUCAAGGGUAAUUGUUCCUUUGUAAUAAUCAAUUUGAUCUUUCGUUUGGUUCGAGAUAGUCUGGUAAGUAGUAACACCAGUCAAAUUAUGGUGUGAUAUAAUCUAAUACACACAAGGACUGAAUUAACUGAGAGUGCAGUGAGGGCGUUGAACUCAAUAUUUCAACAAUGGGACACACAAGCAGUGCCGGGGCAGUGGAAUAUCAGUGGAGAACCCUGCAGUGGAUCUGCCAUCAACGGCACCGACAUUGGUAGCCGCGAUUUCAACCCAGCCAUCGUUUGCAACUGUUCUUACGACAACAAUGCUACUUGCCACAUCACCCAACUGUAUGUUAAACUACUCUCUCUUGAUGAACAAGAUUUCCAUGCCACUGCUGAUUUUUCACUUGCUACCUAUAUAUGUUAACGUCAUAAUUUGACUGUGUCCAUCCAUUUUAUGUAGUUCUAAAUGUUCAAUCUUUUUGCUUUCCAGGAAAGUGUAUUCUCUUAACAAACGAGGGGUGUUUCCAGAAGAAUUUGAGGCUCUGAGAUAUCUCACAUUUUUGUAUGAAUUUUUUCCAACUCCCUUUUCUGUUUUUGGUUCAUCAAAAUCAUAUAUUGGAUAUUAAAAAUUGUAAAAUUAUCAGAGAGACGGGCCAAAAGCUCACUUCCAACAUUACUGAUACUGUCUCCAACUUGGUAAUUACCACCUGAACAAUUCGUCAGGUGUGGGGUUUAUCUCAAAAGGCCUCGGCAUUAAUUGGAGUGGGAUUUGGAUAUUUAAACUCUUCUUUCUUUAUUUCUCUAGCCGAUGUGGGAUUUCAACAAAAAUAUGGUGAUGUUGUAAGAUUAAGAGUUAACGGUUACACUUCCUUUCAAUUUUUGUAGGUGGAUCAAUCAGAAUUAUUUCACCGGUCCCCUACCGGCAUUCAUUGGCAAUAUGUCUGCAUUGAUUGUAUUGUAAGUAGUGACAGAACAUUUCUUUAAGUACUCAUACUUCUGAUGAGACCCGUAGCAAUUUGUAUACUUCAUUUUGAAUAUCAUAAUCUACAGUUAUGUUCUUUACACAUUUUCGCUACUAUUUAUGCCGUAAUCUACAAAAAAAUCAUUAUGCUUUUAUUGAAUAAUGCAGUACUAGUUUCCUGUUAUGUAAUGUAAUUAAAUUUAAUGGUGGUAUCUUUCACUAACUGAUAUCUCCAUUCAGGUCAAUUAGAAUCAAUUCAUUCUCUGGGCCCAUCCCCAAGGAGCUUGGAAACCUUAAGGAGCUAACUGUGCUGUAAGCCAUGAAAAAUUAGAGAGCGUACAAUAAAAUUUUGUGUCGUAAACAUUAGAUAUAGAACCUGUUGUUAUGAAUGAACAAUCGAAGAACAGAAAAUGAGAAGGAUAACAAUGGAAGAAUUUUCUGAAGGUUUCUCUUUCUCUGCAAAAUCUAGCAGAGCAUAUUCUCUUCAUCUCUAUACAAUUCACACACUCUGUGCUUUACAUAACCGUUAGAAUCCAAGGUGGAUUCUCUCUGUUCACAAAACAAUCUCAGCCUUACAUCUAGCUAGUUGCUAGGAUCAUUACACCUGGCAUUAUUUGCCUUGCUACAUUAGAGCUGCACACUUGGUAUUUUAAACUCAAGUGGAUACACAAAUUUGAUACACAACUUAUUUCCUAAUCAGCUAUAGACUUACAGUUCAACAUGACUUGCAGGAGCAUCGGAACAAAUAAUUUCUCCGGAACACUCCCUCCAGAACUUGGUAAUUUAGUCAAGCUCGAGCAACUGUAAGUGCUUCGUUAAAUCAUCAAAUUUGAAUGACAUGUUAAUCCCCUACGGAUGAGCAAAAGUUGCGCUUUAUCGUAUGAAAUGGGUACUCAUCAAUUGCCUUAUGAUUUUCACAGCUACAUAGACAGCUGUGGACUCAGUGGUGAAAUUCCUUCAACAUUUGCCAAGCUCACCAACAUGCGAGUCGUGUAAGAAUGGCUCUUAAAUCGUAUUUUAGAUUUGUUCGUUUAUCCUGUACUUUGAGAUUGCUUUUCUUGGAUGAGCUCACUAUAAUUCAACUUUUUGAAUUUUAGCUGGGCAUCGGACAAUCCUUUCUCAGGAAAGAUACCUGAUUUCAUAGGGAAUUGGACACAACUCCUUCAUUUGUAAGUAGAGAAACCUUUGAUCUUUUGCAGUUUAUGAAAGCAGACCUGAGAUGGAUAAUUUGUUCACAAGCUUCUUAUAUGUUUCUGUAGGGAAUUUCAAGGGAACUCUUUCGAAGGCCCAAUACCAACCAGCUUUUCUCAACUGACCUCAUUGAACUAUCUGUAAGUACAAAUGUUUCAUAAAUUGUAAUUCUCUCUCUCUUUCUCCGAAGACGGGAUUUCAGUUUAUUUUGCAUAUAAUGAUGUAGGCUAAUCAGUGAUAUAUACAAUGGGAGCUCCUCUCUUGAUUUCAUAAAAAAUCUGAAAAACUUGACUGAAUUGUAAGUGAAGAUUCUCAUCGAUCCAGAUACUUUCAUCUAACUUCUUUUUCCUUUUGAAAUUUGAUAUCUUACUCCAUCUUCUAUUUAUCAAAUUUUAUGUUUUUGGAAUACAGAGGACUACGAAACGCAUUAAUCACUGGUACCAUCCCAUCUGAUAUUGGAGAAUAUCAAAGUCUAAAGACACUGUACGUACCAACGAGACCAAUUAGUUUUCUUUCAUUCUGAUUCUUCUCUCAACUUAUCGUUGGUGUGCAGGGAUCUGAGUUUCAACAAUUUGACAGGCCAACUCCCAAGUUUUUUGUUCAACAUGCGUUCUCUUAAAUCCUUGUAAUCCCCGUCCUUAUUAUUAUAUUUUGCUUGCCUUAUCAUACAUAAGUUAUCAAAUCUUUAACAUUCCCUACUUUGAUUGAAGAUCUGGACUAAUCCUUCUAGAUUUUGUGCACAUCUGACCUUUUUCUUGCUCAUCUCUUUUUCUUUUCUGGGUGCCUUCUACUAUAAUCGAAAUGGCCAGGUUUCUUGGAAACAAUAGUCUCUCCGGAUCUCUUCCGAGCCGAAAGAGCGAUCAACUUCAGGCUAUGUAAGUCUAUGUUUCUUAAAGUAGUCAUAUAGAACGCACGGUGCAUGUAUGUGUAUGUGUAUGUGUAUAAUCGUAAGCAUUCUAAUCCUAUCUUACACAAGUUCUUAAUAACUUUCAUGCAUUUUGUGUCUUUUGAUUCUAUUUUGUUAUUUGCAGAGAUUUCUCUUACAAUUUUUUAUCAGGAAGCUUUCCCCGGUGGGUGACCACAAUACCGCAACUGUACUUGUCCUUUUCUCUUUCACCUUCAUUUUACAGUUUAAAUCACCAGAAUACGUUCGGACAAAAAAUUAUCGUUGAGAUUCGUUUUCAAAGUGCUACUUGCCUACUAAGUUUUCAUUUGAUAAAGAUAUAGUUCUUCAUAUGUUGACUGAUUAAUGAUUUUAUGCAGGAACUUAGUGGUCAACAACUUCACAUUUGACAGUUCAAACAUAACGUGAGUUGAAGUUUCUCUUACUCGUUUUAGACAAGCAAUACUACUCUUCCACUACAUGACUCUAUUUGGAUAACUAAUAAUUGUUCUCUGUGUUUGCAGUCUUACUGGAUUGAAUUGCCUCCAGAGAAAUUUUCCAUGCAAUCGAAAUACCCCGCGAUGUAAUCUGCUCUUAUGUCACCCAUCAUUUACUAUUUUAAAGCAACAUCAUGUUAGAGGAAAAGGCAUUGCUUCUCUAGUUAUGUAUACAUAUGGAUAUAGAUUGCAAGCAUGUUUUCAUAAGUUCAGUAAUACGCAUAACUGGUUAGAAAUAUGUGACUGAAGAACAUUAGUAUGAGUCUUCAAUUUGAAGUUUCAUCACUAAUUAUGGGAAGAUUCUGGUAUUACAUGAAACUUACAGAUGCAAACUUCUCAAUCAACUGUGGUGGACCGCAAAUGAUGGGACGUGAUGGCAUAUUGUAUGAGACUGAAGACUCAGCUCUUGGCCCAGCAACAUUCAGUGUAACCAGUACAGAGAAAUGGGCUGUCAGCAAUGCCGGUUUGUUUUUUGAAACAGAGAACCCACCGUUUCUGGUUAAGACCCAUGCACAAGUCACCGGAACAGAUGUGACCCCGGAGCUUUUCCAGACUUCAAGAGUGUCCCCAGGAUCACUGAGAUACUAUGGCCUGGGCCUUGAGAAUGGGCCCUACACUGUAACAUUGUACUUUGCAGAGACGGUUUAUGAAAGUCGCACUUCGCAAACUUGGCAAAGUCUAGGACG